rnacentral:lncRNA from 1 species
CUCAGACCCACGAGGUAAGGGCUGCUAUUCUGAUUUUACACACGGGAGUCUUGAGGCUCAGGGCGUUUGGCGAGUGGCAGGGCCCAGGCACUGAAUUCUUUGGUUGGUUUGACUGCAAAGCGCAUUCUGAUUUCCUUGCUUUUGCUCAUCUGAGGCCUGGAAAACUGCCCUCGAGCUCAUAGCUUUGCCUCCAAACACUCCAUGACCUUUCCCACGGCUUUCACUCCUUCCUUCUUGCACGGGACCUUUCGCAGUUGUUUGGUUAACAAUUCGGUCGCGUUACUCUCCCAUAUCAGGCUUUGAGCUGUAGAGCAACUUUCCCAGGACCGCGCGUGAAAUCAGAACUGAAGUAACAUCAUUGCCUCACUGAUGGGGAUGGGGGUGGGGUGGGGGGCAGAAAGCAAACGCUGGGACCUGGGUCCAAGCCAACACUUGUGGCAUUUGUCUUACCACGUGGCACGUCCAGCUGCGUCAUAGAAGGUGGCGGCCACGUACUCGUCUUUCUUCACAAACCUCUGUCCAGACCCUGCUGUGUGCCGGGUACCGUACGAGGCCUUGCAAAGGCCGUAAUGAAAAAGGCAUAGCUCCUGCUUUCCAGAAGGCCACAGACUGGCAGAAAGGCUCUCUUAACCUCAACGUUUUGCUAGCCAUGGUUCUGAAGCUGAGGACUCAAUCAGGACUCAGAGCAAAUUAGGAAAUGGAGGUGAUGUUAUUUCUGAAGCUCAUCGGAAUUCCUGCUUGCCCGAACCUUGUUAUCGAUUAGGGUCCUUGGUUGGGUGUCAUCACCGGCAUCCUUGGAUUCAUAGCUGACCCUGGCCAAUUUUGCAUGACCCUCUACCUUAGCAGAUAGAAGUACCAUUUUUCAAGAUUGACAUGAAAAAAACCCCAAAAAACCCAAACAAGUUCCGCCCUGGGUCCCCACCCCCUACCUGGCCGCAGCGCUUUGUAAAAUCACUGAUUGUUUUAACACCCUCGAGAAGCCAGCAGGGCAAGAAGGCCAGAAUUAUGCCCAGCCAACACAGGAAUGGAGCACAGCUCUCUGGGAGUGUUUCCAUGGUAACAGUGAUAACAGCUUAUAUUUAUAGACCUUCUAUCUCCAAGGAGCUCAAAGCACUUCAGACGCAUUAUCUUCUGCAGAAGAGAGAGAGAGAAGGACAGAGGGACGGAGAGAGGGAGGAAGGGAGAAUGAGAGGAAGAAGGAGGAGGAGAAGGAAGGGAGAGAGGGAGGGAGAGAGGGAGGAAGGGAAGCAGGGAGGGAGGGAGAGCAUGAGCGGGAGACGGCAGAGGCGGGACAGAAGGACCGGGCGUGCUAUUAUACGCAUCUCACAGAUGGCACAGAAUGGGGGCCUCAGUGACCCAAGGUGGCAUGGGGAACCAGUGGCAGAUGGUGGACUGGAUGGACUGGAGGGACCCCUGGAGCCCUCACUGCUGGCCUCGGGCAGAUGUUAGGGCUGAGCUGCCGAGUCCUAGCAUCUAGCUCUGUUCAGUGUCAUCCGGGUGAUCAGAUAACUCCAGGGACGUCAGAGGCAGUUUGGCUCAACUAUUGUUGACAUGAAACACAGGGGCGAUUCUUCUAUGGAGAUUUGAAGAUAAUGUUCAGGGCCCUCAUGGCCACAUAGUCACCAGACAAUCCCAGACGGUAUUCCCAGGAACGAGAGGCUUCGAUGUUCUGAUAACCUCAGACAAAAAGGACGGCACACACAUAUAGAGGGUCUACACCCAUUGAUGGAAGUGGUUCUUUAAACCCAUUUCACAGUGCCCCUAGGACCGUCGGAGGGAAAGCAUCUCGAACCAUCCGCCCUGAGACACACACCUGUCCCAUUAGAUGUGAGAGGUGGGGUAGAUUUAUUUGAAGGCUACAGCCUGGGAACUUGAAAAUGAGUUCUGUGAAUCCCCGAUCUGCCAUUUUUUUUUUCUCUUUUUGGUGUUGUUUACAGAACACUUUGUAUGGGUAAAGCCACAGCCUCUGUAGAGGCGUAAACCCUGAGGUGGGUCGCAGCGAUCUCGAACUCCUUCAUCCGGGAGUCAUUUCCGUCCUCAUUCCUUUUUAGUCGGAGUUUACCGACCCUGGUCCCGGCGUCUCACCCUCCUAGACCUUCUGUCCCUCUGCCCCCCGCCCGCCAACCUCUUCACUCCCCAUUUGGUCUUUAGAAAAUAGGAUCUAUCUUCUCUUCUGCAAAGACCUGUGAUCUGCAGAAGAUUCAGCCAACACUUGGCAGCCCUGAGAGGUAAGGUCUAUCCCCUGUGGGUCCUCAGGGUCCUUCCCGAACAAUCAUGCUGGUUCCUACAUCGCUUCUUGUCCACCUUCACGGGCUUCAGGGGCCCCCCCUGGGUUAAGGGGUUGUAGUUUGGUAACUCGAGUGGUUGAGCCUCAGGAAGGUUUAAAAUGUUUGAUUUACAGGGGUGUCCGGGUGACCCUUCGGGCCCCUAGCUUUGUGCCAUAGGCACUCGGUAUUUGUAAAUGAGUGACAGUUGUGUGGCUCCACCCUCCUUCCCUCCCUCUGUCCUCACACCUUUUUCUUGGCUCCCUAUUCGUCUUCCUUGAGGGUCCCGCGCGUCCUGGCCCCUCCGGCUGGUUGCCAUGUAGCAUUUUAUCUUUCCCCGUCCCAGCCCUUAACCACACAGCAGGGCGUUUGCUUAUGCUUACGAAUUCCUGGACGUCUUCUGUCUAGUGUCUGUUGUAUGUAGAAAACAGUAUUUUGAAGGUUUACGCUUUGGGUUAAAAAAUAAUAUUCUACUUAUUAAAGUUAAAAUUAGAAAAAUAUAGUUUAUUUUUGCUCAGCUUACAGAUGUAAUUGUUUUAUUUCUUAGUCUAACAGAGCUUAGCAAUCAUUCCUAAAGGGCCUACGAAUGAAGUGCGGUAAUUACCUCUUAACAUGCUGAGCCGUAAUUCCAAAUUUUAUGUACACAUUCAUAUACGCAUGUACAUAUAUACAGCACACACACGUAUAUAUGCAUAUCUAUUUGAAUUAUCAGACAAAGCUUUCCGGAGUACUUUCAUACUUACAUACAUUUGAGCCCUUAAAUUUAUAAAUACAAGGUUGCAGAGUUGUCUUAUAUGUUCCAAUAAAUUUAGUAAGAAUUCAACUUAAAAUCGUAAAACUCCGCAUUCGUUACUCAAUUGUAUUUUAAAGUGGCAUUAUGAGGCGACCAUUCUAAUUUGCCCAAUUCUCUUAAAAAUUACAAAUACACAAAACAGAAAAUAUAUACGAUUUUCUCUUUAACAUGGGCUAUAAAAUUCUAUGGUUUGGCUCUCUCACGUCUUUCCAGGCUUCAUUCUCAAUCUUCCUGAUGUUAAGAAACACAUACCUGGGGCACCUGGUUGGUCACCCGGGUCUGCCUCUGGAUGUUGGCUUGGGUUCGUGAGUUCGAACCCCGCAUUGGGCUCUGCACUUGACAGUGUGGAGCCUGCCUGGGAUUCUCUCUCUCCCUCUCUCUGCCCCUCCCAUAAAUAUUAAAAAAAAGAACAAGAAGAAGAAGGAGAAAGAAACACAUAUUCUAUCUAAAGGAAGCCAUUUGCCACACAGCUUACGAGCAGAGUUUUGGCCAGGACGUUGGUUUGCUCACCGUUGAAGGGACUUUUUGAACGGGUAGGAGUUGGAGACUUUCACACUAAAAAGGGGGCUCUCCCAGGUCUCCCGGCACUUUGUCUAAUUCUUUGUGCCCUCAAGGAGGUCUGAAGCCCCUGUUCUUGUUGACUGGGUUUUGCCUUUCCUUGGAGCCUUAAAAUUGGGAAAUAUAUUCACAAGUAAUGCAAACUUGAUGGGAUGUUAAGGUUUGUACACUUUAUCUUCUUGCUGGUAACAAAUCCUAAACACUAGAUAACUAAAUACGGAAGAACUUAAUACGAAAAAUAAAUAGCAGACAGAUUUGAUCUCGAUGGGGUUCUCAGUUCCUUCACAGUCUCUGUGUCGUACCACCCUUAAGGUUAUUCGUUUGAUAUCCUGUUGAACUUCGUUUGCCUUGUCCCAACUCUUGAGGUCAUUCGCUGCCCCCCUCCCCACCCGGCUCCUUGCGUCCUCCAUUAGGCGGUGAGCUCUCUCAGGGUAGGACAAGCCGUGAGCCCAGAAGUCAGCACAUUGGUCGGCACAGAGCAGACAAACGUCAUCUGACCCUCCGGCUACAGGCCGGCAGGGAGACACCUGUAGCUGAACCCAGGGGUGGUUAUGGCCCAUUGCACGGAGACAGACGGUGCGCUGUGGGCAAGGAGGUGUUAGAGAGGACUUAGGAGGGGCUUGGGCUGGCUCGUGUUGGGGUGAUUUGGGGUGGGGCUUCGGGAAGCCGACUUUGCUAUGAAUCGGAUGCUGCCAGAGAGCAGAGAUCACCGUGAUGGGGAGGUUGGCGGGAGGAAGGCGAGAGACGCGAUCGGGACAGAAACGGCGGUCAUUCCUGCUAGUCAGGAAGGGGAUGUUGGCUCGUUUGGGGGUUUCGACAAUGCCCGCGUUCUUGUCUGUUCAGACACAUCACGGAGCCCUCUUGUCUGGAACUCGCUUCAUCGCCGUCACGGGGUGGCCUGUUCCGCUCUCGGGUGAAAUUGUUUCUGUUCCACGGAAACACCGAGACCUGGCCACGAGUGCCGGGCCAGCUGGCAGUGGCAGCAAGGGGUAGCCGUGGUAGGAGGCUGGCUCCCGUGUGGACUCCAGGACAACCCUAGGUGGCCGAAGGGCCGGAUCCCAUCCUCCUGCUCCGCCCUCGCUGGGCCUCGGGGCGUAGCUUAUCCGGGGGGCCUCGGUUCCUGGUUCCUCUGCCUCCUCCUCUCACCAUCUCUGUCGGUAACUGGUACCUUUCAGUGUAGCAACACUGUCCUUGGAGUCUGGAGAGCAAAUCAGACGUGCUCAGGGGCGCAAGGCCGGCUGGCCAGCGGGCGUUCCCUCCCCUCGCGCGGGCGCUCGCCCGUCCUCCUCCAGCCCAGAACUUCCACCCUGGCUGGUGGAGUCAGUCAAGCUGGCACGGACCAGGCUCUCAGCCCCCUGCGGCUUACUUGCCAAAAAUAUUUCUGCAACUGGAAUGCAAUUUGGAAAAUGUCUUACAAACAGAGUAUCUUGGAGAAUAUUUUAACUUCCCUGAUCAAGGUAUGAUGCACUACUCUUCCGGAUAGUAUAGCUCUCCCAGUGCUUAGAGGUGGAGAUCCUGGUUCACCCCGGUCCCUGACAUCACCCCGGUCCCUUCAGUUGGACACCUUUCAAACGGAAUUUGACGGGAUCCCAAACAUAACACGCUUAGAGUGAACAGAAAUGCUUAAGAGCCUGGCUCAGAGAACUUUGACUAGGGGGGAAAGAAAAGUCCAGAGAUGAGUCUGUCCCACUAUCCUACUCUCACUAGCCAUGCAGAAUCACUUUGAUAAAGGCAACUUUUGGAGAACUACUCAAACAUUUAGAAGAUGAGAGUAUACAUAUUUAUAUGCAUAUAAAUAUAUAUGCACGGCUCACAUACCCACACAUAUACAACAUAUAUAAUAUAUAACAUAUAUAUCAUAUAUAACACAUAUAUCAUAUAGAUCAUGUAUAUAUGAUACACACAUAUCAUACGAUAUAUAUACAUCUUCUUCCUCAUUUGACUGAUGCUGUGAUUGUGUUAGCAAUAACGAUGACCUUCCUUGGCAAAUGCUUAUUAAACCGACAGAAUGAAGAAGGCCUUGAUUACUCCUUGGUUUUUAAAUUAAAUUGCAGGGUAUCUUUAAUCAAUCAAACCUACCAAUGAACCAACAAGCGCCUUUCCUGAGAGGAACUGUCAAAUGAACAAGUAAAUGGCUGGAAGUGGAAAAUAGGCAAAAUGUAGUGGUUUAUUUAUUGUUGAUGGACACUGACCUCUUUAUAGACUUCAGUUUUAGCUUUUAUGAAUAUGUCAAGGGCAAAGUACAGAAUCCAAGUAUGCAAUAAGAUCCUUGUGUAAUGGGGCAUUCACUGUUCUGAGAGCUGAGAGACCUGACUUCUAGUAUCAUCUUAGUUGUUAAACGUUGACCUUAAGCAAACGCGCAAACAAAAAUGUCUGGAUCUCGGUUUUUGGAAGAUCAGAGGAAUUACACCAACAGGUUUAGUAGGUUGCUUACAUCUUAAAUAUUCCAGAUUUUACAGGGAUACAUGCAUUUAGUCAAUUAUUUAAUACAGGAAGCUCACAAGAAAUAAUAACUCUUAUCAUUAGUGCAUGCUGCCACCAGGUGAGGGUAACGUUUUGCCCAUAAGAUCGUGUGCUCCAAAUUGUAGGCUUUUGCCAUACCUGUGUUGUAUCUGGGCAUGCCGUAUCUAUAUCAUAUCUGAAACAUAUGUAAUACUCUCACCUUUUGCCUCCUUUAAAACAAAUAUUUGUUUAAGCAUUAAGCUUAGCCAUUAUCACGUACUUGCUGGCCCGCGUCUCGGUCUGCUCAUGAUCUGAUUUUAUCUAUCGCCUAUAAAUGCUUCUUGGCCUGGAAGCUUGGGCUGGGCUCCUGGUAGGAAUAAUAUAGUACAUAUCUGGGCCACUAAGAUCCUGAAAAAAAAAAAAAAAAAAACAACUUUGUCCAACCAGAAAAAAGUCAUUUCCCUAUUUCUCCUCAGGACGGGGGGAAAACAAAAAUGCCUGGAUCUCAGUUUUUGUAAAAUUAGGGGAAUUACACUAACGGGUUUAGUAGGUUGCUUACAUCUUAAAUAUUCCAGAUUUUACAGGGAUAAAUGCAUUUAGUCAAUUAUUUAACACAGGAAGCUCACAAGAAAUAAUAACUCUUAUCAUUAGUGCAUGCUGCUACCAGGUGAGGGUAAUGUUUUGCCCAUAAGAUUGCCCAUAAGAUUUAUGCUUUGCAUAAAGAUCCUAGAUAUUAACAGCUUAAUUAUAUGCCUACCAAAAAUGUAAACAUUAUAGCAAGCAUUUUUGAUAAAGAAAUUUUAGGUCGUUUUCUUGGUGAGCAUCUUUUACUUUAAAAACCUGCAUAGGAAGUGAAUUAUUUUAACAAUAGCCUAUCUGAAAAGACUUGUUUAUUUUUAUUAUUGGGUACCGUAUGUUAAAUAAAACAAAAACACAAAUUCACAGGGUUUUUCAAACUCUUUUAUACAAAGAGUUUCGGGAAAGGAGGCCCUUCUCAUGAGCUUGGUUUCGGUGCCCAAAGCUUAAUCCCGUGACCUUCAGUAGCAAGAUCAUACCCACAACAUGUGGCAGCUGGAGACAAAGAAGGAAGGACAUUAGGAAACAUUCGGAGGACAGAAUGUCUGGCAUUAAAACCUCCCAUUAGCACCAGAGCCUGCCUUAGGCACACAGAUCUACUGUAUUGACUUUGGCAGUGCGUCUACCUUGUCAUGCCAAUAAAGUUAACCGAGGUUGAAAAUUGAUUGAUAACACAACCCAGUUCUGUCUGUCUCUCCUUUCCCUUGGUCUGCGAUUUGGCUUAGCUGAAUGUGGCAGAACCCCCUCUUUCCGUCCCCGUGUUCUUCCUCCUCUCUGGGUCAGGACCUGGGUAGCCCCUUCCUGCGGGAGAGGCAGGCUGCCUCAGGAAAUCGUCUUUCCUGGCCUCCUCCUACAUCUACAGGCACUUGAUGUCUGUUUAAGGAAAAUUAAGCUGCUGUGUACUCUGCGAAGUGUAUUCAAUGGUGUUCUGUCUACAGACGUAUGUGUGCCUAGUUAAUCCAUUUAGGCAGAAAAAAAAAAUAACAUGACUCUAGCUAAAAUAGUCUCAGCAACACGAGAAAUGCUUUAGCACCUGCUCCACAGCUCACGGGGCAUCCUUCUGACCUUGCAGAAGCUUCUGGACCUUGCAGAAGAGGUGUGCCCCCGGGAACUGUGGAUGGAAAAGAGACUGGAGGGGCGAGAGUGCCUGCGAGGUCUCAAUCUGAAAGGACAGGAAGGGGAAGGAAGGAGCUACUUAGAAACUACAGGCUGUUAGAUCUGCAGAGCUCUCUGGUGCUUUCUAGUAGAACCUCCUCAUAUUGUAGGCAAAGAGGCACAGUCCCCAAAGGGUAGUCGUCUGCCCAAAGACACGUGGCUGAUUUCAGUGACGAAGCCAACUUGGAAUCCCGGACUCCUAGUCUGGUAGUGUUUUGCUUACACCACACUGUUUUACUUGUGAGAGCUACUGGCACUUCUGGGAGACAACGGGCUCUAAUCGCAACCUCACCACUGAUGUUGGACAUGACUUUGGGUGAGUCACUCUCUCGGAGCCUGUUUCGCUCUUUCUUUCAGCUGGGACAGCGCCGGGCCAAGGUGACGCACAGCUACAGCUCAAGCAUUCUGGAGAUAGGUGCACUCUAGAUGUUUUUAUUCUGUGUGUUUCAAGGAAUGUUCCGAGCGGUCGACUGUACCCACACGUGUCUGCUUUCUUUGUUUUUCUCUACCUGGAGGUUGCUUGGUCUCCUGAUCAGAGCGUGUUAGAAGCAGACUAAAUCUGACUGCUCUCAUAUACGAGUUUCGCUUAUUCCAGAGAUCAACCAAAUUCUGCUAGCCCGUGAAUCCUUCCCUUUGAGGCUGCCCCCAGAAUGGCUGAGAAAGUGAUUGCCCCCGGCAAAUCGAGACAGUGAAAACACAACACACAGCUAGGGCUCUCUUAGAAUGACCGCCCUUAACAAUUUGACCGGGACAUUACAAGAGAAUAAUGACUUGGGCAUUUUUGGCUUUGAGCGAAUCUAAAAGUUAAAAUGAUGUGAACUUCUAAAACGGACACACGAGGCGAUAGCUACUCACGUUAUUAAACGAUUCUUUGUGCUUCUUGCAGACUUUUCUUCCAUUAGCAUAAUGGAGAACGCAGCUCGAUUUGUACACAUCUAUCGCGCAAAGUAGUUGACCCCAGAUAUGCAGAACGCGUUCAGAACCUCGUCUUUGCCACACACGCGCUACAGUCCCAACAAUCCCUGUCUUCUCCCGUUAUUGACUCAUAUUAAAGACAUUGAAAAGUGAAAAAAUAACGUACGUCUUCUCUACAAGGCACAUAGAGCUAUUAGGACAGAAUAGAAGGUUACCUGCGGUAAGUUUCUAGGAAUUGCUUGGUCGGAGGCCAUUCUUACUUUAAGGCUGUUGAUGUACGUCUUCAAACUGCCCUGAAGAAAAGUGGUACCCCCCACCCCGCCAUCUGUGAGUUAUUUUUUCCCCUGCCCUCCCACAACAGCCAUGCCCAUUAUACUUUAAGAUACUAGUUUUUAGAACAGUUUUAGGUUCACAGCAAAAUUAAGAGGAAGGUACAAAGAUUUUCCCACACCCAGUCUGCCCCCACACCUGCACACCCCCUUGCCCCGCAGAGUGCUAUGCUUGUUACAACUAGUGAAACCGUAUUGGUACAACCUAACCACUCAAAGUCCAUCGCUUACAUCAGGGUUCACUUUGGGUAUUGGACGUACUAUGGGUUUGGACAGAUAGAUGGUGGCAUGCAUUCAUCAUUAUGGCAUCGUACAGAGUACUGUGACUGCCCUAAAAGUCCUCUGCGUCGUGACUGUUGGUCCCUGCCGUCACCUCCUUUCCCCAGCCGAAUCUUGCCAAUCAUGGGUCUCUUCACUGUCUCCAGAGUUUCUCCUUUUCCAGAAGGUCGUAUAGCUGAAGUCACACCGUAUGAAGCCUUUUCAGAUUGGCUUCUUUCAACUCGGCAAUAAUAGGCAUUUAAGGUUUUUCUAUGCCUUUCCAUAGCUUAGUAGUUCGUUUCUUUUCAGCACCGAAUAAUAUUCCAUUGUCUGGAUGUCGCACGGUUUAUUUAUCCAUUCACCGACCGAAGGGAAGGGCAUCUUGGUUUGUUUCCAAACCUUGGCAAUUAUGAAUAAAGCUGCCGUAAACUCUACGUGCAGGUUUUUGCGUGGAUAUAAGUUUUUGAUUCCUUUGGGUAAAUGAGGUAAAAGUGUGUUUAGCUUUGUAAGCAAUUUUCAAACUGCCUUCGAUAGUAGCUGUGUUAUUUUGUAUUCCCACCGGCAAUGAAUGAGGGUGUCUGUUUUUUCACAUCUUCGCCAGCAUUUGGUAUUGUCGGUGUUCUGGAUUUCGGCCAUUCUGAUAGGGAUGGGGUGGUAUCGCGUUGUUAUUUUAAUUUGUAUUUCCAUUGUGAGAGACGACGUGGAGUUUAUUUUCACACACCCUAAUUGCCAUCUGUAUAUCUUUUUUGGUGAGGUGCCUGCUAAGACUUGGCCCAUUGUCCUAUUUGGGUCGUUUGGGGGGUUUCUUCUUGUUGUUGAGUUUUAAACGUUCUCUGCGUAUUUUACAUACUAGCUCUUUGUCAUAUGUGCCUUUCGUAAAUAUUUUCUCUCAGCCUGUUGCUUGUCUUCUUGUUCCCUUGACAGUGUCUUUUGCAGAGCGGACAUUCUUAUUAAUUUUAAUGAAGUUUGGCUCAUCAACUGUUACUUUCAUAGAUCGCGCCUUUGGUGUUGUCUAAAAAGUCAUCCCCAUAUCCGGCAUCAUCCAACUCUUCUGUGUGACCUUCCGGGACCUUUGGACUUUUGUGUUUUACAUUUAGGUCUCUGAUCCAUUUUUUAAGAUGCUUGUGUCAUUUUGAGAGAAAGAGAGAGAGAGAGGCAGAGAGAGAGGGAGACAGAGCAUACAACACGGGCUCCACACUGACAGCAGAGAGCUCGAUGAGGGGUUCUAACUCAUGAACCAUAAGAUGUUGAACCAGCUGAGCCACCCAGGUGCCCCUCUGAUCCAUUUUGAGUUAAUUUUGGUGAAGGGUGUAAGGUCUGUGUCUAGAUUCUUUUUUUUUUUUUUUUUUGCAUAUGGAUGUCCAGUUUUAGCACCAUUUGUCAAAAAGACUAUCUUUUCUCCGUUAUAUGGUCUUUGCUCCUUUGUCAAAGGUCAGUUGACUAUUCUUAUGUGCACCUAUUUCUAUCCUGUUCAAUUAUUUUUCUAUUUUCUGUUCUUUUGUUAAUACCACACUGUCUUGAUUAUUGGAGUACCAUUGUAGCCUUGAAGUCAGGUACCUCAGUCCUCUGACUUCCUUCUCCUUCAACACUGUGUUGGCCAUUAUGGAUCUUUUGAUAUACAUUUUAGAAUCAGUUUGUCAAUGUCCACAAAAUAACUUGCUGGGCUUUUGGUUUGGAUUGCACCGAAUCUACAGAUGAAGUUGAGAAGGAUUGACAUUUUGACAAGAUUGAGUCUGCCUAUCCAUGUUCAUGGACUGUCUUUCCAAUUAUUUCAUUCUUUGAUUUCUUUCAUCAGUUUUGUGGUUUUCCUCAUAGAGAUCUCCUACAUACUUUUGGAAUCAUUUUUGAUAUUUACAUACAAAAGAUAAUCACUUUCUUUAGACACAUGUACAGGUCUUUAAUAGCCAACAGGGGCAGAGGAAAUGAGGUCCCGCCCUGUCCCCCACAGUCCCCAUCCUGUGGUUGAAGCCACUGCCCGGCCCUCCCUCCUUCCCAACAUGGCAACUCACAGAGGUUGCUUUACACUUUGGUCGUAAUGUGUUAUGUAUUCCGCGGUGGGUGCGUGUCCCUUCCCAACAUCUCCAUGCUUAAAACCAAAAAUGGUUAGGGGUACAUCCUUCCUAGUGGCAUCAGUUCCUAAGCUAUAGUGGGAUAGCUGAAGAGAUCCGGUCACGAGUUAUUUCGUGAAAGGGGUGCGAGGGCCAGAGCUGGGGUAGCUGUGGGCAUUGCUGCACUCUGGUAUCUGAGUGAGGACAGAAGAGAUGGGACAGCACGGAGGGCACAGUGGCAAGCGGGGGGGGGGGGUUUGGUGAGACCCUGGGGACAAUUCUCCCCACCAGGUUUAGAUAGAUCGAUGUACCAAAGUUAAAAAAAAAAAAAAAAAAAAAACAAGAAUCCACAUAAUCCCCACUCCAAACACUGUUGACUUUUCAAACUUGUCCCACCAAGAUAAGUCAUACAGCAGUAACCAUCUAGAUCUUUCCAGGAAGUUAAGGUAGAGCCCCUGUACAUGCAGUGUUAGAUUUAUACCUAAGAAUUUCAUUUUGGGAAGUGGUAAUGUAAAUGGUAUUGUGGUAUUUUUUUUUCCCGUUUGGAACUCAAAAAUUUAUUGAAUGAAUACAUUCGAUAAAUAAAUAAGUAAAUAAUAAAUUCACCUUUCAUCUGAAGUCUGUUCUGUUACAAUAACUUUAUUUCAUUUUUUUAUUAUUAUGUUUGCAUCAUGACAAGUGCACUCCUUAAUCCCCAUCACCUAUCUCACCCCCCUCGCCUCCCCCUCCCCCCCACCUCCCCUCUAGUAACCAUCAGUGUGUUCUCUGUAGUGAGGAGGCUGUCUCUUGGUUUGCCUCUCUCUCUUUUUCCUUUGUUCACUUGUUUUGUUCCUUAGAUUCUGCAAAUAAGAUCAUACGGUGUUUGUCUUUCUCUGACUCAUUUUGUGUAGCAUUACGCUCUCAUCGGUUUAGCAAAUGGCAAGAUAUUAUUCUUUUUUAUGGCUUUGCCCAUUCAUCUUCUUCGUCCACUCAUCUUCUUUGUCCAUUCAUCUACCAAUGGACACUAGAGCUGCUUCCAUCGUGUCCCAAGAGGGUGAUUCCUGGAUCGUAGGGUAGUGCGAUUUUCGUUUUUCGAGGACGCUCCGUACUCUUCUCCACAGUGGCCUCACCGGUUUGCGUUCCCACCAACAGUGCUUUCUUUUUCUCCACGUCCUCGCCAACACUUGUAAUGUCUUGUUUUGAUUUUAGCUCGGCUCACCAGCGUGAGGUGGUCUCUCAUUGUGGUUUUGAUUUGCAUUUCCCUGAUGAGGAGGGAUGUGGCGCAUCUCGUCGUGUGCCUGUUGGCCCCCUGGAGGUCUUCUUUGGAGAGGUAUCUGUUCGUGCCUUCGGGCCAUUUUUAAAUUUGAUUAUUUUGUUUUUUGGGUGUUGAGUUUCAUAAAUUCUUUAUGUGCUUUGGAUGCUAGCCCUUUAUCGGACAUGCCAUUUGCAAAUACCUUCUCUCACUCCAUAGGCUGUCUUUUACUUGUGCUGACUGCUUCCUUCGCCGUGCAGAGGGUUUUUGUUUUGAUGCAGUCCCAAUAGUCCGUUUUUUAUUUUGUUUCCCUUGCCUCAGGAGACAUAUCUAGAAAAAUGUUGCUAUGGUCGAUUUCUCAGAGAAAUGAUUGCCUGUUCUCACUUCGAAGAUUUUUAUGGUUUCAGGUUUCACAUUUAGGUCUUUAAUCUGAGUUUAUUUUUGUGUAUGGUGAAAGAAAGCAGUCCAAUUUCAUUGUUUUGCACGUUCUUGUCUAGUUUUCCCAACACCGUUUGUCAAAGAGACCCUUUUAUCCCAUCGGAUGCGCAUUCCUCCUUGGUCAAAAAUUAAUUGGAGAUGUGAUUAUGGGUUUAUUUCGGGGCUUUCUAGUCUGUUCUGUUGAUCUGUGCGUCCAUUUUUGCGUCCAAAGCCAGCAUCCUGCUGUUUAAAUUACUACCACUUUGGACUACAAUUUGAAAUCUGGAACUGUAAUACCUGUUGUUCUGUUUUUCUUUGUCGAGAUCGGUUGACUUUUGGAGGUCUUCUGUGGCUCCAUACACGUUUUAGGAUUGUCUGUUUUAGUUCUGUGGAAAGUGCUAUUGGUAUUUUUAUGGGGGUUGCAUCAAACCUGUAGAUUGCUUUGGGAAGUAUAGACAUUUUAAUAAUAUUUGUUCUUCUAACCCAUGAGCACGGGAUGUCUUUCUAGGUCUUUGAAUUGUCUUGAAUUUCUUUCAUCAGUGUUUUCCAGUUUUCCCGCAGUACAGAUCUCUCACCUCUUCGGUUGUUUAUUCCUAGGUACGUUAUUGAUUUUAGUACAAUUGCCAAUGGGAUCGUUGGUUUUCUUAAUCUCUCUUUCUCCUGCCUUAUUGCUAGUGUAUAGGAAUGCAAAAAGACUUCUGUGCAUUGAUUUUGUAUCCAGUGAGUUCACUGAGUUCAGUUAUCAGUUCUCUUCAUUUUUCGGUUGCGUCUUUAGGGUUUUCUAUACGUAAUAUAAUGUCACCUGAAAAUCGUGAGAGUUUUACUUUCUCCUUACCAGUUUGGAUGCCUUGAUUUCCUUGUUUUGUCUACUUGCUGUGGCUAGGACUUCCAGUACUAUGUUGAAUGAAAGUGGUGAGAGGGGACAUCCCGGUCUCAUUCCUGAACUCAGGGGAAACGGUAUUGUGGUUUUCAUUUCGAUUUUCACGUUGUCAUCACUGGCAUAUGAUAAUUAAAAAUUUUUUAAUGCUUAUUUUUGAGAGAGAGAGAGAGAGAGAGAGAGAGAGUGCAAGCAGGGGAAGGGCGGAGAGAGAGGGAGACACAGAAUCCGAAGCAGGCUCCGGGCUCCGAGCUGUCAGCACGGAGCCGGGCACGGGGCUCGAACUCACGGACGGCGAGAUCAUGACCUGAGCUGAAGUCGGAGACUCUGCCGACUGAGCCGCCCAGGCACCCACCUUCUGUGCGUUAACGUCCUCUAACCUUGCUAUAACCGCCUAUUGGUUUCAGGAGUUUUGGUUAUUGUUGCUGUCGCUGUCCUUGAUCCAUUUGGAUUUUCUGUAUCGAUGACCAGGUCAUCUGCAAAAACAUAGGUGGGCGAAAAUAACCAGGGGUAGGUAGGAUUCACAUCAGUGAAACAGCAAAGGAUGGGCGCAGGUGGGGGGUUUGGAGUGGGAGGCAAGCGUGUACUGUCCAUGGGACGCCGCAGCAGGGACAGAGUUGAAGGUGCAGAUUGUGGAGAAUGACGAGCACCAGCUUAGAGAAAAGGCGUGGGACCAUGUUGCAAAGCAGGACAGAUGCCAGGCGCUGGGGCCGGAGCUUUUUACAUAGUUAGGGACUCCUGGCGAUUCUUGAGAGGAGAGCAAUAAAACGAAAACCUCUGGGUUGGGAUUAAUUCGGGGAUUUGUUUCAGGCUGUCUGGGAAAUAAGAGAGACUGACGUCAAGGAGGCUGAUUCUGUGAUAACCCCUCAGAAUUGCUUUCUGGAAAAGGGAGGGAAUUUUCUCACCUUCCAAAGAUUGAGAUGAAAUUGGUCACGUGUUCUCCUUCGUGUUCCGUACUUGUGCCUGGCGAGCAUGGUUUUCUCCAAAGUUGUGCCUUCCUUUAAGGUAAUAUGUUACGGAAAAAUCAAACUGAAGAGGACAAUCGGGUUGUUGUUUUGAUUUCCUUUUCUAAAACUUAUAUAUUUAAAAAAAAAUUUUUUUAACGUUUAUUAAUUUUUGAGACAGAGAGAGAGACAGAGCAUGAACGGGGGAGGGGCAGAGAGAGAGGGAGACACAGAAUCGGAAGCAGGCUCCAGGCUCCGGGCCAUCAGCCCUGAGCCCUACGCGGGGCUCGAACUCACGGACCGCGAGAUCGUGACCUGAGCCGAAGUCGGACGCUUAACCGACUGAGCCACCCAGGCGCCCCUAAAACUUAUUUUUUUUUAAUGUUUGUUUAUUUUUGAGAGGAGGGAGGGGCAAGGAGAGAGGGAGAGAGAGAAUCCCAAGCAGUCUAUGCGCCUACAUGAGAUCGAGACCUGAGCCGAGAUCGAGAACCCGACGCUUAACCGACUGAGUCACCCAGGCGCCCCAAGUUGUUGUUGUUUCCUAAUUGAACGUAUACUUUGCAAACGUCUGAGGAAACACAGCUAAGCGUAGGUGUGGAGCCAUUGUAACCUAGCAUUUCUGCAGGGGGUUUUACACUUUUACAAAGAACCUCCAGGUCCAUUGUCUCAGGGGACUCCAGAGCGGAACCUUAGGGAUGAGGAAACUGACAAAUAGUGUUGCCCAAGGUCGCAAAGCUAGCAACAGGUGAAGCCGGCACAUUAUUUUAAGAGGACAGUUCUAUUUAUCAAAAUUGAACAGAGAACAUUUCUGGAAUUAUAAUCUAAUAGGAAACAUGGUUUGAUUUUUAAAUAUCAAACGCAGAGAAUCUCUGAUGAAUACAACUUUUGCAGGAAGUGAGUUUCCCCUGCCUUUUUUUUUUUUUUUUUUCCUGAUAAUGACUAAAAUACCACCACCGGAGGCACCAUUUUUUUUUUUUUUCUGAACAUAUUGCAAAUCCCACCACUUACAUUAAUGGCUAUUAAUCUUUCUAGCUCAUCAGCAAAAACCCCGCCGUUGAUGUAAUACUAACAUGUUUUUGAGGGCUUACUGUGUGUGAGGCACUGUGGUGAAACAUUUCCUGUGUCACCUCAUUUAUUUCCUUCCAAGACCCUCUAAGGGAGGCAUUGCUCUGAUUCUGCUCUCAUUUUCCAAAAUGGGAAAACUCAGGCUUCGUGAGAGGGUAAGAGGGGGGCCUGCACGGAGCAGGGGCUCGUCUCUGGGGAGAGUCUAGAACGGAAACCUCUCCCAAACUCCGCCAAGCAAGGCAGUGGGAAAAGCGGUUGAAUGCACAACACACUCUGGAUUCUGGAAUCGGAAUUAUCGGCCGAAGCUUAAAUAAUCAAAUAACUCUAUGCUUCAAAUUCCUCAGGGGCGGGAGGGGCAUGAUACAGGUGCCUUCUGUGCAGGGUUAUCGUGAGGAUAGUGAGAUAGCGCUGGCGAGAUGCUGAGCAAAGCGGCCCGCGCCUUCCCAGGUAACGGCAAAUAUACGUGCAACGCUCCAGCGAAAAACAAACUCCUUUGGCAUAAGCUGUUGGUUUCAAGGAAGAGAGAGGCAUCCUGUUGUUAGGGGGAAAACAUAUUAACUGAGCACCUGUGCUGUGGUGCUCACAGCACCAGGUUUGGAUUAGAGGUUUGGAUUAGAUUGAAUCGUACGUUAUCGUUCCCAGUUUGUAAGUGAAAAUGUGAAAAUUCAACUAAUUGGCUCAAGGUCAGGUGGGAAAACCACAAUUUUAACUCAGGUCUGUCUGACCUUCAAGCUUCCGCCUUGUGGUAUCGUGUCUCAGGCACACAUGUUCCAGGCACGAGAUACAGAGGUAAGAUGUUUCCGCGAGUUCACGCCUUAGCACGACUGAAUUCUGCCGCCACCCUGCUUACAGGACUCCAAGUCCACAAAAGUGGGGCAUUCAAAUGUCUACAGGUGCCAGACAGGGGUCUCUCACUGCAUGUGAGAAAGUUAGCGGGGUCCACUGGAUAUUGACUCACGGAGAACGCUGAGCCCCGGGGACAGGGAGACAAUAGGGAGCAGUGGGGACUGGGGUGAGCUGGCAAGCUGCAUCACCGCUCCACCGUGGCGCAUUUCGGUCAUACGUGCAAGUGGUUUUUGCAAAAAUCUUGCGAUUUUUUUGAGAGAAGAGAAACAUUUAGACUUGCAUCUGGAACUACAUUAAAUUUUUCUCAUUACGCUUUUUCGUGUGAAAGAAUUGUAGAUUCGCACGCAGGUGUAAGGAAUAAUAGAGAGAGCUCCCUGGUGGUCCUUUACCCAGUUUCCCCCAAAGGUAACAUCUUGCAAUAUUAUAACGAGGGUUGGCAUCGAUAUAGGCGAGGUACAGAAUAUUUCCAUCCUCGUAAGAAUCCCUCAUGUACAGGAGAAGAAAACUACGAACACCGAGUACUCAUCACAAAUACAAACGCAAAAAUCUGUUCUAUGGAAUCUCUUUCAGGAAACAGAAGAGGAGGGAACAUUUCCCAAUGUAUUUUAUGAAGCUAGUGUUACGCGGAUAUUAAAACUAGACAAAACGGUACGAAAAAAGAUUUCUCUUACUUAAAAAAAAAUUAGUAAUUACAUUUCCUUAAGAGUUUAUAGAGUUGUUAGACCCCCCGAUAUUCUAUAGAUAUAAACUAUGCUGAUAACACUAUUCAGCUGCAGACAAGUCUACCUUCCGUCAGAAGGAAAGGACAACUUCAAGGCCGUGAGCUUGAAGUUCUGUGGGCUGUGAGCUCACAGAAUGGAUCCUUGAGACACAGAGGUCUUAGAACCUAAAGUCUGCCCAGCUGGAUUGCAAAAUGGGUCGGGAUUAGUAACUCCCGUCUUCCUUCCUUUUUUCGUUUUCAGUGGGAAUGUCGCUAAUUUGGUAACUGAUGCCUGAGCUAUCGCUGCAUUUUGGGAGAAGCUGACUUGGUUUCUAGGCCCGUAGAUGGAGAGGAAUUUUGCUCCAGGCUGGAUGUAAUUAAGAGUCUUCCCAUAACUGUGCAAAUGACUGAGAUGAUGACAUUUGGAAAUUUGAGUUGAUGAGCAUUUGGACUUUGCGUUUAUGCCGUAACGGAUUGAGACUUUUGAGGACCUCAGGGUGGGGUGAAUACACUUUGCCUGUGGGCCGGGCAUGAAUCUUUGGGAGCCAGAGGGCAGACUGGAGCAGGCAGAACAGUGGCUCUUCCGAGAAGUUCACGCCCUCAUCCCCAGAUCGUGUGAAUAGAUGACCUUCGCCAUGGCAAAAGGGACUUUACAGACGUGAUUGACCAUCUUGAGACGGGGAGACUGUCCUGGAUUCCCUCGGUGCGCCCAAGAAAACCACAAGGGUCCUUGCAAGUGAAAGGGACAAGGGAAUUACUGUCCAUGUGAUGCCAUGUGAGAAGGACUGGCACAGACUGCUGGCUUUGAAGACGGGGGGAGGGGUCAUGAGCCAAGGAACGAGGGCACAGCCUCAGGAAGGUGGACAUAGACUCCUCACUGGGGUCCCCAUGAAGUCACACAGUCUUGACGCACCUUGAGUUUAGCCCGAUGAGACCCACUUUGGACUUCUGACCAUCAGAACUGUAAGACAUUAAAUUUGUUUUUUUUUUUUUUUUUAAUUUUUUUAAUGUUUAUUUAUUUUUGAGAGAGACAGAGAAAGAAUGCGAGUGGGUUAGGGGCAGAGAGAGAGAGGGAGACACAGAAUCCGAAGCAGGCUCCAGGCUCCGAGCUGUCAGCACAGAGCCCGAUGCGGGGCUCAAACUCACGAGCUGUGAGAUCGUGACCUGAGCCGAAGUCGGACGCUCAACCGGCUGAGCCACCCAGGCGCCCCAAAUUUGUUUUGUUUUAAGAUAACUAAGUUUGCGAUAAUUUGUCAUGGCAGCAGUAAGAAACUAAGGCAAGUCCAUACGCUGAGUUUUAAUUUUGAUUGCUGUAUUUUUCAGUUCUAUGACGUCCAUUUAGUUCUUUUUUGUAUCUUCUGUUUCUUUGCUGAGGCUUUCUAUCUUUUUUAAACUGUGGUUUUUUUUUUUUUUUUUUAGUUAAAAAUGUUUUUUAUUUGAGAAAGAGAAAGAGAAUUUCAAGCAGGUUCCACACUCAGCACGGAGCCCAACGUGGGGCUUGAUCCCACGAUGCGGGGGUCAUGACCUGAGCCGAAGUCAAGAGUCAGAUGCUCAACCGACUGAGCCACCCAGGCACCGUGAGGGUUUCAAAUUUAUUUAUUUUUUUUUAAUAAGUUUCAAGCACGUUCACAAUUGCUUGUGGAGGAAUUUUUAUCUUGGGCAGUUUUGAAAUCUUUGUCGAGUAAGUCUUACAUUUCAGUCAUCUCUGUGUUGGCAUCUAUUGAAGGUCUUUUUUCCAUUCCCUUUGAGAUCUUCCUGGCUUGGGGGUGAUGGGUGACUUUUGACUGGAACGGGGACAUUUUUGCAUUGUGUUCUGAGGCUCUGGAUGUUGUUUAAAUCUACUCUUUUCUCUGACCUCUGCUGACACCAUCUUGGCGGGAGGUUCGGGCUGCCAUCUUGCCACUUUCAGGCAAAGGUGGAAGGCGAGGUUCGGCCAGGCUCACCACUUGGCCUCCAUUGACACUCAGGUAGGGGGGGCGCUCCUUUGAGGAAUGGUAGAUACGCCUCAUUACUGCCUGAUAGGCCCCCCAUGAAGGGGGAGGUGAGGGCUGUCUACCAGUCAUCGUGGAUGAAAUCCUGGCUCUCUUCUUGGCCAUCUCUGACACCACCCCAGUUGGGCGGUUGGGGUUAGAGCCUCACAAGAGUGGAAAUCAAGGCUUCUCACUAGUGGGUGGGGGUGGGGCCACAGAUCUUUUUCUGUGGUGUCUGGCUGGAGUAGAGCAGGUAUCGUGUAAACACUUUGCGUCUCGUUGGGCUGCCCUUCUGUCCUUCUGUCAUUCGGGCUUCACAAAGCAGGCUUUUCUUGGAGCUUUUGUUAUUUGUGCCUGUUAUUGGCACGAGCAUUUCUGGAUUGCAGGUUUCUUUUUUUUUUUUUACAAAAAUUUUUUAAUGUUUUUGUUUAUUUUUGAGGGAGAGAGAGAGAGACAGAGCAUGAGUGGUGGAGGAGCAGAGAGAGAGGGAGACACAGAAUCCGAAGCAGGCUCCAGGCUCCGAGCUGUCAGCACAGAGCCCGACGCGGGGCUUGAACUCAUGAACCGUGAGAUCAUGACCGAGCUGAGCUCAAGUCGGAAGCUGAUCCGACUGAGCUGAAGUCGGAUGCUUAACUGACUGAGCCACCCAGGCGCCCCAGGAUUGCAGGUUUCUUUAGUUCUAAGCCUGGGAUAUGUGAGCCAAAAAGAAAAUUCUUGGAACUCACUAUCGUGUUGUUUCUCAGGUCCUGAGACUCCUAUCCAACGUGGCUUCCCUUUUUUAUUUUCUAGAGUCUUCUGUUUGUUUUAUGUACAGUGUUCAAGGUUUUAGUUGUACUUAGUGGGAGGCAUGGAACAAGGUAAGUCUGCUCCAGCUUUCUGGAAGUGAAAAUCCGUCCUCAUUUUUUUAAUGUUGGUAACCAGUUAAAAGAAACAGUAACAAAUUUCGGGAAGGGAUGUCAAAGAAAAACCAUCUCUUUGGUCGAGGGCUCUCUGGUUGUGAUUUCUAAAUCUUUGUUAACAGAAGGAAACUGAAGGAAUAGAAAUGUUUACUUGUGUAUGGAUGCCUGUGGUGGCGAGGUGUGAUCGGCAAAGGGAGGGAUGAUAGAAAGAUAAUGUUGAAGCCUGGAGACCCUGGGGGGAGGGAAGGCCUAGAGGUCAGGAAACUCUAAAACACAGACCCUGGCAGGUGUCUGGAGGGAGAGCUCUUGGCUCCUAAGACCUCCCAGUACUUGAAAGUCCCUGUGUUCAAGUUUGCUGGAGCUACUGCCUUGGAAUUUUCUCUUUAGUUACCAACUUAAAAAGAAGAAUUUUUUUCUGGUUAUAAAAUUAAUACAGUUUCAUGUUGAGAAAAUAGGAAAACUCAGACAAGGAGAAAGAACGAAAUAACCGCGCUCCCCCCCCCCCCCCGCCCCCCCCGGCAAACCUUUUCUUCAGAAACUGCGGUUAAUAUUUUGGUGUGUUUCCAUCCAGCGUUUUAAUCUGUCUAUCCAUCCAUCUACAUACAUAAAAUUGUGGCUAUUCCCUUGUAUACUUUUAACUGUUUCUCACGCCCUUCCCUUGUCACUGAAUAAUUUGGAAGCCACGCUUUUGAUAACGCUAUUGGGUUCCGUUAUUCGAAACUUUGCAACGUUGCUCCCAUUGUUGAACGGUUUAUUGUUUAUAAUUUCUCACCCUUAGAAAUAGUGCUGUGAAGAGGCGCCUGGGUGGCGCAGUCGGUUAAGCGUCCGACUUCGGCCAGGUCACGAUCUCGCGGUCCGUGGGUUCGAGCCCCGCGUCAGGCUCUGGGCUGAUGGCUCAGAGCCUGGAGCCUGUUUCCGAUUCUGUGUCUCCCUCUCUCUCUGCCCCUCCCCCGUUCAUGCUCUGUCUCUCUCUGUCCCAAAAAUAAAUAAACGUUGAAAAAAAAAUUAAAAAAAAAAAUAAACGUCAAAAAAAAAAAAAAAGAAAUAGUGCUGUGAUGAGAAUGCUUGGUCGUACAUCCUCUUCAAUCCUAGACGCGGCAAGGCUUGAGCAAAGGGUAUUUAAGACUUUCGGAUCCUCAGCUUGUUCUCCCCAAAGGCUACCAAUUUAUAUUUCCACCUCCAGGAGUAGACAACGCUUGCCUCACUGCAGUCUUGCAGGCACCGAGAAUGAUCAUUUCAAAAAUCUUUGCAAAUUGGAAAGCAGAAAGGUCUCUGGUCAUCUAAUUUGCAUUUAUUUUGUUCCUGCUGGUGUUAAACAUGUCUUUUUGGCCUUUAAAAUUUUUUCUGAUAACGGCUUUUCGUUCCUCGCCAUUUUUUUUUCCCGUUGUAAUUUUUCUUCUUAGUGGUUCGUCUGUCACAUGUGUUACAAGGAUAUUUUUCUAGUGCACCAUUGCCCUUUGAUUUGCAUGUGAUGAUGCUUGACAGAAAGCAGUUUACAAUUUCAAGCCUGUUUGUUUGUUUGUUUGGGUUAUUUAUUUAUUUAUAUUUUGUUUUCGAGAGAAGAGAGAACACAAGCAGGGGAGAGGCAGAGAGGGAGAGAGAGAAUCUUUUUUUUUUUUUGGAAGAAGGAAAUAAAUUCAAUUAUUUCUGUAUUAAAUAACAGUAUCUCUACAACGCAAAGCCCAGGCCCAGAUGUCUUAGAUCAACUAUAACAUACAUUUAAUGAGGAAUCAAUACUCAGGACUCCUAAACAUCUAGGAAUGCUUUUCACUUAAUUCUGUGCGUAUAUUAUACUGUGAUACACGGGCGCCACAAGUAAGUAUAAUGGCAGAUCAGUAUAACCCAGGAAUAUAGUCACAGAAAUCUUUAAUAAAAUACUAGAAAAUGGAAGGUCCUGAAGUCACAUAAACUUCUCAACAGAUACAGGCAACUACCCUUUAAAACCCCACACCGGGGCGCCUCGGUGGCUCAGUCGGUUGAGCGUCCGCCUUCAGCUCAGGUCACGAUCUCGCGGUCCGUGAGUUCGAGCCCCGCGUCAGGCUCUGUGCUGACAGCUCUGAGCCCGGAGCCUGCUUCCGAUUCUGUGUCUCCCUCUCUCUCUGCCCCUCCCCCGUUCAUGCUCUGUCUCUCUCUGUCUCAAAAAUAAAUAAACAUUAAAAAAAAAUUUAAAACCCCACACCCAUUUACAAUUUUAAAAAGUCUUCAACAAACUAGGAAUAGAAAGGAACUGGUUCACCCUGAUAAAGGGCAUCUCUGAAAAACCUACAGGUGACAUCAUACUUAACAGAACAUCAUAAUAGCCAAGUAUGUUUUCUGAGAGAGAGGGAAUCUUAAGCAGGCUCCACACUCAGCAUGGAGCCUGAUGUGGGGCUCAAUCCCAUGACCCUGGGAUCGUGAACUGAGCUGAAAUCAAGAGUCGGAUGCUCAACCGGUUGAGCCACCCUGGCGCCCCAUCGAGUCUGUUAUUCUUUUAUUUGGAUUCCUAUCAAGCUUUUGUGCUUAGAAAGUUCUUCUCUAUUCGUUCCGUUUAUCUGCUGCUGUGUAACGAACCACCUCAAAAUUUAAUGGCUUAAAACAACAGUCGUCUCCCAUUUUAUAACUUUUGUAGGUCAGGAAUUGGGCAGGCUCAGCUGGUGGCUUUUCUGCUCCGCCUGAUGUUGACAGAAGUCAUGGAGUCUCUCUGCAUUGAGAGAAGCCAAGAUGGCGUCACCCACAUGUCGGGAGCCUUGCGGCAUGGCCACAAGGCUGGGCUGAGUAGGGACAGUUCCCUGAAUGUUUCCAUGUGGCCUGCCCAACAUGCCGCUUAGGCGUAGUCAGAAUUCUUACAUGGCAGCUCAGGGCUCUGAAAGUAAGUGUUCCGGCAAACAAAGCAGAAGCAAGAAAGCCUUUUAUGACGUAGCCUUGGAUGCCAACUGCUCUGAUGGUCAAAGCAGUUUCCACCUGCCCAGAUUCAAGUAAGUUUCAUGGGCUCUACCAUAUUAUUUGUGGCCAUAUUUUCAUGUUGCCAGUCUAUCCCAGGGUAAGUUACAAGCACACCUACCUUUCCUUCUAGCUGGUUUAUGCUACUGCUGCUGCUUCUCCUUCUUGCUCUUUUUAUAAACACAGAAUCCUUAAUCCAUCUAGAAAAUGUUUUUAUACAGAAUUUACAACGAGGUUCAAAUUUGAGUAUUUCUCCCUAAUAGUAAAUGAUUUCACUAUAACCCUUUCUGGAAUAACCAUCUCUUCCCCGAUGGCUAACUUUUAUGGACACUAGGGCCCGUGUGAAUAUUCUGUUAGUGGAGGAAAAAUAGCCUUGACUUUUCUAGCACUCUUCUCUCUGAGCUAAGAGUAGAACCUCCUAGUUAAGUUCAGCUUUUCAGUCUGAAAAGCACCGGCCACACCACUGACCCUGGGCUGGCCGACAAGCAUCGCUCUGGAAGGUCUCUCUUAGCUGGAAGGACUGUUGACCUAACGCAGAGGGGCUGCUACUUUUCAGUCUGCUUUUCGCCACGGGAGGCUCUGGGGCUGUGAGCCUUGGGCUGCUGCCCUGGGUGUGUCUGAGGUGCUUUUGUUGUUAUAAUUCCAAGUAUAAUAGUUCCUGGGGAAGAUUGCUUCUGAGAUGAAGUAACUUGAUUGCUUCCAGUGGGGAAAAGCAUUAGCUCACUUCUAUUAAUGAACUUGGCCCAGCUGAACAAAGGAGGAACUCCAGUACUAUGGGGCCGGUUCCCCUUCCCCUCCCCCUCCUCCUCCCCCUCCAUCCUUAGGUCUUGGCCAACGCUGGCUCCACCCGCCAAGCCUCCACCCUGGAGGGACCUCUGGCCUGGCCCCCAGCUUCCUCACUGACCUCUCUGCUUCCUCCUCCCCACCACAUAGGAAUGUGGGGCUGACCCUUGUGUCACAGCUCUCACAAUUCUGUGUUCUUCGCCUGGGCUCUCCCUUUGGUUCGUAACAACCCGCAUCGUGGCUGCGGUGGUUGUGGCCGCUCCUGUCCUGACUUUUCUGCUAUGCUGCUAGCUUUGUGACCUUAUCUUGUUUAAUUUCACCCACCCAGUUUGGUGAGGUAGCCACUGUCAUUCCCAUUCUGGAGAGAAGUGGAUGGUGGAACAAGGAUUUUAACCUCGGUAGUCUGCUUAAUGUUUAGACAAUGUAGGAGACUCUCUCUCUUCCCUCAUGCUAAUCUCGAUUCCUAACCGUGGACUGGUAUUUCCUUGGAAAAAAAAAAAAAAAAAGCCACACGCAGCUGAUACCAAGGGCCACAGGGGAAGGACACCUGCCUGAGGACAUAUAAUCCUGUCUGGCAGGAACUUUUGAAACUCAGCCCUCCUGAAGGUUUACUUGCCUCAUUCCUCUGCUUCCUGCCAGAUCAUUCUCUCAGACGAGGCACAGCAGAGAUGACUACCCUUCAGUUAACUGGCCACCCCCCCCCCCACCUUCUCCGGGGAGUUUUCUGCGUAACUUAAUUCUCCAGCUCCGUGGCUCACUUCUUCUUUUUCAAACUCUUUCUUCCAGAGGAAAUUUGCUUCUGUGGCCGGAGCCCCCAAAUACACCAAGCCUUCCGUGGAAAGAAAGAGGCAGAGGCAGAGAAGGAAGAGGUUUCAUAACACAGAUACUAUAGGUUGCUCAUUGCUGAGGAAUCUGGGCAUUGGAUGGCACUUGUCCCGGGUGGAAGGUCCAGCAGCGUGGGGAAGGGCUGGCGCCGAGUUAGGCAGGAGGCAACGGGGAGGAUUUUCCAAGGAGGGUGGGGGGGUGGGGAGAACCCAGAGAAGGCUCCCACAGGCUGUACCCUGUGCUCCCUUUUAGCCCUUCUGAAAAUAACAAGAUGGAAACCCGAGCUGUCAGCACCGGGGGCCUGCCAGAUUCUGGGGUGGGGGGGUAUGAACAGGAGAGGAAUGGACCAACCCGAAGUUAAGUGAAGGAAUAGCGAGUGAUCAGUGAAUCGGCUACUUGACCAUCACAUUUUAUACUUAAUACAAAUCUUGGAGAGGAAGACUUAGGCAUGUCUUCAGGAUCAAAUAGUUUCUUGACCUAUUUCUUUUGGUCAGAGUCCUUUUUUUUUUUUUUUUUUUUUUCAUAAGGAUGAAAAGAUUUCAAGCUUUUCCAAAAGCACCUUUAUACAGCUCCCAGCAGGGUCUCCAAUAAAGUUGUGAAUUGUGUUUCCUGCUUAUGAAAAGAGUGCUAUAUCCUCCAGAGAGGGGCAUUGGUCAGUCUUGUAACAGAGAGUGAAAUCGGGGCCACAUAUCACCAUUUCGACUUUGAUACUUCUCUGGAAUCAGAAUGUGUGUACCAUCAGCCCAGGUGACUCAGCACUACAAGAAGGCUUUGUUUUCUUUGCGCUGGUGAGCCUACUUUAAUAUUUUGCAUACAUGAAGCUUUUGGUGGAGCCCUUCUAUUGCUUCAGCCCACACAGAUAAAUGACGGUUGGGCCAUUCUGAGUUAAUGCUUUUGAAAGGGCUUUCUAUCUUUAAUCAGAUUGUAGCUCUGGGUAAACAAAAUCCUUGUCUUUGGAUAGUUUGAUUUUCCCAAGAAUGAAAUUAGUGUAAUUUUAUUCAUUCUCUCCUUAGAGCUCGAUGGGGCAAUUUUGUCUGUUGUAGACACGGCUGGUUGCCUACCAGGGGGCUAUUUCCCUCUAGCUACCUUGCUCUCAGAAUCUUAAUUUUGGCUGCCCUCCUCUGAGGGGUUGUGUCCCGUACAGGAACUUGGACUCUCCCCCACCUCCGAGGGUGAGUCUUCAUUGGUCUAGGCCAAUUGCGGUGGCCUCGCCUCACCCCGCCUCGGGAUUGUUGAAGCAUGGGUAGACUGUGCCAAUUCUGGCCAGUGAGACGUAGGGGACCGGCCCCCCUUCUCUGGAAGGACGCAAGAUGGGGGCCUUCUCUUUUUCUCUUUCUGAAGGUGGUUUCUGGCACGUGAGGCCUGACCUACAGCAGAUCUGGGGACUGGGGGAGAAAGCUGCAGAAUUGUUAAGCUAGAUGCACGACGUUCCUAUGUCGGUGAACGACCCCGCUCCGAAACUGUCCUACCUCCAAACUGGACAUGAUGCAAAGUAAUAAACAUCCUUAUCGGGCGGGCCCCGGUGGUUAGAUCCUCUAUCCUUCGCUGUCCAGAGCAUCUUACAUAGCCUUUGUUUGGAAAGGGGAAGUUGACGUUGGCCGGGUAAGUCAAAACCAAAAAGAUGGGAAGGGAAGCAGCCGUGUUUGACUGGUGGUCCUGGCAGACUCGUAAUCCUCUGCUAAUCCUCGCCAAAGAGUUGGCACCGGUGGGAAUACUGUUUCCUGAGGUUGAGCUGGUUCAAAAAGAGAGUACAUCCAAGGGGUAGCAGAGAAGGGUUUUCUCACAUCUGACAGGAGGCAGAGGUACUUCCCGCACACCAGGAAGAGAGAUGCCAGCCACGUGUUAACUAUUUGUGGUUAUUUUGGCACAGACAUGAUUUCCAGGUGUGACCCUCAUCUUGCCAAGUCAGAACCGAGGUGAGGAUCUAGCCCCGGGGUGGAGAGUACCUGGUGGUGGGAACGGAGGGGGGCAGGAGCUCCGUAUGCCGGGACAGGGGCGUGCUGAUAAGACUAUAUCCAACACUAGAAAGCAGUGGGAGCUUCCCAAGUUGGAAUUUCAAACGUGAGUGAAUUCACCACUUCACUGACAUUUAUCGAGCACAUGGGACCCAUCAGGCACCGUGCGAGGCGCCGGAGAAAGAAGGAAACUCGGUCUUUGUCCCCAAGGAGCAUACAGUCUGGUAUAUAGUCCAGCCCGUAGGCAAGCACGUCCAGCGCCUUCUCGCCUGUCAGCCCCAGUCUUAGUGCUCUGCUAAUUUGACAUCUCCUCCCUCUGCUAAAUGAUGGCAUCGCUGGUGUGUAAAUGCACGCAUUCCAGAUACUCCUACACACACCCGUACCAUUUCCUUGUUAUCAGGAUUAAAAGAUGCCGUAGUUUAAGCCGUGAAGAUUUGCCAAGCACCUAACCUGAGCCAGAUGGUGUGGGGCGUGCAAAAGCGAAUGAGAGAUCUUAUUUUUUUUUUUUUUUAACGUUUAUUUACUUUUGAGACACAGAGAGAGACAGAGUGCGAGUGGAGAAGGACAGGGAGAGGGAGACGCACAACCUGAAGCAGGCUCCAGGCUCCGAGCCGUCGGCACAGAGCCCGACGCGGGGCUCGAACUCACAAACCGUGAGAUCGUGCCCCGAGCCUGAAGUCGGACGCUUAACUGACCGAGCCACCCAGGUGCUCCGUGAAUGAGAUGUAAUUGCAGAAACCACAGCUCAGUUGGUGGCGGGUGAUUUGCCCCCUGGAAGUCAGAGCGAGCAACGGGGUGACAAGAAAGCAGAAUUUGAACGGUGCAGACGGUACCUGCUAGGGGAGUUCAAGUCCUGGCCCCUGGGACACAGGAAUAACGUGAGUUCAGGGUCCUGCUUUUCCAGGAGCUAACCUUAAAACACCGGUACAGAAAUAUUGGUCACAUCAACUGUCCUCUCUGGAGCACUAAUUAUUAUUAAGCAUUUCUACGUGCUUCGCAUAUGAUCGUUCACUCUGUGAGGCAGAUACGAAUAUCCUCAUUUUACAGAUGAGGAGACGGAGCCAGCCAGAGGGUAACUUUCCCAAGAUCACAGGGUUAGUAUGAGACAUGAACACAGGAUCUAGCUACUUAUCAGUCUUAUCUGCAAUAAAUCUGCCUACGGGAGAACUAGGCUCUCAGGCAGGGGAGAUUCAGUCACAAGUAGACCGCUAGCCAACGAUGGGACAGCAAGUAGGUUAAAUUGCCUGCACAUUCCCCCGGCACCACCGGGAACCACAGAGCCCCAGUGAUGGUGCAGCAGAUAGUUGUGCCCGGUACUAUGGAAAACGGAGCACUCGGGGAAAACCGUGCUGAACCAGCUUUCUUCUGUCCACACGCACCGAGCUGAGCUGAGGUCUGUUGAGGACGUGUGGUUCCGGGACACCUGAAUUUGGAUCCCAUGGAAAGCUACAAUGGAAGCAGGGGUAAAUUGGGUGCUCAGUUUACACAUCUCAGAAGAUGCAAGCCAUCUUUCGAUACCCUUUGUAAUGAGUCAUCGUAAACUGUUUUGUUUGUUUGUUUGCUUGUUUGUGUUGAGCGCUUGUCAGCCGUUGUAGCAAAUGAUCAGACUCGGGGGUGGGAGGGUCACGGGACUCUCCGGUUUAUAGCUGGCCAGGGUACAAGGGACAACGUGGGACCCGAGACCGGCACCUGCAGGGGGAGCAGUUCUGUGGGAAUGAGGCCUUCACCUGUGGGAUCUGAUGCUGUCUCUAGGGAAAUAGUGUCAGAAUCAGGUUUAGUUGUAGGACACCCAGCUGCUGUUGGAGAAUCGCUUGGUUGUGGGGAAAAGCCCCGAUACAUUUGGAGUACAGAAGUAUUCUGUGGGUAGAGAAGGAAACAGUUUUCCCACAGUUUCCCCACGUGACCUACGUUUGAUAGAAGUUAUGAUCUGUCACCUACUAAGACCCGGGUAGCUCUAAAACGAGUGGUUUCUUUAGGUUGUAAGGACAUAUUUCUGCCCCAAAAACGGGGCUCUUGAGCUCGCCCUGACUCCUGAUCUGUGGUCUGUACAUUUUUCUUCAUUCAUGGUACAUUUCAUACCUUCUUGUGCUGAUAGGAAUUAAUUCCCUCCCUCCCCCGCCCCCAACCUAAGUUAUCUGUACCCCUCGAGGUUUUAGAGUCCCCUGAUUGGAAAAAAAAAUGAUUCUUGGCGUCCAGGAGGGAUCUGAGGUUAAAAAAAAAAAAGAAAAGAAAAGAAAAAAAAAAUAGGACAGAGAGCCAGAGAGCAAGGGAUAAAUUUCUCUUAAAGUAUUCAUUCAUUCAUUCAACAAGGGUUUAUUGAGGUCCUCCCUGGAGUCAAGCUCGGUGCUGGCAUUAGAGACAUAGUCAGAAACAAAAUUAACGUGGCCUGUGUUCUCAAGGGUUUCUAGGCUACUGAGGGAGGCCAAGAAGGCAACAGAAUACUCAAUUACGAAUCCGAGUAAGUGCUUCAAGGAUAAAACGUAGAUAAUACAAAGGAGACAGAGGGUGAGGGGCAAGCUUCCUAUAUUUCUGUGGUCAAGGAAGGAGGUCACAUUCAAAACAAGACCUGAGGGCUGUGGAAUCAGUCCUGGAAAAACUUUCCAGGCAGGGAGACUUCUUCGAAGAGACCCGUGUGUUUAAGAAAUUAAGAUAAGUCCUGUGGCUGGACUAUGGAGGUGGGGGGCAGGGACUGGGUGGGGGAAAUAGAGAAACAGGAAGUAAGAUUGGAGAAGUGAGCAGGAGCAUAGGAAAGGCUUUGGAUUUUAUUCCAAGUGAGGUGAGAAGUACAGGGGGGACAACGCAUAGGGACAACUCCUCCUCCCCGUCUCAGAAACUCGGUGCCGUCACUUCCAGGGUGAAGGGAGGACCGUGUCCUUGAAAAGGAAGAAGGGACGAGUGUUUGGUUUCCUCUGAAACCUCGGAGCUUUUGAAAGAGUGGUGCCUGCUCUGAAUUCUACUGUGUCCGGUGUGGGAGUUAGCAUCUCAGGAUUAGCACUACUAAUAUAUUCAAAUGGCCUUCAAAGGAGAACUUGAAGAAUGUUUUCAAAGGAAGUUCUGAUGGGAGUAAUUGUGAAACCUUCAGCUAUGACUCAUCUUCCAUUGAACCGGCCUCUGGAGGCUCAGCCAGAGUGACUCAAAGUAAACACGUAUUCACUGAGCUUCUAACUCCAUGCCCAGCACCACGAAGGAUGCCGUGGUGGCUGCAAAAACGUAUGAAGUGCUCCCUGUCCUCAAGGACUUUAAACAGUAGGAUAUUGGGGAUGGCAGAAAGAGCGCAUUCGAACAAUCAGCCACGAUGUGGAUACCCUCCCCGCUGGCCUUUGUCUGACAUAUCACGCUGCGUGCAAAGUGGCCAAGGGCUGAGGACACAGAAGAGUUUGUGAACCGUUAGCGAGGCUUGGCCAGGCAAACAGGUGAGCGAGAAUAUGGAGAUUCUCCUCCCCACGGGAUUGUUCCAGGACCCCAGGAAUAGAGCGGCCGACGGGGAUGGCCUGUCCGUGCCCAUCCUAUGUUUGUAUCGUUGGCAUCACACUUGUGCAAACGCCGGGGACCCUGGCUGUCAUGGUCCUUUCCCAAGCUUUCAGUUUCUUUGUAGGGGUGGAGGCCUUUCCCCAACGUCAUACCAACCGCGGAAGAGGAAGAAGAACAAGGCCGCGCAAAGCCCGUGUAGAGAAAAUUUGGGUGCUUCUGAGGUUGUAGGCGGGCGCAUUAGAGUUCAGAGUCUGGGCCUGUCGCCUUGAGAGAGACAUUUGAUCUUAUUCUGUUCAAAUGAGCAAGUUGGACCCAAUGAACUCCAGCCAGUGAUGUCUCACUCCGACUAGGUGAUCCCACUUAUCCCGGAAGCAAGAGGCCCCAGGCCCUCCUGGUGGAAUGCCAUUUUGUCCAAUAAAAUAGAGCCCGUCAGAAAGAUCCCAGCCAUCCUGUGUGAGGCCCCUAAGGCUUUGGCCUUGCCUUUAGUUAAAAAACAAAAACAAAAACAAAAACAAAACAAGCCAAUGGUAUGUUCCAGAAUACCGCUGUCUCACAAAUACUUUCCCAGUAUCAGUGGGUAAUAGUGGAAUCUGGAGGCAGGACUGACGGACGGGAGAAGGCCCUGCCUUCCUCCCCUGUGAUUUAGGGCUUCAUUCCACAGGCAUGUGCUGGCGUUUGUUUCGUGCCGGGGCAUGGUCACAGACAACAGGCCUUAAAUUCUCAGGAGUUAGCAUAGCCGUGACACAAGACAGGUUGAUUGCCUCAAAUGCUCUCUUAAUCAGCACUCUCAAACUGCUUCCUUCUUCCUGGGGGGUCAGGUCUCGGGUCAAAGUGUUGACUUGUUGUGUUUCCGACCAUUCCCAUCGUGGCAUGUUGACGAUGCCACCCAGAAGAAGGUGCUUUUUGGCUUACGUUGGGGAUCUCCCAUAAUCGCGUAGCAGACCUGCGGCUACCUGAAGCCUCUCUCCCUUAGGCUUCCCGCUCCAAUGCGGUGUUGGCCAAAGGGCUCAGAUCUUACUUCCAGGUUCCCACACCACCUACAAUGCCAACCCUUCUGGUGCUCACCAUAGAGAAAAUCAGACCAAAGAGAAAUAAUGUGUUAAUGACAGUUGAGAUCUUUCUGAUGGGCUCUAUUUUAUUGGACAGAAUGGCGUUCCACCAAGAGCAGCUGGGGUCCCAUGCUUCUAAGACAAGUGGGGCUGUCUAAUUCUUCCCCUUCCCUGUCAGGAAGGAGAAAACUCAGGAGCUGGUUGUCAACAAGGAAGUGAAGUCAUGGUCCAAGGUGCACAGGUAUUGGGGUGUUAAGACCAUUCCGUAAUUCCUUUGAAUUACUUACUUACCAAUAAGUAAUUCCUUAGAAUAUAGUAAGCAAUUCCUUACUAGUCAUGUGAUAUUAAACAAGUUCACCUCUUUGAAUCCAAGCUCCCUUAUCACUAAAACAGAUUUAGCGUCUAUAUACGGGGCUGUUGAAGAGAAUGAAACGAAAUAAGGUAUACGGAAGAUCUGGGAAAGGGACAAAGUACUACACGGAUGUGACCUGGUCCUAUUAGACGAGGCGCUAAGGUAGGUGACUGGUGUGAUAGUCCCAUUCCUCAACCCAACUCUCAUGGCUCCCUCUGUGAGGAAUUAGGUGAUCGACACAUCUAUAGAUUCUCACUCUAACCACGCACUGCUGACGGCAUAGAGCCUUGGGCUUGGAGCUUUCGAAGGGACUCUUAAAAUGGUUGAGAUGCGGGACACGGGUAAACUCAAAACUGCAAUAUGGAAAAAAGAACAUUCAUAUUUAAGUAAACUAAAACACAAUGUUUCCUCCAGUUAGUCGACUGUAACACAAUGCGACUGUUACCACGUUGUACAGUUGUUUUUGACGUGUGAUAAGGGAGCAUCUUAACGUGUCUGACAGGAAGAAGGAGAGAGCUUCCAAAAGGAAGUUCUCGGAGCCUGUGCGAACCAGGAACAGUCGAGCAUCCUAUCUAUUUUUAACUGUAUCGCUAACUGCUCUUUUUGCUUCUGCCUCCAGGGUCCCGCAAGUUAUCCAUAGAAGCUACAGAAGAUGAGCUCUCUCCAGUUUUAUUCAACUCCAAGGUGAGGUAUGCUCACUUUCUGUGCGUUUUGAGGAAGGCCGGGCUUCAGGAAACUCACUCCAGACCCCUCGUUCCCAUCAUCCCAUCUUGUCCCAUCUUAUUUUUGUGGUCUGUGGUAUCCAUGGGACUCUGGUUAUUUGUAGGUAUUGAUUGAAUUGCGAGACGGCUCUUUGGUCAGGUGGGCCCGAGCUGGAGCUCCGAGGUUUUGUGCAGACAGGUGGACGGCAUCCCAGGAGGCUGCCAUCUUGUCUUUGCCACUGGCUCUCUGGCCUCGGUCAAGCGCCUCCUCUGCUCUUUUGUCAUUUAUCUGCGCAAUGAGAUGUGUCACAUCCAGAGAGGGGAUGAGUGACGAGACCCAGCUUUCCGGCACUGUGCUUCCGACGCCUCUCCUAAAUGACUCUGGGUACACACACAUGACACAGGCCCUCAGUAGGUAGACACAUCCAUAACCUGCUCGGAGGGAAAGGUCAGGCUUCAGCUGACCUUGGCUUGUUCUUUUCUUCCAAGCUGACAAAACAUGCGGGGUUUGGAAAGCUGUCUGCUGGACCUGCCUGAUGAAGCGUUGCAGGAAUUACGUGAUUAGAAACAGAACGUAAUGAAACUCAGGUCGGAAAUGGACAACCAGCUGACAUUUAUUUUUCCCCAAUUAAUCAUCUCCGUUUUCCCACGGGGUUAUCCGUGUCAGGGCUGAGGGAAGGUGGGAGUGCUGAGUUACUGGCACCGCUGGGUGCCUCCCUGCCGACAGCCACGAGCCACAUUCUGCCUUGCCGACAGAAGGGACUGGCUUCGGGUGUGGGUCGGCAUUCUCUCAGGGGAGGACAGGUCCCUACCUAACCCCAGGCGGUGGGAGAAUCUAGUCACAGUACUUCUGGUCCUUUUGCCUGUAAUUCUGCGCCACAGUUCUGUCCAGUGUGAUGUGAGGGGACAUCUGCUAGGGUAGGGGAACCCUCCAGGUUAAGUUUUUCUUGUUGUCAACGGGGAUGCCUCCGUGUCCUUGUGCCAGUUGAAUAUCCGAAGCUUGCAACUGAGGUGGCCAUCUGGACAGCACGAGAACAAAUGCCUACGAGCUGGGGAUGGUGGAGAGAAAACAUGGAGAGCACCUGGGCCCGUGACGACAUUUUUAAGCUGCUCAUUUACGUGACCUUGGAACUUCUCUGCUUUGGAAACUCUUACCGCGCGCAAGAAUACUUGGUCCCUGUCGCUCGGGGCCACGUCUGGCUGGGUUUGCUGUUAUGAAGGCCCGCGAGUGGCUGAAUGAAGCUGCCUCCUUGGCCCCAACGUAUUCCUUCCUGGAGCAAAGGCACCCACAGAGAAUAUGUCUCAGAGCAGAGCUUCUAAGAGGGGUGGAGUGGGAACAAGGAUCCAAAGUGGACUCUGCGCUGUCUGAGCUCUGGGCUCGAACUCGUGAGCCGUGAGAUCGUGAACUGAAUCGAAGUCGGACGCUUAACCCGCCGAGCCACCCAGGCGCCUCUCACAUCAGAGCUUUUGUCGCCAGCCCCCAGAGUAGGGCCGAGGAGAGGAGAGGGAAAGUACAUCUCCUGUAAGAUUAUCUCCUAAAGCUGCCGGCCGGCCAGCUGCCAUUUAUUUGAUUUCCUGCAUCUUUAACUGUGGAAUUCACGAGAAAUUCUCAUUUGCUUUCCUCCAGUAUAUUUUUCUUCCAGUACAGCUCCCAUUUUACCGCCUUAACCGGUUACAUUAUCUAGCUCCCCCCACCCUGAGAAUGUCCCACACGAGGUAAUAAUACAAGGUGCCCCACAUGAUGCCAGCAGGUAGGACAUCUACCUCCCGAGGGAGGUGUGUGGGCAGAACUUGCGACAGCUCACGGGCUUAUUGCUGUUGUUAUUGUUGCAAACGUGGAGGAGGUCCGAGCAGGAGGAAGUACUCUGGGGAGAUGUAGCAACUUUCUCUCCCUCUCUUCGUCAGCCUGGAAAACCCAGGCAGGUGGUGGGGACAGCAGCCGAGCACAGACCACAUUCCUGCCUCAGAUAAGGUCUGUGGAGGUGAAUUCCCAGGCUGCAGAGGUGACUCCUGAGUCAUCGCAGCUGAGAGCCAAGCGACUUGCCCCAAGCCAUUGCUCAACGCCGCUGGGGACAGUGUCUCAUGCCCACCGCGUGUCAUCCACCGUGGCAGGCUGCAGUUUCAAUUUGAUGCACGAGGGCAAACGGGUAGGUUCUUCUGCGUGCGCCCCCCCCCCCCGCAACCCUGGGAGGUACCUUUGUGGUCAAGUCUGAACCCUCUUUUUGUGAGGGCUCCCAGAACCUCAGCUCAGGGAAGUCGGGGACUCGGCCCCUCUUGUCCCCUGCAGGAUCCCCGGUGCCGAGAGCCGAGUCUGGCACGCGUGUUCGGAAUGGCUGACUUUGAAGAGACUGAGUGAGGGAUGCUUUGAAGGCCAUACCGCAGUAGGAAGGAGAAAGUGCUCUGGGGGCCACCGAGCCGUAGAGAGUUCGGACGGCAGGAAUGGGGAGCAGCACCCGGGGCAGGAUCCUGGAGCCCCAGCAACAGAGCCCAGCUCCAGGUAGAAGCUGCCGGAAGGGGCGCGGUGUGGACGGAGGGUGGCUGGCCACGCGAGGUGCUGCUCCAGGACACGGGAUCUUGACCGUGCGAGGACUUCUCGGGCCUGGGCCUCUGGUCGCGGCCAGGCGCGGCUCUGGUGGCCCGGAUGAGCUCCGUCUCCUUAGCCCGUCCCCCAGGGCUGGGCCGGGAGGACUGAAUCUCCAUCCCUCCCCCGUGGCCUCUUUCUGUUCAACUACCCCAGCACAUUUUUCAGGAUGCCCGUCCUCACAGGGAGUGGUUUCCACGUCGUGGAGGAAAAGUAGGGAAGCCCCUGAAUUUCUCCCGGCGAGAGGCGUUUGGGGGGCACCGCUGAGGUAGCUGAGCUGGCCCAGCGCGGUGCGAGGUACUCUCGUUAGGGACCGUCCGCGGGCCCUCUGUGCCAGCCCCCUGCUCCCUGGCUGGCUGUGCGGGGCCUCUGUAGCCUCUGCCCUCUCUCUCUCCAUCAGCAACAGCCUGGCCUCUCUCCUCCUGGGUCCAAGAACCUCUUAAAUUCUCGGGUUCUACUCCACCCGGUCCUUCAGAUACCUUACUUCUCAAAUUAUAGCCACCAGGGGAGGCAACACUUAAGCUAAAGCCUCUCAGCUGCUGAUCUCAGCUGACACUGUCUAGGCAGGGGGCACGGCGUGGGACACGCAGGUCCGGGGCUCAGUCGAGCUGGGCCCCGCCCCUGCUGUGCCUUUACCGGCCGUGGGGCCCCGGACAAUUCCGGCAACGUCGGUGGGCCGUAGCCUUCUCCUCCUUAUCGUAGAAGAGGCCAGCGGUGGAAACCCAGGGGGUCGUUCUGAGGAUUCACAGAGAUGAUGUCGAUAAAUCACCUAACCCGGGGCUUGGUGUGGAACCAGCAAUGAAUACGUGUCGACAAUUUCUAUUUCUGCAUUUUCUUCUCAUUCUUCCUUUUAACUCUUGCCGCGCUGGACAAGUGACUUUACCUCCUCACAGGACGGAUGUCUUCGUGGGGUGAGGACGAGAAGGGUGGGGCAGAGACAGUCUUCGGUUUUAUGUUUUUAAGUCAUCAGUCCAAAAACCAGUGCCACUGCUCACGGACGAGCGGGCAUCCCACGUGCUACGGGGCUUUUGAAGCAUGUCGGCAAGUUCUCGACACUCCUUCCCGAAAAGGAGGGGUCUAAUUCAUUUCCCUUCAUUCUGGGCUGGCACUGGUGGUGGUGUGCGUCUCUUUAAGUUCAUUUACUUAUUUUUGAGAGAGAGAAACAGAGCACUCGAGCAGGGGAGGGGCGGAGAGAGAGAGGGAGAGGGAGAGGGAGAGGGAGAGGGAGAAUCCCGAGCGGGCUCCGCGCUGUCGGCGUAGAGCCCCAGGCCGGGCCUUGAGAUCACCAACCUGAAGAUCGAGGCUCGGGCUGCACCAGCCGAGAGUCGGAGGCUCAACCGACUGAGCCACCCAGGCGCCCAGUAGUGACGUGCUUCUCUCAACUAGAAGGCGGUGGAAGUGAUGCCGUGUGACCGUCGGGGCCAGGCUAGUCGAGCCGAUACCUCUUUCUCCCUCUCGGGGCACGUGCCUUGGGACUCCUGAUCCAUCGUGGAAGAAAGCCGGUGACCCCGGAGGGGCCCGGCCCAGGCUGGUGCCUGGCGUGUGAGCGAGGAAGGAACCCAGCUCAGGCCAGCAGCUGACCGCGAUCUCACGAGAGACUCUAGGUCAGCUGGCCCACUCUCAAGUUCCUGACCCACACAACCCGUGAGCGCUAGCGAACGACUGUUGCUGUCUUAAGCCACUGAGUUUGGGGCUGAUUUAUUAUGCCCUCACAGGUGACAGAUACAAAUGUCACCGAGUACUAGCCCUGUGGGAUAGGCGCUUGUGACCUCAGUUUACAAAUGAGGAAACGGAGGUGUUAGAACUUACGGAGCAGGUAAGACACCACGAGGCGAUGCGGCGGUGGGACCCAAACGUGUGUCCGUGGGACUCCAGAGCCCGCGCUCCAUCCUCCGCACUGGGGGCUGCCUCAUCUGAUCCCAGAAGAGGUUGAAAAAAAUGGGUCAAAAUACCUUCUUCUGGACCCGCGCUACAAAUCUGCCAACGCCCUAGGGUUAAGCACGCACGCUCACGCCGUAUUUGGAAGAUCACCACCGGCUCGACCCACGCGUGGCUGGUUGUAGGUCGCUGGCAGCGUGAAUGUUCUGGAAGGUUCUCAGUGCCGUGCGUCUCCUUCGGAGCAGUGCUGGGCUCACAGGGAGCCGAGGGCAGGGUGCCAGUUGGAGGGGUGUUUAGCCACCCCGAGGGCCCCGGUUGCCCUGGUGAGGCCUGUGGACAGCGGUGAAGCCCGAGCUCGGGGUCCGUGAGGAAGAGCCAUGUGGCGGGUGGUGAGAAAUGGUGGAGGCAGACAGAACAAACAAGGCCGAGCAGUGGGAGGACAGCUGAGCAGGCAGUGAGGGUGGCAGGCGGUGACAGAAGUUCUAGAGAACAAUGAGGAAAAUAUUCGUGGAGAUGACCGAUGAAUGUUCCCUAGAGACGCACAGUAAGGGCUCCCUGCCGCUGAGGGGAAGUGACUGCUGUCAUAGGGGCCCCGCGGGCCACUUUAGAAUCCCCGUCUUACCCUGGACACGGCUGCUGCACACAGGGUUCUGGAAGGCAGGGGCAGGACAUUCAGGUCAACGUCUAUCAAGCGCCUUUUGUGGGCCAGGGACCAGCCAGUGAUGGGACAUCUGUAAUAUAAAUAGGACAUAAACGUAUCAUGUGCCCCACAGGGGCUUGAGGUCUGCAGGGGAACACUGUUUUAAGACCUACUGUGUGCCUGGUCCUCUGUUUCCUGGUUACUCCUGUUAUCUUAUUUAAUCUCGGCACGAAUUUGAUCAAACAGGCCCCACGACCUUCGUGAGAAGCUGAGUUGAGACAACAUGCCCAGUGCUUAGCUUUUAACUCAUUCUGAUUCUUUUUUUUUUUUAAUGUUUAUUUGUUUUUGAGAGAGAGAGAGAGAGAGAGAGAGCCAGAGCAUGAGCGAAGGAGGGGCAGACAGAGAGGGAGACACGGAAUCCGAAGCAGGGUCCAGGCUCUGAGCUGUCAGCACAGAGCCCGACGCGGGGCUCGAACCCACGAACCGAGAGAUCGCUACCUGAGCUGAAGUUCGACGCUCAGCUGACAAAGUGACUCAGGUGCCCCCAACUAAUUCUGAUUCUGAGGCCCCUGGUCGGUCCACUACAGAGCCUGGCCCUGGGAAGAAAGAGGUCGGUGCUGCCUGGAAGGGACCUGGGGGUGGGGGUGGGGGGCAGGGAGACUUCUCAGAAGGGUUAGACCCGCUGCGGACUGGGGAUGCCGUUAGUAUUUAAAGCCCGGCACCCAGGCAGCAGGACGGCACGUGAGGGAGGACGCGNNNNNNNNNNNNNNNNNNNNNNNNNNNNNNNNNNNNNNNNNNNNNNNNNNNNNNNNNNNNNNNNNNNNNNNNNNNNNNNNNNNNNNNNNNNNNNNNNNNNNNNNNNNNNNNNNNNNNNNNNNNNNNNNNNNNNNNNNNNNNNNNNNNNNNNNNNNNNNNNNNNNNNNNNNNNNNNNNNNNNNNNNNNNNNNNNNNNNNNNNNNNNNNNNNNNNNNNNNNNNNNNNNNNNNNNNNNNNNNNNNNNNNNNNNNNNNNNNNNNNNNNNNNNNNNNNNNNNNNNNNNNNNNNNNNNNNNNNNNNNNNNNNNNNNNNNNNNNNNNNNNNNNNNNNNNNNNNNNNNNNNNNNNNNNNNNNNNNNNNNNNNNNNNNNNNNNNNNNNNNNNNNNNNNNNNNNNNNNNNNNNNNNNNNNNNNNNNNNNNNNNNNNNNNNNNNNNNNNNNNNNNNNNNNNNNNNNNNNNNNNNNNNNNNNNNNNNNNNNNNNNNNNNNNNNNNNNNNNNNNNNNNNNNNNNNNNNNNNNNNNNNNNNNNNNNNNNNNNNNNNNNNNNNNNNNNNNNNNNNNNNNNNNNNNNNNNNNNNNNNNNNNNNNNNNNNNNNNNNNNNNNNNNNNNNNNNNNNNNNNNNNNNNNNNNNNNNNNNNNNNNNNNNNNNNNNNNNNNNNNNNNNNNNNNNNNNNNNNNNNNNNNNNNNNNNNNNNNNNNNNNNNNNNNNNNNNNNNNNNNNNNNNNNNNNNNNNNNNNNNNNNNNNNNNNNNNNNNNNNNNNNNNNNNNNNNNNNNNNNNNNNNNNNNNNNNNNNNNNNNNNNNNNNNNNNNNNNNNNNNNNNNNNNNNNNNNNNNNNNNNNNNNNNNNNNNNNNNNNNNNNNNNNNNNNNNNNNNNNNNNNNNNNNNNNNNNNNNNNNNNNNNNNNNNNNNNNNNNNNNNNNNNNNNNNNNNNNNNNNNNNUUUCUGUCUUUCUCUCUCCUCUGAGCAAGGUCACGGCCAUCACAAUGCCAACUGUUUUCCGUUAAAUUCCAAUCUCAUGCGCUAGCCAUAAACGUUUGGGGUUUUUUGUCCCCCUCCUUGGUACUGCCACUGCGCAGGUCAAGGUUGCCAGCACCUUCCAUCCUGCCCUAUGCAGUGACCACUAUUCUGUCCUUAUUUUAUUUGACCUUGUGGCAGCUUCCCACACGGUGGUCCCCCUUGAUAAACUGGCUUCCUUUGCUUCCUGUAAAUGCACUCACAGGUUUUUUCCCCUAAACAUCAGCUACUCCUCUUCAUCGCCCUUUCAGGAUCCCUCGGCCUCCCCCAUUAGCCGCUCCCCUGGGAGCCGUCAUCUCUCCCCCAGUGUCCAGUCGGGCUGUGUCCCAGGUGUGUCCGCUUCUCCCAUCGCCACGGCCACCCUGACCCGGCUUUCGCCAUCUCUGCUGGGUCGCUGCGAUGCAGGUCGAAACUGGGAUCCUGCUUCUUCUUUGGGUCCGUCUGGAAUCUAGCCUUUCCAGAGCGGCUGAAAGGUCUUCCCCAGAUUCCAGUCCAGCCCCACCAUUCACUGCUUAAAAACACACCCGUGGCUGUCAACCGCACGAAGAAUAAAAUACAGACUCAUUGGCAUGGCCUACAGGGCCCACGUGAGCUGUCCCCGCCUCUCCGUGACCUCACGUCCCUGCCCACGCCCCCCGGGACCCUGCUCCAGCCGUUCUGGCCUUGGUGCCCUUCCUCACACAGAUCCAGGUUUGCUCCGGCAGGAAGGCUUUUCCUCUCGUGGUCCGGCUUCCAGAUGGGCCGACUGUUGACUUGUUUUCAGCCUUCAGACGGCAGCCUCGUCGUCACCUCCCUUGGGGAAGCUUCCCUCACACUCUGACUAAAGCAGCCCACCUCCUACUUUAUUUGUAUAAAUUUUGUGACCAACAACUGUGUUAUCUCCAUUCUGAGGCACCUAGCUGAGCUCUUUUCACUUUUUUCUGACGCUUGCCUUACUUUCUCUGCUCCUUAUACUUUUCACUUUCAAGUUUAUGCUCAGCUUAGCUUCAUCUGUGGGAUUCCCGGGAGGUCUGCGUUGAAUAACUGUCCCUCCAGAUAUGGUUUCUUUUAGCAUCUGCUACGAGCUUGAGUUUGCCAUCCACGUGGGGCCAUUUUAUGUUCACUUUCUCUUUUGGAGUUUCUGAGACGAUACAGACAGGGUAAACAUGAGUCCCAAAUCCACAUGAGGUUGGGGUUAUGAAUUCUCAGAGGAGAUCUUUUUCCCCCCAAAGAACCCUAGAUGAUAUGUGCAAGUAUUGUUUUAUGCCUCCUCUGUUGGUACGUAGAUUUUUUUUUCUUGUUCUUCUCCACUGAGCGUAGAAUUUCAAUGUUCCUGGAUUUAUGCAGGAGUCUUGGAUUCAUCAUCACUCCACCUUGUGUGGCCCAAGAGAUCGUCGUCUCCUGUUCCUAUGUGGUUUUGCCUUGGACAAAGAGAACAAAAGUUGACCCCGGAACAGCCUUAUCUUCAGCCACUCUCUGGGGGAGUUUCCUUAUUUACAUGCAAGGUCAGCUAUAGAUUUGAGAGCCUUGAUAUAUAUGACCCAGCAUUUUAUGUGACUUUGAUGGGAAGGUUUACAUGUUAUCAGCCUACCAUAUUUUGAGAUAGAAGUCCCUCAUUUUUAUUUAACUCUGUAUUAGUUAAUGCUUUAUAUGUUGAUGUCCCAAUUAUUGAUAAUAAUCUUAAGUCUUUAGAGAACUUUAAAGCUCAGAAAUCCUUUUCAUAUCUAUCUCCUAGUAGGAAUCACUGGCUUCCUUGUGUAGUCAAGGAAGCCACGCUCGGAGUGAAGCGACUUGGCUAAUAAUGACCACUGUUUUUUGAAACCUACUCUGCGUCAGGCGCUAUAAAUAGAUUAUGGCAAAGGCUUACGGCGGACCCAUGAAAUGGGUAUUAUUUUCUGCGCCUUGUGGUUGAGAAAACUCGGCGUCCGAAUGCUAUUGUAAUUGGUCUGAGGUCCCAUGGCUUGUGACAUAGUGGCCUGCCAGAGUCCAUUCUCUUCCCAGUGCUGUCUCUGUUCGUUCUCCAAGCUACUUUCCUAGAUGUGGGUUUUUAUGCAUUUUAGUGAAGGCAUUUAUGCGUCUUAGUGCAAUUUUGUACUUAGAAAGUUCUUUACUAAUAAAUACGUUUAUCAGUAACUUGGUUAGUUGUAAGGGUGCCCUGUUUCUUCAAUCUCAGUUCCAUCUGGGAGGAAAAGCUCUUUUGGAGCCUUAAAUGACCCACGUGACACCAGAUGCUGCCAUUCACUGUUUUUACCUGCUCCAGGCAGGGGACCCUGGCCUAGGGAUUACAGACGGCCCCUGACGUAUGAUGGUUCGACUUACAGCUUUUCAACUUUACAUUGGUGUGAACGCAAUAUGUAUUCAGUAGAGGCUGUAUUUCGAGUUUUGCAUUUGGAUCUUUUCCAGGGCUAGCAAUACGUCAACAGUACUCUCUCCCGAUGCUGGGCAGUGGCGACGGGCUGUGGCUCCCGGUCACCAGCAACUGACGCACAACUGUUCUAUACCCCUAUGACUGUUCUGUUGUGCACGUUCAGUUCACUAUUCAGUCAAUUGCAUGCGGCACUUUUUUAUAAAACCGGCUUUGUGUUAGAUGAUUUUGCCCAACCGUAGGCUAACGUUAAGUAUCCCGAGUACGCAUAAGGUGGGCUAGGCUAAGCUAUGAUGUCUAGGUGGAUGAAAUGCAUUUUUGACUCAGGAUAUUUUAAAUUUACGAUGGUUUUGUCAGGAGGUAACCCUCUCAUAAGUCAAGGAGGAUCUGUACUAGCUAGCAUCUCAAGCUGUGCCUUUUAAUUUUUAUUUUUUCAGCCAUGAUCUUUCAAAUGAUGUUUCACAUGGGACCCCAAUACAGAUGAGAUAAUUGGAGAAGCAGUGGGACUUUCUGAGGACAUGUAGGCCAAUCACUGAGUUCACUUCUUGAAAAUUAGUCACCUUGUAAAAUUUUAAAAAUAUGUGUAUGUGUAUAUAUAUGUGUAUACACACACACAUACACACACACAUAUGUAUAAACAAAUAGAAAUGAAUAAAAAUCAUUGGCUUUGACAAAUAUGUUCAACUAUCUGUUAAAAUAGCUCUUGAUUCUUAGUCCUUUCCACCAUUUAUGUCCAUAUAAUGAUGUGAGCCCAGGUCGUUGAAAAACCAUGUCUCUAAGAAAGAAACAAGAAAUUAUCUAUAACAAGAGAAUUGUCUGAAACAAGAAUUGUCUGAUGGGAACCCGAUCUCCUGUCCUAGCUCUCUUCAAUUCAGUCCAACGGUCCUAAUUUGUCAGUCACAAUGAAACAAUUUGGUAUUCAUUAGCCAGAUUCAGAGGUAAGGAACUUGAGACUUCAAAAGAAAUCUCUCCUCCCAGUAGGCCAGUCUGUAGUCUCCUGGGGAUGUAUCCCCUUUUCUCUGCCAAUCUGGAUGUUUCCAUGUACAGCCUACCAUAUUUUCUAGGAGGCCCUGCCUCAGGCCACUCCAAAGCCAGGGGUUUGAACUCUAAAACCAGGUGUCUCUUCACUACACAACAUUAUUCCCUGGUCCAUGGGUUUUCAACUCUAACAGACUUCCUUCUUUUCGCCAGCCCGGCCAAAAUAAUUCCAUUUCGUAUUUGAGACCCAAAUCACCUCUCAGGUUCUCUCAGAAGUGACCCUUGGCUGCUUCUGUCCAUACGGACAUUUCUAUUCUUUGAACUUAGAGCUGAUACACAAUUAUAAUGACACUGAAGACACAUUAUCUUGGAUACCUUCUCUAUCUGUCUGUUGCAUUCUUUUCAAAGCUAUACAGUAUCUCUGGCUGAAACGAACAACGCAGGAAACAACACAUGUUGGCGAGGAUGCAGGGAAAGGGGAACCCUCUUACACUGUUGGUGGGAAUGCAACCUGGUGCGGCCACUCUGGAGAACAGUAUGGAGGUUCCUCAAAAAGUUAAAAAUAGAACUACCCUAUGACCCAGCAAUUGCACUAGUAGGUAUUUACCCAAAGGAUACAAAAACACAGAUUUGAAAGGGCACCUGCACCCCGAAGUUUAUAGCAGCAUUAUCAACAAUAGCCAAACUAUGGAGAGAGCCCAAAUGUCCAUCAAUUGAUAAAUGUAUACACACACACACACACACACACACACACACACUGGAAUAUUACUCAGCCAUCAAAAAGAAUGAAAUUUUGCUACUGGCCAUGACGUGAAUGGAGCUAGAGGGUAUUGUGCUAAGCAAACUGGGUCAGAGAAAGACAAAUACCAUAGGAUUUCCCUCGUACGUGGAAUUGAAGAAACAAAACAGAUAUACAUAGGGGAAGGAAAAAAAGAGAGAGGGAAACAAACCAUAAGAGACAACAGAGAACAAACUGAAUGUUGACGGAGGGAGGAGGGUGGGGAUGGGCUAAAUGGAUGAUGGAUGUUAAGGAGGGAACUUGUCACGAGGAGCACUGGGUAUUACGUGUAGGUGAUGAAUCACUAAAUUCUACAGUGAAACUGAUUUUACCAUAUAUGCUGACGGGCUAGAACUUAAACAAGACAUUGAAAUUAAAAAAUAAAUAAAAUAAAUAAAAGUGACGUGAUACCUCUUUAUUCGUAGACCAGGAUUUGCCUAGUUCCAUACGGAGAGACUUCUCUUUUGGUAUCACACUUCGGCGUUACAAUGUGGUCAUGACUAUCAUGGUACUUUUAUCUUGGCAUAGUGUUUGUUCCAAUGGUUAUGUGUGUGGGAAAUCCCUUCUGUUGAAGCUCUUGGGGUGAAGGGCAGAGACAUCACCCGUUUUUUGACAGAAGCUGUGCCGGAGAGAAUGUUUCUGCACACCCUCACCAGCGCUGGGUGCCAUAAAUAUUUGGGCGGAAUUUAGUGGCUUUCUGUGUGUUAGGUGAGCACAUAGGAAGUGAGGCGCUCGAAAAAACAUAAAUGCCCCCUUUCUUUUUACUCUAGAGAAAGGACUCUCUAGGUGUUGGGAUGCUAAACAAGUUUGACCUCUCUGAAUCCCAGCUUUCUUAUCUGAAAGAGGGGUUAGGAGUACGUUAAGGAUAUUUCCAGAGCUGUUGUCAGGAUUAAACAAUGCAAUGGAAAUAAAGAACUGCGGGCAUGUGCUCCUUGUGUUCCUGAUGACGCCAGGGAGUAGGGCACGAGGUGAGGAAAAUUAGCACCAUCAUCCCACCCAACAGCGGCUGAAUGUUGGCCACACUCGGCUACCGCUGCAAGUUCUUGACUUAUUGGCCUAUUUAACAUUCGCCAUCACACUGUGCUAUUACCAUCCCCAUUUCAUACCAGCUAGUGAGGAGUGAAUCGAGGACGGAAACCUAGGCAGUCUGGCCCAGAACUUGAGAUCGUAAAUCUCCCACCUUUUGGACAUCAGAUGCUGUCCAGCAGGUAGCCCGCCCUUUGUUUGUCUCGGCCUGACGUGCAGCCCCCACAGCACCUUCUUGCUAAGGCCGGGCCGGCUUCUGGGACCAGGCUUUACCAUCCCUCCGUGGGCGUGAAUCACAUGAAUAAGGGCCACCUGCUGUGGUUCCAUAAAAACGCUGUAAUUACAGAGGACAGCCAGGGGAAAACAAUAAACAUACUUAUUUCAGCCAGGUAAAAAACCAAAAUCACAAUUUACUUUAUGCAUCCAAAGACUGAUUCGAUCUGUGCUGCAUACUAGAAAAGCCCCACACCUAGUUAAGCCCUACAUAGAUCCCCACGGCCAUAAUUUUACACUACGCCUGUAUAGCAGGUGCCUUUAAUCCGCCACGGGGGCGGGGGGCGGAGAGUAAGCCGGAGUAAGAAUCGUGUACGUCAGUUUUUAAAUAGAGAACAUUCCCCCAUGCCCAAAGUGUACAGGUCAUUUUAUUGCAGUGGAAACACCUAACCUGUCCCGAGGCAGGGGUGGUGGUAGGGGAUGGCGAUCUUCUUGUGACAUUACAAAAGGACAGUGAGGUUGGGAGUGCCGGAAAGCACGUGUGAACUUUUGUUGUGUUCUUCGGACAGAUGUAGGCAGGUCUGCGGGGUGCAGCCUCAGGCUUUCAAAAGAGGUCCCGCCUUGUGAACCCACAAAGUAUACACAAUCACUCACAGGGAAAACGCCUGGAAGGUUAUACAGCACAAUAUUAACUCCACGCGGCGGGAUUAGAGGACAUUCGCAUGUUUUAAAAGUGUGCUCCUAGGGGCGCCUGGGUGGCUCAGUCGGUUUAGUGUCCGACUUCGGCUCGGGUCACGAUCUCACAGUUCGUGGGUUUGAGCCUCACCUCGGGUUUUGCAUUGACAGCGUGGAGCCUGCUUCGGGUUCUCUGUCUCCCUCUCUCUGUCCCUUCUCUGCUCGUACUCUGUCUCUCUCUCGGAAAUAAACAUUAAAAAGAAAUUUAAAAAAAUGUCUUUCUGGAGGUGCCUGGGUGGCCCAGUGGGUUUAGGGUCUGACUCUUGAUUUCUGCUCGGGUCAUGAUCCCAGGGUUGUGGGACUGAGAACUGCGUGGGGCUCACACUGAGCAUCAAGUCUGCUCAAGACUCUCUCUCUCUCUCUCUCUCUCUCUCUCUCUCUCUCCUGCUACCCCUCUCCUCCAUUCGUGCGGGCUCUCUCUCUCAAAUAAAAUUCAAUUCAAUGUUGGGCACCUGGGUGGCUCAGUUGGUUAAGCGCCUGACUCUAGUUGUCGGCUCAGGUCCUGACCUCUUGGUUUGUGAGUUCGAGCUCCAAAUACGGCUCUGCACCAAUGGUGAGGCACCUGCUUGGGAUUCUCUCUCUCUAUGUCUCUCUCUCUCUCUCUCUCUCUCUCUCUCAAAAUAAACUUAAAAAAUGUCUUUCUGAAUUGCCUGAAAAAAAACUUUUUUGAGAGAGAGAGCAAGAUGGGCAGGCUCCUUGCCCCACGCUGAGCUAGGCAGGGGCUCGAUCUGACCGCUCUCACCACCGUGAGAUGAUGACCUGAGCCGAAAUCAGGAGUCGGAGGCUUAACUGACUGAGCCGCCCAGGCGCUCCUGAAUUGCCUGAAAAUUUUCAAUGAGGAUCUAUUUCUUUUAAACUCAGGAAAAUGAAAAAGCCAUCCUCUAAGAAGGAAACCCACUGGAAAGCAGAAGAGGCUGUGCCCUCCGGGUCUCUCUGUAACCGAAUCUGGCAGUCUACCUCUGGUACUCAGCAUGACCUUGAGAUGAAUUCCAACCCAUCCCGCAGCAUGGCACCAUGGGAAAGGAAGGCAUUAGAGCCGGAGAGCUGGGUGUUAUGGUUCUACCACGGGGGUGGGUUAUUCCACCAGUCUGAGUUUUGGUUUCUGUAGAGUGUAGACAAUAAUCCUACCCUUUUUGCUUUAAGUAUUGGGGAUAAUACACAGAGGGUGUUUACCCAAGUCCUUGUCAUUCACUGUUUCAACAACACCCAUUCCCUGCACACCUGUUCACCCCAUGCACUCCUCUGGGCACUGGCAAUGCACAGAGGUGGCAGGUUUUUUUUUUAGAGUAUGUGCUUUCCAACUUUUUAUUUUAGUUUAGGACAUCCUCCAUAUCUGAUCUUUCAAUGUAUUCAUUUUCGUGGAUGCAAAGCUACGCAACGGGGCUAAGGCACAUCCGCUCUGGCCCCACCAUCAGGUGUUGGUAGCCAUCACCUGUGGCUAUUUUAGCUUUGCCAUCAUUUAGGGCUGAAGGUGUGUUUCCUGGGUUUUGCCCUUCUUUGUAAAACAAAAAGAAUGAGCUAAAAAGCUAGAGUAUGGAAUACCACUUUAAUAUUACAGGCAUUCAGCUUUAUUGAAAAGACACCUUUGUUGUCCAGAUACCAGGAUCCUAACUUAGAGACAUUUAUGAAAAGUUGUUGAAGACCUUGUCUCUGUUAAGUUAUAUACGCAGCGAACACCAGAGAAGAUAAAAACAUGUUUUUAAGAGAGUCGAAGUGAUACAGAAGGGUUGGAAGCGAUGCCAUCAAUGUCUAUAGUUCUGGGGGGAAAUUUAAGUCGUUAAAGCCAGCUGCUAGCGUGGACAAUGAUCGAACACUUUUUAUGUGUCCUGUUCCAAGUGUAUGAAUGAGUUGAACUCUCGCAUCGAGGAGGUAUCAUUCCCUCCCCCCAUCUUAAAGAUGAGAAAACUAGGCACAGAGGGAUUACAUAGCCAGGUUACAGGUAGUAAAUGGUAGGGUUGGGAUUUGAACCCAGGAAUCUGCAUAUCCCUGUCCUAGAUUGUACCUUGCACAUUGGUUCCUAUGCAGCCUCGCUAUAGACUUAGGAACAAAUGGAUCGAUUCACAACGUUUUGAAAUCCAAUCUGCUUGGUAGUAGAGAAACUCCUGGCUAGACACUACUUACGAACUCCGGUUGUUGGGACGCCAAAAUUGGGAGUUGCUUGGCCAGAAUCACCCACGGGACACCUACUACUCUAUUCCUUAAUAUCUGCUGAUAGUCAGAGAAUCUUAGGAAGAAAACAGAAGAAUUAAAUCUCGGUGGGGAAUUCAUUUUUUCUACCUUAAAAUUUUAUUGGAACACUAGCUGAUGGUCAAGUUAAAUGAAAUGUCAACAAACUCAAAAGAGCAAAGACCCUUGAAGGUACCUGGUAGGGGCUAGAUGUUACUGAACUGGCUGGCAGUCUGGGGAUGUCGGAGGAAAAAUGAGACGCACGUUCGGUUACCGCAAGUAAUCUCUUUCUCGUUGGUGGGACAGAGGGCAGGGUCGUGUGCUGCCUGCCUGAACCACCAGGUUCCUUGCUUUUCCUCUACAGGAAACCAUAAGGGACUUUUCCCGAUACUGACAGUUCCAGAGUCUAUUAAGUCUGAUUAAAACAAAUAGCAAAAGAGCUAACGUAUCUGUCACCAGCUCGUCAAAGGCUUUGUGACACUCACGGCAAAGCCACCGCUAGCUUCUGUGUCCCAUCAGGUCUGCAUGACUUCUGCAUGAUGGCAUUUAGAGUCGGUGCUCAACUCGGGAUUAGAAGAUCUGAUUGGCCGAGUUGUAGUUAAACUAGUAAAUUAGUGACAGAAGGCAUUUGACCUAGAUGGUUGUAUUUCUUUAGUGCGUGCUCCAGGAUUUAUCUCUACCUUAUAUUUUGGGAAUAACCUAAGUAAUUCAGAACAACUGUUACAUAAACAAUGAGUAUGCCAGCCCAUUCUCUACUGUCAUUUUUGUACCUCACAUGUCUUCCCGAGAGAGAAGCAGAAAGAGAACUACCGUCUCCCCGGUGUAUGUGUCUCUGUGUUGGCCACACAGAAAUCCCAUGAUCUCCUACCAGCCGGAGAUUUCUCUACCAGUCCGCCUUUCUAGGUCCUCUAUUAGACGGCCAGGAGCACUGUCCUCGGGCUGUAGUUUUCCCUGGCGGGGAGUCUUGUGAAUGUCCCAGGCAACCCUCUGCUCUCCACGAUUUGCGUCUGACAAGACCCCGGAGUUACAGAAGCUCAGAACAUUCGAGACUCGGUGUCCUAGGACAGUCAGUAUCUCUUCCACAACAAGGCGUUAUUUUAAGCCGACCGGAAAACUGAACAGAUUUCUAAAACUGCUGUUGAACGCGUUACACGUGAAAUCACACAUAUGCCAUUAGUUGCAAAAGCACUUGAAGGUGGUCGCCUCUAAAAGAAACAAGAGAAAAGCCCACGCCGGAGCCCUGAGUACGGGAAGCCAGUGUGGGGGUGUAUUUGGUGCCACAGACCAAAUUUGUUCCACGACCUCCUGGUCCCCGCUCCUCCACACUCCUAAGUCACACUGAGACUUUGCUGCGGGCUUGAGGUUGGGUCCAAAGGACCUGAGCUGGCCAGCGGCCCAGAGGCGCCAGAUGGCUGGCAUCUGUAGGACACGGUGACACCCGGGGUUAACGAGGGGAAGGAGAACGUGUAGCCGAGAGACACUGAAGUCCGAGCGGUGGUUCUGUUCCGGUGACUCCCUAAACUGUUGGUUGAGGGCAGUUAUUCAUAGCAGCGCUAAUCCCCCUUCUCGCUCUCCCCCUGGCCAAACAUCAAAGGAGUUAAAGGAAAACGCCAGAGAACAUCAAUGUCAACCUGAAGCCCACCACCCGAGCACACCUGAUCUCGUUUUGAAAAAUUUUCAUUUUUUUUGUAGCUUCUCUUCCCGAAUCUGCCUUUUAAUCUGUGCGACAGGUCACACCCACCGCCAAAUGCAAAAAGGGACAGAAUCCUUUAUUUGGGUUUUUCCAUGGAGUCAAGGUGAAGGAGAUUUUUUUUUUUUUUUCAUCUGAGUGGGAAAGUUCUGGAAAGUGGGCGAAGGGUAUCCGAAAUUUUGGCUUUCUGGCUUCGGCUUACCGGACACUUUAAUGAACACUUCUGUGGUGUGACCUUGAGAAAGUUCCCUCGUCUCAGUGCACCUCACCUAAAGUGGGUUGUAAGAAGCUUCGCUUUGGCCUGCAGAAAGGAAGGCCCCAGAACGUAUGUGCAAGUGUUAGUACGAAUAGUUAACACGGUACAUGCCACUCACUCUUUAUAGCUGGUAAUAUUUUCCUCUUAUUUAAAAAAAAAAUCCAAACUUGCAGCAAAGUUGAAAGAAUAGCAGAACGAAGAUGCAUUUCCUCUUUACCUAGAUUUGUCGAUGGCUACCAUUUUGCCACAUUUGCUCUGUGCCUUUUCUUCCACACGUGUGCGUGUUCACAUAAAAAUUUUUUUGGCAAGCCAUUUGAAAGUCAUUUCCACAGAGAAUUCAAUUGUUAUUAUCUCUAAUGUCUUAACACGUGUCUUCUAAGCACAAAGACAUUAUCCUAGACAGCAGUAUAAAUGUCACGCUCAGGAAAUCUAACAUCGAAUCGUGAUAUUAUCUAAUAUAUAGACCAAGUUCAAAUGUCCCCAUGUGUCCCAACAAUAUUUUGAAAUGUUCUAAUCAUUGUUUCAAUCCAGGAUAGAAUCAAGAAUUAUUCAAUAUAUUAGCCGUCCUAUUCUUUUUAAUCUAGACCGUCCCUGAGCCUUUAAAAAAAAUUCUCGUAUCAUUUUGACAUUUUUGAAGAAUUCAAGCCAGCUGUUUUGUAAAGUGCCCCUCCAUUUGUUUAUUUUUUUUUCAUUUUUUUCAUGUUUUAUUUCAUUUCCAAGAGAGAGAGAGAUGGGGACAAAGGAUCGGAAGCGGGCUCCGUGCUGACAGCAGUGAGCCCAAUGAGGGGCUUGAACUCACGAACCAUGAGAUCAUGACCUGAGCCAAAGUCGGAUGCUUAACUGACUGAGCCACCCGGGAGCCCCAAGUGUCCCUCGGUUUGGAUUAAUCUAAUUAUCGCCUCAUGCCUGGCUUCAGAUUAAACCUCCUUGUGGAGAGAAUGUUGCAUAUGUCAUAUACUUCUUAGCACAUCAGUCACAUCAGGAGGCACAAGAUGCCAGAGUCCCAUUAUCGAUGCCGGCCAUUUUGAUUAGUUCAGUUGACGUCCCUCAGAUUCUUCUAUUCGGAGGUCCUUUCUUCCCCCAUGUUUAAUGCAUCAGCAAUCCACCGCCGGAGGCUCCUUUUAUGCUCAUCUUUGUGAUUACAGCCAACAUUUCAUGAGCUAUCUCUUCCCUAAUGAGUCUAUUUUCUUCAUCCGGCCACUCCGGCAUUUGCAAUUCUUGGGUGUCUAAGUCCACCCUCACCAGUGGCGUGACUUCUGUGUGCUUGGUCAUCUUCCUUAGUUCAUUACUUGAGCUUCAUGAUGGAAGGGUCCCAUGGCCUAACUCGGGGAAGCUUUCCUCCAGGGCGGGUUUGACCCUGCCGCUGCUGGUACAGGUACCCUUCCAGCCUCCCUGUGGCUUUUGACUUUGAGCGGACACGUGGGCUCAGCUCUCCCACCUCACCGCUCUUCCAAGAUUUAUCACACUCAUGGCAGAGAGGCUCUUAGAAUCUUGCCUCUCUCUCUGUUUACUAUUGACGGUUCCAAAAAUCUUCAUCUUGCCCUAACCUCUGAGAGGUUUGUGGCCGCGGCUUUUUGCCUAAUGGAGUGCCGUACGGAUCAAUACCCCAAAAGUUCACAAAGUUUUUAAAAGAAUGGUAUCGGCUUGGACGAAAUGAGAAGAAAACAGUACAAAAUGAAAGGAGAUCUGUGAGCCUCUCAAGUCGUGCAGACGGGGAGCUGGCUGAGAAAAGCACUCAGCUGCAAACUCAGGCCAGACUCAGGCAAAGGGAAGAGACCUCAGAGGGUAGAGAACAAAGGGCCAGCGAACAAAGCGGCAGAGCUGAGCCCUAGUCAAGAACUGGCAGCCCGAUUUCAGCAUCACUUACGGACCUGUGGCACUGUGUGUCUCUCAUCCGCUUGUGGGUCCACAGCUGUGAGGCCCCACCAGAGUGGGGGGCUGGUCGCUGGCACGAGGACCGGAGGAGUGGGGCUCAGCCGCUGUCCCUGAAUCACUCUGCACACCUGAACCUGACUUUACUGCUUUGACCGGGUGUCAUGGUGGGAUGGGGCUUGUUGGUCUCGAGGGAGGGGUUGAGUUUAUUUUGCAGGUGGGAGGGCUGUGAAGUAUUGUGGCCUGAGGGUGAGCUGUGGUGGCUGUAUUUUCGAAAGAUGGCCACGACGACAUUUCUGCUUUCCUACAAUGCAGUCUCGAUACCUCUCCCUUGGAGGGGCAGGGUCUCUGUUCCCUUUCCUUGAGUUCGGGCUGACGCCUGACCCACAGCAAAAGCGAGACUAGAUCAUAAAUGCUGAUACAGCAUCCUGUCUGGUUCUCUUGGGAUGCUCGCUCUUAAAGCCCAGGCGCCUUGCACUGAAGUCCGAGCAGCCACAUAGCAAGGCCAGGUGUCGGUGUUCCAGCUGAGAGCCCUGCCAACAGCCAGCAUCGACCACCAGACACGUGAGUCGAGAGCCUCUGCAGGCUUCCCACCUCCUAAUGUCAAGCAACCCUGAACUUCAUGUCUUCCCAGCAGAGCCCAGACAUUGUAGCACGGCGGCAAGCUGACCCUUUCUGAACUCCUCCCCCACAGAACACGUGCACAUAAUGUUUUUGUCUCAUUUUGUCGUCAGUUUGGGGUAGUUUGUGCCGCAGCAGCAGUCCCCAGAACACUGGACGGAGUUUGCGCCUCCCCGUGGGAGAGGUCAACAUUGUUUCUUACCCCCUCUCGUUCCCAUUGCCUCCAACUAGAAGCCGUUUUCCAAGGUCGAUGUGGGAGACCAUUCAUUUCGAGCAAACUAGGAGCAAGAAACUAGGUGUUCAAGAGAAGGAGCGGGUGCCUGGUAUCCCCUGAAGAAACAAAGCGCUUGGAAAUGUAACACCACGGGAAAAUUCCAUCUCAUUCCAAACCAGACUCAACAAGUUCGUAUUGAACACUGUUAAGCAUCAGGGCGAGCAUACAUGACACAGGAGACACUGCACGUGGACAAGAACAACUCAAUUAAAAAAAAUUUUUUUUCAACGUGUAUUUAUUAUUGAGAGACAGAGAGCGUGAGCAGGGGAGGGGCAGAGAGAGGGGGAGACACAGAAUCCGAAGCAGGCUCCAGGCUCUGAGCCGUCAGCACAGACCCCGAUGCGGGGCUCGAACCCACGAACCGCGAGAUCGUGACCUGAGCUGAAGUCGGACACUUAACUGACUGAGCCACCCAGGCGCCCCUGGACAAGAACAGUUCAGCAUUGCUUCCUGUGUCCAACUGCCAGCUUUUCUUUCUGUGUUCCACUUCAAAUUCUCAAGAAGGAAUAUGAUUUUUUUUCUUUGUCCCUCGCUGGGUAGUUUUCAUAUGAAGCCGGCUGUUGACCCGCCGGUCAGCCCAUCGGUUGUCUGGCUUUGGGUCAGGCACCUGCCCCACUCUGCAGGCCUGUGGCACAGACCUGCUGCUUUGGGCUGAACUGUGUCCCACCCCGAAUGCAUGUGCUGAAGCCCUAACCCUCCCCCACCCCCAAUCCCUCAGAAUGUGCUUUUACUUGGUGAUAAGACCUUUAAAGAAAUGCUUAAAUAAAAUUGAGGCUGUUGGGGUGGACUUAGCCCAAUAUGACUGGUGUCCUUAUAAGAGGAAAUGUGCGCACACAGAGGGACACCAGGGAUGCGGCACAGAGGAAGGUUCCAGUGAGGACACAGCCAGCAGGCGGCCACUGCAAGCCAAGAAAAGAGUCCUUAGAAGAAACCAAACCCGCUGACGCCUUGAUCCUGACUUCUAUGCUUUACAAAUUCCUUACAACGCAAGUAAUCUCCCUUGCAAAGAAUUAGAAAUACUCAGAUGGAAAGACGUGAAUAAAACAUCACACACAUCAUUUACCACAGUGGCAUCAACUUUAAAGCAGGUCAUAGAGCACAAAAUUGGUUCUCAAAAUCUGUCUUGAAACAGACAACUAUUGCCCCACACUUAAGGCUAGACGAACGAGGAAUUGGGGGCAAGCUUUUGGUCUCUGAAUACAGAAUCCAGCUAGCUAGACCUGGCGGGGCAUCACUUCCCAGGAAACCAGAAGGAUUCUUCCAGAUGAAAGAAUCCUUAGAGAUCAUCUGACCUGACCUUCCACACCACAGAUGAGAAUCCUGUAUUCAGGAAGCAUCUGCCAGCCUCCCAGACUUCUGCAGGUGGCCGGAGGGCAGAACCAGCCCGUCACUGGGGUCCAGAUUUGCUUUCAUGGUGCAUCAGCUGGGCUCCAAAGUCGAGCAUCUACAGUGUCAGAUCCUGAGGGUGACCGCGUCCGAGUUUGGUGUGCCACAGGGUGUUCUAGGGACAGCGUUCCUCAGCGCCUUCAUCAGAAGCCUCCGGACUGCUUGCCAAAGAUCAGCGAAUUUCCAGGACCCGUUCGGACCUAAGAAAUCAGAAGUCUGGAAUAGGGGCCAGGAAUCUGUAUUUUAUUUUAUUUAUUUUUUAAUUUAUUUUUCAGAGAGACAGAGAGAGAGAGAGAGAGACAGAGUGCAAGUGGGGGAGGGGCAGAGAGAGACAGAGACAGAAUCCGAAGCAGGCUCCAGGCUCUGAGCUGCCAGCGCAGAGCCCAACGUGGGGCUCGAACUCACAAGCGGUGAGAUCAUGACCUGAGCCGAAGUCGGACGCUUACCCGACUGAGCCACCCAGGCGCCCCGGGAAUCCGUAUUUCAGCAAGCAGCCCAGUUGAUUUUUAUUCGCACUGAAAUUUGCUGCGCACCAGGCCAGGACAAGUGCAGAUUUCUGCAGUGGCCUCUUCCCGGAGAUCAUCUUUCCUUUUGGUCCUCAGCCCCGUCCUCUGCGUCCCGCUGCCGUCCUGGGCUCCCCCUCGGCGUUCCUUUCCGCCCCGUGCAUGGGCCGAAGCACUUUUCCUCUUCCUCCUCUCUCCCCUUCACCUGCUGCCCUUCUGGGUUCUUACCUCUGUCUCUUUCUUUCCCCUGUGUUGUAUUCCCCCCAUCUCUUGCGUCUGACCCGCUCUGCUCCCUGCCAAAGCGGGGCUGGGGCAUGGACCCGGGUCAGAGGCCGGCUGACCAGGGAGGGAAGGUCCCGAUCUUAGCACAGUUCUGGUCAGGACGCACCCGGGGAGACCAAAACUGGGAUGACACACACGUCUGCGAGGGACAGGUGAGGGAGGAGGCGAGGGGGCAGAUUUACGACCCGGGAAACUCCUCGAGGAAGCAGGUCAAGGAGACCAAGGUGGCCCGCAGGGUGCGGUAGGGGAGGGUGGCGAGCCUCGGGACACCUGCCCCCUGCCUUCCCGGCAACCUGUGCGUGGGCGAGCUAAGAGCAACUGAGAAUCAGUCUUCUGCACGGACACUUCGCGUUUCCGAGUGUUUACCUGCCGGGGGGUGGGUGGGUGGGGAGACUUGUGUCCUCAGCUGUCAGACCCGAGGCUGUUUGAGGAAUCAGCGCCCACCUCUUCUGGAUGGAGAACCUUAAGCAUACAGGAGUGGAGGCUUUCCUGAGAUGCCCCUCACGCCCAGGAGCGCGAAAGGCAGGUGCCCCCUCAGCGUCCGACGCGCCGUGAUCCGGGGCGAACCCGAGAAAUCAGUCGACGUGGGUCUUUGUCCAGUGCAAUCUAAGAAGCUGGUAUAUGAGCACGUGUCCAUGCGGUCUGGCCCAGAGUAAGCGCUCAUGCAGGGGGGCUGUUACUUAUUAUGGAACUAGUCUUUUAUCUGCCCCGUGUCUGCAUUUAUUUCCCAUCCGGAAAAUCCGGAUCCCUGGGCCUGGCAUUGGGGGACCUCUCCCAAGGAGGUCUUUGUGUCACAACACCUGGAAGGACCGCAGGCAAUCCCUCCCUCCCCUGGAGAGCACACGCACACUACCCCCUUAUUAGGUGUGAGCUGUGCUCGCUCUUCAGGGGCCCAGGAAAUGCCAUUGCUGACACUGGGCUCCGUUUGGCUGUGCCCUUCACCUGUCGCUGGAAGGUCCGCUACGUCUCAGACUCCACGAGGCAGGACACAGGUUGGCAGGAGGAGAAGCAGAAGCGUCCUCACCCGGGAUCCCACCUUUCCAGAAUGUAGCUCCCCGACCAGUGCUGUCUGGGUCGGUCAGCAGCACCUGAGACAGAAACUCCGGGGUGGGGGUGGGCUCUCCUCUCUUGUUGGUCUGGAGGAGCCAGAAAUUGGCUCCGCCUCCUUCCUUCCUUCCUUUGGCUUCCCAUCAGGUGUCCGUCUCAGAAGGCCGUGUUCCAAAAGGCCAGCCCAGCCCGGGUGGUCAGGGCUGCCCGGACCAUCCCUGCCCCACCUCCUGGGGCAAUGGUGCCGGGCCUUUCUUCCAGAAGCUGUGUCUGCAUUUAUUUAUUUUUUUCUUAUUUUUUUUAUUUUUUAACGUUUAUUUAUUUUUGAGACAGAGAGAGACAGAGCAUGAACGGGGCAGGGUCAGAGAGAGAGAGGGAGACACAGAAUCUGAAACAGGCUCCAGGCUCUGAGCUGUCAGCACAGAGCCCAACACGGGGCUUGAACUCAUGAACCGCGAGAUCAUGACCUGAGCCGAAGUCAGACGCUUAACCGACUGAGCCACCCAGGCGCCCCAAGCUGUGUCUGAAUUUAAAUGCCUGUUGCUGGAUCCUCUGCCCCCAAGAGUCACAGACGAGCCCUACAUGGGCCAGUCUGGCCUUAGCACCCUUUGGCUGGCCCGCCCUCCUCCACCGGCACCCUGCACUGCUCACCACCCCCGGAUUCCCCCUGCACCUUGCCCUGGCCUGCCUUUUUUCUUUCUUCUCUGCUGGAGGCAUCCCUGCUGCUUCUAACCUUUCGUUAACCUCUCAAAAUCUUAGGAACGCGCCCCGCCUGCCCCUGCUAAUCACCCUCCGCACCCCUGCAGAAAGAACCUGCCCCUCCUCGCCUCUGCUUCCCUGUGCACUCCGCCCUGUUGUGACACUUCUCCCCGGGUGCCAUCAUUAAAUGGUUACACCUGCGCCUCUCCGGGGCUCCAAAGUCGGCUCCACGGGUCUUUUAAUGGUGUCCCCGAGGCCAGCCUUGGGGCUUCAGUAUAGUGGUCUCUCGGGGACAGCUGUAUUUUAUCCUGGCAGGAUGAUGUGUCACCGCAAUGCCACCCCCCUCACGAACCCCAACGAUGAGUAGCUGGAAAAGGAUCUUUGGGGGAAUUAAUCUUCACUAUCACGUGCAAGGCUGAAGCCUCUACUGCCCGUUGGACUCUGAGAUGACAGAGACUCUCCUGAGAGAGAGGGGCCUUUAGCGACUAGGCUGCUUUCCUUUCUCUGUUUUUAAAUUUAUUUUUUAUGUUUAUUUACUUUUGAGGCAGAGAGAAACAGAACACGAGUGGGGGAGGGGCAGAGAGCGAGGGAGACACGGAAUCCGAAGCGGGCUCCAGGCUCCGAGCCGUCAGCACAGAGCCCGACGCGGGGCUCGAACCCACCAACCGCGAGAUCGUGACCUGCGCUGAAGUCGGACGCCCAACCGACUGAGCCACCCAGGCGCCCCUAGGUUGCUUUCUCAUCUUAGCUGCAUUGUGUUUGCAAUCUUUCUUUCUGUUCUUUCUUCUUUCUCCCUCUCUUCUUUCCUUCUUUCUUUCUUUCUUUCUUUCUUUCUUUUUCCUUCUUUCUUUCCUUUUUAAAUGCCUGCUUAUUUAAAUAUUUAAUUUAUUUAAAUGCCUGUUCCUUUCAUGCAUUCAUUCUCCUGUGCCCCCCUCACCAUUCCUCCUAAAGCCGGAUUCUGCUGCUGACGUGGGUCAGAAGACCUCAUUUAUUUCCUUCUCGAUCCUAACACUUAUCUAGCUAUUUGUCUGUGUGUUUAUCUUCCCCAUCAGGAAUAUAAACUUCUUGGGCACAGAGAUCCUGUCUUCCGUCUUUGCUCUGGUGCCCUGGUAUUUAUAGGAUGAAUUAAUGGGUGAGCACGCGUGCAUUUCACCAUCUCCGUGUGUCUGGCUCUGGGUGAGGCACAGCAGGUGCAAAAGAAAGACAGCUUUUGUUUUCCGUGGGCUGGCUCACAAGUCGAGGAGACCGCUGCCACCAGGGUGCAGAGUGACAAGUCCUGACUUAGCGGAACACGGGGUCUCUGGGGAAGAUGAAGGGCUCACCUGAGCUGGAAGGAGGUGGGGCUGGAAUAGAGGUUCGACAUUUGCGUUGAGUCCUGAAAGGCGGUGAAAUGUACCAGGCAAAGGAGAUGCGAGGGACAUUCUCGGGAAGUGGAGCUCAUGGACAAAAGCCCGAUCGGGAGAGGAGGGCAGAAUGGAAGUGCAGGGGCGGCCGGAGCCUGGCAUGCGAGGGAAGCAAGCCCACGAGAGCACUGGCCUCAUGGUAGAGUGGCUGUCCCCGUGGGUUGGUGGCUUUACUUCCUCCAGCUCCGGGCAAACCUCAGACUACAAGAGGCUGUAGGCCCAGCUGAAGAAAGGGAAGUGUUGCACCCCCCCCCCGUGACCCCUGUUCCUCCCCGACAGGGCCCCUUCUCUCCGCACCGUUCCCGGAGGGGCUGUGGGGACCCUGCGACGGGCGGCGUGGGCAGCAUAGGCCCGCUGGGGAAGCCAGCUCGCAGAAGGACUCAGGCAGCAUCCGAGAACUCUGCUGAGUCAGCAGCAGCUGCAGCGGGGGCAGGAGAAAUGCAGAGGAGGAACACGCACUCGGGUUCCUGGAAAAGGCAGAUGGCCAAUCUCAGGAUGCUUCUUUUCAAGAUUCUAGGUAGUCCUGAGCUCGAGCCUUUGGGGGUGUCUUUGAGAAGCAAGGGGACGGGGUGGCAGCCAGCCUGUUGAUCCCCCUUCCUCCCUUCCACUGAGACUGCCUGAGUGCCUGUCACGUGCAGGGACUGUUCCAGCCAUUGGGGGUAUGACGUGGAACAGAGCACAGUCGUGCUCUCACGGAGCCGACCUCCUAGGUGUGUGGGGGGGGCAGGGAGGGUGGGGAUAAAGAAUAUAGAAGAAAAAAACAGACACAUAACACAUGUCAGGUAGUGAUGAGAGCAAUGAAGAAAAAUAAGGCAGGACAAGAGAAGAAGGGUGAUGGGUGGUGGGUGUGUGCCGUUCGAGAGAGGGGCAGACAUGACCUCCCUGGACAGAUGACAUCUGAGCAGAAACCUGGCUGAGGCGAGGGAGAGAGUAUCAGAAGGGAAUCGGUAACUCUGUUAACGGAGGGCGUUACCUCCUAAGGAGGUGUCUCGUCCAGCAGGGAGAGCACAGCCCCAAAUAAUCUCCCAUUCUAUGAGUGAGUCUAAAAUAAUAAUUCUAUACUUAGUAUAAUGUUACAUUAUUGUGUAUUACAGACUGUAAUAAAUUUAUAUAGUAUAGGGGCGCCUGGGUGGCUCAGUUGGUUAAGCGGCCGACUUCGGCUCGGGUCAUGAUCUCGCGGUCCGUGAGUUCGAGCCCCGCGUCGGGCUCUGUGCUGACAGCUCGGAGCCUGGAGCCUGUUUCAGAUUCUGUGUCUCCCUCUCUCUGACCCUCCCCUGUUCAUGCUCUGUCUCUCCCUGUCUCAAAAAAUAAAUAAAACAUUAAAAAAAAUUUAAAAAAAUUAUAUAGUAUAAAUAACAUAUUCAUAUGUAUUGUUAUAUUAUACAUAAUAUAUAUUUUUGUAUGAUACAGUGGUGAUAAGAUUUAGAAUAUAAUUAAGCAUUUGUCUCCCUUUGCAAUUCCCUACUGUCCCUGGACCUGCCCUCUCUCGGUAGCAGGAUGGACGGCAAAGAGUCAAGUCCCUGGCUUCUCUGUUUCCAAAGAGGCUCACUUCAUUUGUGUAAUUUGCUUGUAAAAGUAGGUAUAAUCCUGUCCGGUUUUGAGGUCAGAAAUCUGGGACUUAUAAAUUCUUAACCCUUAAAGCAGAAACCGUGGUUUUAAAAAGCCAAGGUUUCCAUUUGUAAGAGUCGAAUCGCUUUUAAUAAUCUGCUCAAAAACGAUAGGCUGCUCAGAGCAGAGAUGUACGGCCCCGGGGCCCUGGCCGCCGGACCAGCUAAGGCCAAGGGAGAACAGGUGCUUUCAGUGGACCUGAAAGCAAGGCCAGUGUCCCUGGGAAAGGGCUCAAGGUGGCCUUGGCCUUCUCUCUGGGCUCAGGGGGUGUUAAGGGUUGGGAAUCGGAGAGGAGGGGCUGCUGUGCCCCUGGAGGGGGGAGUUGAGGGGGAGAGAGGGCCACAUGGGGUCACCAGUGGUAGAUGGGCCUGAUGUGGCACUGGGUGGCUGGAUGACCCAGCAGGAGGAAGAGCCCAGAUGUCGUCUGGCGAGGUCAGGAGGGGCUCCGCAUGAGCUGAGUGAUGGCCUGUGUAUCUGGAGAGGAUAGAGGGAAACAGAAAGACCCCAGUGGAGCAAGGGCCGGAAACCCGACGGAGUCUGAGACGUGCAGCAAAUGCCCUAACGGACGAAGGUAGACGGACUGGCAGGUGCCACCUGGUGAGCCGGGUGGGGGAGGGGAAUGUGGCAAUGACCAGGUUCAAUUGACGACUCUUUUAAAAUGGGUCCUCCUGGGGCGCCUGGGUGACUCAGUCAGUUGAGCGUCCAACUCUUGAUUUGGGCUCAGGUCAUGAUCUCGAGGCUCAUGAGGUCGACCCCCAACUUGUGCUCAGCGCUAAGCGUGGAAACUUCUUGGGAUUCUCUCUCUCUCUCUCUCUCUCUGCCCCUCCCUGGCUGCACAUGCUUUCUCUCUCUCUCUCCCUCAAAGUCAAUAAAUAACAUUUAAAAUAAAUAAAUACAAUGCCUUUUUUUUUUCACCCCAAGGGACUGGGUUAAGUUUUCUGCCAACAGGCAGAAUAGGUGCAUGAACUAGAGAGAGUUAGAAUUUCUUGCACAUUUGAAGCAUGUAGUUCGCAAACUAAGCAUUUUGACCCACGAUGCAAAUGUUGAUUAGGUCACCCACAGACACACAAAGAGUUCUUUGGGAGAUUUUCCAGCUAAAAAUCCAUUAUCGGUCUUUGGUCUCCUGAACCCCCCCGAAAUGUGGCAAAUCCUCCUCCGCUGGAAAAAAAAAAUGCGAGAGUUUCCUUAGGCUUAAAAGCCUUGUGGUUCACAGAGGGAAAUCGGUCUCCUUUUUGUUUUUCUACAAAUACUGCCGGUUAUUAUUUAUAGCUCCUCUGGCCCCAACAGCUCUACUCAGUCCUGUGUCUUUGAAAUCCCCCGGGGACAGGUUCCCGUGUGACGUUAACGUUUUCAUCCUCGCGGGGAUUUCUAAGCCUGAUGUUUUGGAACAGGGCACAGAGGAGUUUCCGAGUCAGCACUGAGCGUGCCUCAAAGGCCGGGUGGGGCGUCAAAAGAGAACACGAUUGACGAUCAGACAGGUUUGAGCUCCGGCCCUUGCAGGCUGUGUGGCCUCUGUAAAGUGACUUUACCUUUCUGAGCCUCUGACUCAUCGCCUCAAAAAUGGGUACCGCACCCACUCUUACAGAGAUAUGAUAAAAAUAAAGUGAGGUAAUGUAUUAGUAGUCUGUAGGGCUGCAGACCGGGCGGCUUAAACAUAGAAAUCCACUUUCCUCACGGUUCUGGAGGCUGCGGGUCUGAGAUCAAGGUGGCGGCACAGUUAGUUUCUUCGGGGGGGCGGGGCUUUCUCCUUCAAUUACAGCCGAUCGUCUCAGGAGGACACCAGUUGUAUCCUGUUAAGAGUUCACCCAUAUGACCUUAAGGUACCUUAAAGGCCAUGGGUACCUUAAGUACCUCUCUAAAGGCCCUGUCUGUAAAUAUAGCCACCAUCCCGAGGUCCUGGGGGUUCAGCUUCAACACAUGAAUCUGGGGACAUGAUCAGCCCAUAACAGGGAGCGGGUAUGAAAGGGUCUCAGCACACAGAUGCUCGGUCAAUGUCAGUUGCCCCCCCCCCCCAUUUUGUCAGGGCGCCGUGGGAGCCUCAAACUCUUUUUUUUUUAUUUUAUUUUUUAACAUUUAUUUAUUUUUGAGACAGAGACAGAGCAUGAGCAGGGGAGGGUCAGAGGGAGAGGGAGACACAGAAUCCGAAACAGGCUCCAGGCUCUGAGCUGUCAGCCCAGAGCCUGCCGCAGGUCUCGAACUCACGGACCGCAAGAUCAUGACCUGAGCCGAAGUCGGACGCCCAACCGACUGAGCCACCCAGGCACCCCAAAGGAGCCUCAAACUCUUAAUGACAACUGCUCUCCAGAGACGGUCCCCUCGGAGGCUGCCCCGGGGGCAGGUGGCAGGGAGGCCACAUAAUUAGAAUGCAGGAGAUCGCGUAGAGCCAGAAAACUCGAUUCGGUUCAUACUCUUUAGAUGUUUGGAUUUGGGCCACACUCAUCAUCUCUCAGGUUGGCUUCCUGACAGUCAUAACGAGCUAACAGGGCGGGUAUUAACAUUAUAAUAAGGCCAUGGCUCCGACAGGCUUGACUUCUGUCAGGUGCGUCCCCAAUACUGCUUUAACUGGAUACGGAGACAUUGGCCGAAGCCUUCAGCGCUGACACAUGUGAGAUACUCUGUCCUCCGGCCACCCUGGCUUCCAGGCUCCGCUGUGUGGAGUGCAAAUACCCACACGUUAUCCAAGAGCCGGUGUUGCCGACCUCUUUCACGUUGUCCGGUGGGUGACUGGAAGCUCCCAUAGGCUUUCUGGAAGGCAGGACCAGGUGUUUUGUCGGCUUCCCAUCACCCUGGCUGACAAAUGGCUCGUGUUCUGUGUCCUCUACAUGGAUUCUGGCGUUCCCUGUUCCUAGCUGAACUGCCUUCAGACGUAGCAGGACUCUCUCUCAGGCGUCCGUCGUUCCCAGAAUCUUCUCCAUCUCCACAGAGGUAUUAUCUUGAUGAGGGCUGCCUCCAGCUGCCCGAACCCAUGGGAACUGGAGGUGGCCCAUGACUGUGGGGAAUCCAGUGUGUGGGCUUUGGCCAGAAACUGGGGACGAGGUGGCCGGAAGUCUCUGGGCGCUCGUGUGCCUUAUCCGAGACAGCUUUUUCUUCCCAUUUUUUGUUUGCUUUGUCCCUUGAGGCCUUACUCAUCCACAUUUUGCUCGUGUGAACGAAGCCUGGGAUGUGAGUCAGGUGGCCAUUUUGGGUCCGCAGGGGAUUGCCCUCGCUCUGCUGAAGAGAGACAUGUAUGGGAAGGAAAUCACAAAUCCACUUCUGCUUGGGAAGACUGGCACGGAGCCUCAGUGGGCAAACACGUUGGAAGGAUGUGACGGAACAGCCCCUUUCGUUGAGGUUUUUCUCUCCGGUCAGCAGAGAUGCUUUCCGACCGAUCUCCAGUCAAAUCCAGAACUGCCUGGAAUGCCCGCUGAUGUCAAAAGGAGAAGAUUUCACUGGCCUCUUUCCUUCAAAGGAAAAUUCGAGUUGUACUUGUUAUCCUAAAGAGGACUUUGUCUUUAUUUUUACAAAGCCUCGUUUGGUUACAGUGAUUUCCCCCUCUGAGUGGUCAAUAUGGACUUUCCUGAGUAGACGGGUGAUUAUUUUAAUUAUGGCGUUUGUUGGCACUGGGGAAGCCAUGUUGUUUUUUCCCCAGAAAGUUGGGAAAAAAUUAAGGUGAUGUUUACAGGCUCAUAUUGUGUUAGUGGGAAAACAAAUUGUUGCCCAACCUUGUUUCCUGAUAUGUAGUAUGUGUAGAUUACUGCUGUAGAUGGGUGGUCCUGCUUCCACUCUGGGAAGAGCUGCUCUUCUCCUGGAAAGGAAAGGACCUUUCAUCCCUUCCUAUAGUGAUGUUAGCCAGAUCGUAAUGGCAGCCACAUUGGAGAGCGUAUUAUGGCUCCUUGCAAAGAAUGAAAGAUAAUGUGAACAGCUACUUUGCUUUUGAUAUAUUUAUUACUCCCACUUCCCCGGGAAGGUAAGUCCUAUCUGUUUUCUAGUUAUGCAGAUGAGGAGGCAGGCUUAGCGAGGUUAAUAGGCUGCCUCAAUCCCACAGCGAGUAUAUGGCCGAACUGAGACUCAAACCCAGGUCUCACCUGAUUCCAAAGCUUGUGCUCUAGAUCACUACACUCGUCUGCAUCUUAAUGUAGGCGUUGUCUUAUGAGAACAUCGCCACAAGUAGUUCUCAAAGUAUGGCCCUUGGGCCAGGCUUGUGAGCCUCACCUCAAUACUUGUUAAAAGUGCAAUUUCUCAGACUAACUCAAAUUAUUGAAUCGGAAACUCUGAGGGAUCGAGCCUGAGUGUUUCCGCCCCAAGGCAUUCCAAACAGAGGAUGAUAUAAUCUCUGUGCUGGCACUUCCAGACGGAGCUCUCGCUGUCCCACAGGGCACUCAUUCUGUCUGUUCUGCUUGUUUAACUUGGCCAAUUAUUGGCAAGCUCUUCCUUAUAUUAGAGGACGAUUUGCUUCUCUUCAUUGUUCACCCCUUGGUUCUCGCCCUGCCCUUCGUCCUAGCGACAAGGAGAGCGGAAUAUAGCUGAUGAAACUCACAUGAUCAAGAGCAGGAAACUGCUAAGGUGUUAGAAAGAGCUUGUCUGGCGGAACGUGUCUAGGGAUGCUUUAUUCUUUGUCUCACAAAUAAGAUAGAAGGGGAACAGUUUUGAAAAGGGGGAAAAAGGGAAAGACUGAGGAGUCAGGGUUCCAGGGUCUACUGUUUCUUUAGGGAAGAGUUCUUCUAGAAACUCUGGACCUAGAAGAUACUCCGUUUCCUCCAAAGUCACAGGUCCGGCAUAAAAUCCCUCCUGCUGAGCAAAGCGGAUCACUGCGAGAAGCAAGUUUUCAGAGUCGGAGUGGCAGGAGAGCUCAGAAGACCAGAGAUCAGGUGUGACAAGUGGGUUGUUGAAUCUGUAUCCAGAGGCCUACGGGUGGGGUUCGUGUACUCCUUUCCCAAGCUGGCUACCCCAGAAAACAACUCUGCUACAACUAUGUGCCAUCUUGGGGAAAAAGGGCUGAGGGAAAAGGGAUGUGAUCCAGGGGUGGCAGGAAAGUCAACACAACAACGCGUUAUCGAGUUGGCUUCUACUGAAUACAGCUACUUGCUUGAUUCCGCUGGACUGACCUUGCAGAGCUGGGUAACUGCAACUUAGGACAGUUAUUCUUGAGGGAGAAAGAGAACUCACCCACUGGUUUCCAACUCCCGUCUGUCAAAGUUCUGCCCACAGAGUCUCAACAUCCUCAAACUCUGGGUCAGGCUUAUGUGGGCUCCAUGUUGGGUCCUACAGCGUCCCGUACCUCGUGGCCAACAGCACGGAGGCAAGAGGCACUUGGCACAGGCUGGAGACGAGACACCAUCAGGUUUCAGCUGCAUGAAUGAUCAGAAUCUGGGCAGCGCUGGUGGUCACGGAGGCUCUCGCAAGAGUCAGGUCAAAUGGCUGACAAACAAACCCAGUUUGUUUCUUAAGCAUUAUCUGAAGGUACAAGAGACUAAGCAGAAGUGGGGAGGGAAGGCUAGAUUACACAAAUAAGGUCCCGCCCGGGACAGCAGCAUCGUAUGACAAAACUUGCCAUUUUUCAGGCCUGGAGAGUGAGAAAAAAGUGAGGAAACUAAAUACCAGAGAAAGCGGCAAGAACCACUGUUUCCGGAAGGCAGAGAACCGGAGAGGAGACCCCCAGAUGCUAUAACCCACAUCCCUCACGGACUCCUGAGCUGCAUUUUGGCAGAAGAGGCUCGAAGCAGCCAGCCGAAGACAAAAACGAUCUGAAAAGAGACGAGAGGUUCCACGUAGAAAACAGAGUUUGCGGUUCAAGCCAAGCCAAGGAAACGAUCUGCUAAGCAGAGGAAAUUUUCUCUUUGGACAAAAAUAACAACAGUCAGGUUUUCCACAGUAUAACAUGCGUAACGUCCGGCAUAGAAUUCACACAAAUGAAACACAGUCCCAAGAGAAAAGAACUUGAAGCAGAUCAGACCUGAAGGCCAGACAGAUAUUGGGACUAACAGACAAUUUCAAAGUCGCUAUUAAUGACUAUCCUCAAUGAAGUAAAACAUGUUUAUGUUUAACAUUUUUUUUUUAGUGUUUAUUUAUUUUUGAGAGAGAGAGACAGAGCGUGAGUGGGAGAGGGGCAGAGAGAGAGGGAGACACAGAAUCCGAAGCAGGCCCCGGGCUCCAAGCUGUCAGCACAGAGCCCGACGCGGGGCUCGAACCCACAAACCGCAAGAUCGUGACCUGAGCCCAACUCGGACACUCAACCGACUGAGCCACCCAGGUGCCCCAAGCAUGUUUUAAAUAAAGAAAAUUUUGGGAAAUACCAAAUUAGGAUAUCAUUCUUCUCACGAUAUCCUUUUUGCCUUUUAAUAUUAUAUGAUUAAAUAUCCAAAAAUCACAUGAAGUUCUUUUUAAACGGUCAGAAGUUUCACAUUGUUCUUUUCUCUUUAAAAUAACAUUUUUGGGGCACCUGGGUGGCUCAGUUGGUUAACUCUUGGUCACGGCUCAGGUCAUGAUCUCACAGUUCAUGAGUUCAAGCCCCACAUCGGGCUCUGUGCUGACAGUGUGGAGCCUUCUUGGGAUUGUCUCUCUCUCCCUUUCUCUCUGCCCCUCCCCUGCUCACUUUCUAUCUCUCUCUUUCUUAAAACAAAUAAAUAAACUAAAAAAAAAACCAUCUUUACUUUACUGACCCCCCCCCCACAAUUUUAUCUAGAUGUAAACUAAUUUUAUAGGUUGAAGUAUUUUGAUAAUUCUGUCAUAAUUCUAUCGCUUAAAAGAUAUUUAAAAGUUUUGCUUUAUGUACUAGCGUAAGAUUUGGGGUGUUCAUUUAAUUUAAAAUGAACUUUUAUCAUUCUUUAUCAUUCAGUUGGUUAAAACAACAUAAAUAUGUCACAAAUUUUGAAACAUGUUCAACACAGUUAAAAUUUUACUAUAAAUGCAUAUACAAAUGCACGAAGUUAUGCUUUUUCAAUUUGUUUAUGUCUUCUUGGAUGCAUGGUACUUAGUGUUAGCUAGUAUUCCUAUUUUUUGUAAGUACUGAGAAACAUCAUUUGUAUAAGUAAAUAGAGCUAAAAAGGGGGUUAUAUCAGUAGUAGUGAGUAGUUACUACUCAUCAAAACUGAUUCUUAAUGAUCCAUCAACUAGCACUUUCAAUUCUGUAGAAAGAAAAGAAUUGGAAACAACCUGAUUUGUGGAUUCUUUUCCCUACGUCGUUAGAGACACUUCUGUGUCACACACACGAAUUUAGGAUUGUGACAUUAUCUGGUGUCUUGGGUUUCUUCUCUUCUCUUCUCUUCUCUUCUCUCCUCUCCUCUCCUCUCCUCUCCUCUCCUCUCCUUUCUUCUCUUCUCUUCUCUUCUCUUCUCUUCUCUUCUCUUCUCUUUUUUUUCUUUUCUUUUCUUUCUUUUCUUCUCUUUUCUGUUCUUUCCCUCACUCUGGAGUAAUGUGUCGAAGUAAGUUUAGAAUGGCAGGAGAUGAGUUUUUCUUUCAUUAAGUUAAACCAGCACGAUUAGUGGUCAAGGGAAGCAGCACGAACAGCCAUGGUCUCACCCAUAUCAAUGAGGAAAGAGUUCAGACAGAAGUUGAGGAUCUGGAAAUUGAUUCUGUUGAAACUACACCCUAUAUGCACUCCCUGGUACGUUUUACGUAUGUGAAUGCAUACUCCAGUUUGAAGACCGUAGCCUUAGAGAAUCACGGAGCCCAAACCACCUACUGGGCAAGGGACAUUGGAGAAAGUUUAGGUUUAAGAGUCAGGUUUUUUUACCUGAAAAGGUAAGGUAAGAUCCCAGACUUACACCAGCCAACAGAUCACUGUAAAACAGGGAAAACUUGGGCCGGUACAGAUGAACACAGGAUCCGAAGACUAACUGAUAACAGCAAGGUUUGGAUUUCUCGAAGUGGAGAAAUAAAGCGUCUCAUGUUAGCGGCCUAAGGCGACGCAAAACUGCACAAAAGUGUAAAGAAACAGAGAGAAUAGCGUCAGGUUGAUCAAAGGAAUAAUACUCGCGGCCCCUGUAGUUAAGGGUAGAAAGACAUUCUUAUUAGAUGCUGGAUUUGAGUGAACGCGUCGGAAUCUGAGGAAGUCUGCGGGAGUAGCCUUCUUCUAGAGAUAUUCACAGUACCAGAAGAAAGUCAUCUGUUUCAGUGACGUUCAGCUGAGGACUUCAGCAGAAAAUGAAAUAAGCCAUUUAGAGCUGAAGUAAUGGUGGCCUAUGACCGAAUUCACCAAGUGAUCAAUUCAAGAGUUACUUUUGACGAUGCUGGUGCAGAAAGUUGGGUUCUGGCUUCUGCUCUCCUAGCCUUCCUACAUCUUCGUCUGGCCGUGCCAUGUGACCCCUGAGCUGAAAGGAGACUCAGCCAGAUGACCGCUAAAUUUCCUUCUGGUUCUCCCAUCCUAUGCAAGAACAUAACGUUCUUAGCACGUUAUGCUUAGCACCUAAUGCUCAGAGCAACAUUAUUCAUGAGAGCCAAAAAGGGGAAAUAGAUGCUAUGUCCAUCCGAUGGUGGAGCCAUUCGAUGGGAUAUUAUUUGACAAUAAAAAGGAAGCAAGUACUGACAUAGGCCACAUCACGGAGGAGCCUUGAAAACAUCACACUAAGUGAAGGAAGCCAGCCAGAAAGGACCACAUAUCAGAGGAUUCCAUUCGUGUGAAAUGUCCAGAAGAGGCCAAUCUAUAGUGACAGGAAACAGAUCAGUGGCUGCCUCACCUGGGAGUUGGGGAGAAAGGGGGAGGUUACUACCACAGGUUUUCUUUUUUUGUUUUUGUUUUUAAUUUUUUUAACGUUUAUUUAUUUUUGAGACAGAGAGAGACAGAGCAUGAAUGGGGGAGGGGCAGAGAGAGAGGGAGACACAGAAUCGGAAGCAGGCUCCAGGCUCUGAGCCAUCAGCCCAGAGCCCGACGCGGGGCUCGAACUCACGGACUGCGAGAUCGUGACCUGAGCCGAAGUCGGACCUCAACCGACUGAGCCACCCAGGCGCCCCACAGGUUUUCUUUUUGAGAUGAUGAAAAUGUUCUAAAAUUGAUGGUGGUGUUUGCACACCUCUGUGAAUUAUACUAAAAGCUAUUGAAUUGUACAGUUUAAGUGGGUACAUUGCUUGGUACGUAAAUUAUCUCAAUAAAGUUGUGAUUUUUUUUUUUUUAAGUUAUGAAAGGAAUUUUUAAGUGGAGAAAAGACCUUGGAUCCUUGCGUAGACAUAGGAUAGGUAACUGAAAGGAGAAACAAUCCAGGAGUCAGAGAUGACACCUGGGGAGGAGGGAGAUGGGAAGACGACUCUGCGGGGAGAUCAGGGCAGACAGCCAGUCGGGGACAGUGGGCAUUUGGUGGUGAGUAAGGACACCCGUGGGAUGCCCUGAGCUGGAGAAAGAAGAGAUUGAGAGCACUGAGUAGAUGCUCAGACCUUCUCUGCCUCGAGCCUUGCCUUUGGCCAGACUUGGACAUGUCUUUUUAAAUGGGUGCCCUCGCCCCUCACCUCCCUUUCCCAUGUCCGGGCCGCUAAAGGCAUAAUUUUUCUCUCAGUUCUUUUAAAUUCUUGUGAAAAUGUCUUCUUCAUCCCUGCUUCUGCAUCUUUGACAUAAUCUCUCUUCUUUUUCUUUAGUGCUUACCAGGUACUUUCUCUUUCCCUGGCCUAGGCCACGUCUUGUUAUUAAAAAGUCAGCCUUGACUUUUGUUUUUCAUUCCUUCUUCCCUUGGGUCCUUUGCGACCUUAUCUUGAAGGAUUAUUACAUAUAAAUGUGAAGAUUCACUAAUACGCUUAAAAUAAGGGAAACCAACGUACCCACUGUGCUACUAAGGUGAAACAUUGUGUGUGAUAAAAAUAAGGACAAAGCGGGGCGCCUGGGUGGCGCAGUCGGUUAAGCGUCCGACUUCAGCCAGGUCACGAUCUCGCACUCCGUGAGUUCGAGCCCCGCGUCAGGCUCUGGGCUGAUGGUUCGGAGCCUGUUUCUGAUUCUGUGUCUCCCUCUCUCUCUCUGCCCCUCCCCCGUUCAUGCUCUGUCUCUCUCUGUCCCAAAAAUAAAUAAACGUUGAAAAAAAAAUUUAAAAAAAAAAAAAAAAAAUAAGGACAAAGCAAUCUGACGUUUUAUUUUCAAAACUUGGCACAAAAAGGAAUGUCAGAGCACCUGGAACUUUUUUUUUUUUUCUGUGUUCUCAUUUAUUUUUUUAUGGUAGUGGGGGGCACAGAUUUAGGUUGACCCCAUGGUUUGUGCAAAGUAUCCCCUAGCUUUUUACCCAACUAAAACUAAGGCUGGAUUUCAAAUUCAUUUGUCCACUCAUUCAACAAGUGUUUAUUGAACAUCUACUAUGUGCUCGGCCCCUCACUAGGCACUGGCCAUAUAAUUAAUGAAAGGGAGAAAAUGCUCCUGGGUCUCAUGACACACGCACUCCAGCAAUCCGGCAGGAGAGACAGACAUUAUGAAAACAGUCACACACAUUUCCCAGGUAAUUAUAUAAUUAAAGUUAUGAUGUCUUAUAAAGGUAGACUGUAGGAUACUGUUCUAGGAUUCCUCCUUUCUUGCCUUUCCUCCUGCACUUACUUGCUAAAGAAACCCAGGACAAAGAUUGGAAGGGAUUUUCAAAUUAUUGAAUCUUUGAAAAAAAUAUAAACUUUAAAUCCUUCAGGUAAGGGCUUCAGUUAACUCGAGGAGAGGUGGCCCUAGUUUAAUGAGCAGAUCACUCACUUGUGACAGGCAACGUUAACAAGAAAAACGAGUGGCUUUUAAUUCAGGGAUAACCUAUGUGGGGAAAAGCACAGACAUUGUAUGUACACAACUCAAUGAAUGUUUAUGAGUUGAAGACACCUGUGUAACCAGAACCUAAACCAAGAAACAGAAGCUUCACGCAUGCCCCUCUUUGAUUCACCAAAGUCAUUUUACAAGAGGACUAGUAUUUUUGUUUUUUUGGUUUUUUUUUUGUUUUUAAAUUUUUUUUUAACGUUUAUUUAUUUUUGAGACAGAGAGAGACAGAGCAUGAACAGGGGAGGGGCAGAGAGAGAGGGAGACACAGAAUCUGAAACAGGCUCCAGGCUCCGAGCCGUCAGCACAGAGCCCGACGCGGGGCUCGAACUCACGGACCGUGAGAUCAUGACCUGAGCCGAAGUCUGAUGCUUAACCAACCGAGCCACCCAGGCGCCCCGAGGACUAGUAUUUUUGAGCACUCGCUACAUGGCAGGCGCGAUGGAAUUUCUUAGAAAGAUCCCAUAUCAUGCGAGGGGCACUAUUUCUUCUCUCUCGUGUAAGUUAGAUUACUCCCUCGGAAUCCAGGGGACACCCAGGGUGUUUCUAAUUUGCUGUUCUGCGUGCCCUUCUUCCCCGAGGAGGAAACAGUCUGUCUCUCCCCCACUCCCCUACACAGAAUCCUCCUUCAGCAUAACUAAGAUUGACUUGCUCAUUUCUCUGAGUCGCGCAGGCCACUCUAGGCUCACUCAAGAUUCUGAAGAAAUUCACAUCUAGUAUUUGGGGCGUCAUCUCUCUGGAUUCGGGGGGCUCGUGGCAGGGGAUUGCGGUGGGGUUUUAAAGAGUCUGGCUGGGAGGGGGAAAGAAUCCAAAGGGCCCUGAGAAAAAUAGGGAUGGAAAACGUCGCCCACGGCACCAAGGGGGCUUGGCCUUCAUGCAACAACAUGAAGAAAUAUUUCUAUCAAUUCUACUAGGUGCAAUUCUACUGGGGCGAAAUGUGUCAGUGAGCUGGUCCGCACUGGAUCUGUGCUGAGAAGACUUGUCUAUAUCAAGGAUGUGGCUGGGUGCCUCAUAUUAUGGUGCAAGUGUGGCCGGGACGAGGAGUGGGGUCUUUGGAGACUAAUGAAGUGCCAUAGGCAGCACUCUCGCCUCAUCCGAGAGAUAACAAAAAUCUCCUUAUCGUAAAAACAAAUAUAUGAACAAACAGUAAGCCAUCUACCUCUAACUGGUCCAGACGGAGUUCCAAAGUCCCCCAAAAGUUCACCUCUUUAUGCGAGGCAUUGAAAUCCCUAGAAACAAUAUGGCCGUCUCCUAUUUGGUGAGAUAUCAGAAUUUCUGACCAGGGUUUCUCAUAAAACCCUGCAGGUGAGCUUCUCUGAGGCCCUCGGUGUUGGCUAUGUAGUGAUUUUCUGCCAUGCUUUGUUCUCUCUGCCAUCAAGAAAGGCGGAGUCCAAUGGUCUCUCCCUCCUCAAGCCCCGAUCCCAAGGCCCUGUUUCUUCCAUCGUGGGGAGCCAAGUUCGUCCCUUCCUUUGCUGAGAAUUCUGAGGUCCCCAAACAAGCCCUUCCUCAUUUUCCCUCACUUUCCCUUCCUCCAUCCUGAAGGACAGUCUUUGCGUCUGUCCUUUGGUGAUUUUCACCUGUGCCAAAAGACAAAACCCCUUCCUGUGGCCCAAACCGUUCUCUUUGCUUCUUUUCUGGACUGUGGUCCCUCCGCCUUUUCAUCUCUUUUCAUACUUUUGUUUUAAACUUCUAUUAUUACGGCUUUUAAACAUAUACAAAAGUGGGCAGAAUAAAAUACCCUUGUAUGUGAUGAAAACAAGGCCAAAGCAAUUUGUCCCCACACCCAGAUUCAACAAUUGUAGCUUUCUGCCCCACUGUAUCAGAGUUUUUCUUUUUCUUCAUCGUUGUCUUGAAAAUGUCUUUUUGCGGUUGGUUUGUUUAAGUUCGGAUUCAAAUAGGGCUUACGUAUUAUGUUUGAUUUCUACGUCACUUCAUUUUUGUCUAAUCAAGAACAUUUUCCCAGCCCCCUUUUAUUUCCUGUCAUGCUAUUGACUUGUUGAGGAAAGCGGGUCCGUUCCAUAAGAUGUCCCAGAGUCUGAAAUUUUCUGAUUACUGCUUCUUGGUGCUGUCUAACGAGGUCCUCAGUCUCCUGUAUUUUCUAUAACCUGAAAAUCAUACCCAGAGACUUGAUUAGCUUCCUUCUUCCCGAGCCACUUACUGCUGCGUUAUGACCUAUGUCAUGCCCAAAUGGGUCAUGGCUAUUCGUUAUAAAACGCUUGCUUAUGGGCUCUGUGUUCUGUUGGCGUCUUUCCGCCCCAUGUGGAGCGCCAUGUAGAGUCACGUGCACCAAUUUUCUCCACCCAUUCACAUACAUUUUCCCCCCAACUCCACUACGUUCUCUGCCCAACCGUGUACAGAAAUAACUUUCAGAGAUCACGAGAUAUUCUUUACCAACAAACCCCAUGACUUCCCGUCAGCGUUCUAAUGAAUGCCAGCACCUCCACCAGCUACCAAGUCCCACGUUGCAGCCUUUUGACAAUGUCAAGGUGCUCUCCCUCCAUGAUCGUUUUUACAAAGGGUUGUCCUUUCCCAUUCUUGGUCUCACUGAUCACCUUUGUGUGACGGCUCUUACGUCUGUGUCUAUAGCUCUGACCGACCUCGCUGAGCUCCAAGUCUAUGAUUUCUGUUUUUCUGCACGAGCAAUUUUAUCUCUAAAUGAUUCACCAACACCUGGAACUCGAUCCAUUUCGAUCGUAUUGUCUGAUCUCACUAUCAACUCUUCUUGGUGGAACCUUCUUUAAUCUUGCCAGGAAGAAUUAAUCAUGUGCCUUAAUGUGUCAUACCGUUGUGGUGUGAACUUCUACAGAUGGGCUCUGACUGUUGUGGCUUGUGUAUGUCUCUGCGUCUUCUACUCAUUGCGAAUUUCUUGAGGACGGGACUCAUGUUUCCUCUACCGAUGUGUUAAUUAAUUGGAGGUGUUAUGUAUUGGGUAUCUACUAGAGGCAAGACACUACACUUUGUAGCCUUUGGAUCUGAAAUAAUAAAACCUUGGGACAAGGCAGGGGUGAAGGGACAACAGCAACAGUGAAUGUUAGCUGGCACACCUAUUAAACUUGUCUCCUUUCUAAAGCACUUUGCGGGUUGAACUCAUUCGAGCAUCACUGUCAUAUUAUGAGGGAGUUACUAUCAUUAGGUGAUCUUACAAUAAGAAACUGAGGCACAGCGAAGUUAAGAGAGUCACCAGAGUCCCAGAAAGAGACAGGCGGCUGUCAGACAAAGUCAUUUCUGCCCGGCCAUUCUGCGCAGCCCGGCAUCGGUAGAGUUGAGGGAGAAGAAGUUAUCUUUAGAAACAGACUGACGAGGACGCUGAAACUAGGAAAUUAGAGCAGUUUGGGAGCAGAGUUUUCUUUAAUUUUCUAUAAAUUGUAACGCGAUAUCAAGAUGUUCAACCAUCCUCAAUUGCUAUUUCCAUAAAGUCCUCGGCUAAAAUACCCUUCAGAUAUAGUUAUAAAUAGCUUUGUGGGCCUGUUGGGCUCCAACUGAGAAUUACAGUUAAAGCCUUAUUCAGAGUGGGCAAAUCAAGAAGCGAAUCCAUUUAGAGCAUGCUGGUUUUCAAGGAAGGAUCCUUAGUCUCCGGGUAUGUUCUGUCUGGCACUCGGGGCUUGGGCUUGGGAGGGGGCGUCGAAGAGAAUCCCAUAGGGAUGGGGGGGGUUCGUCUUGUUUUGUUCAGUGUCCGGUCGCUUUUUCUCAAGCAGUGGGUGACACACACUGUGUGUUCGGUGAAGACUUGUUGAACGAGUAAGGGAUGGACAGAGAAGGACAAGUAAAACGUGGAAGACAGUCUGGGCAAUAGGUGCUCCCUAAUUACAUGUGAGGUUGGAUGGUCCAGAUGGUUUCCUUAGAGGCCCCACUAAGGUGCGAAAGAGAGUAAAAACAGCAACGAAAAUCCCUAAGCAAGUUAACAAAGAGGUGGUGAAAGCCAGACCCGCCUGACCUCGUGGGUGUUGGUGUGGAAUACCCUGGGGAAUAUUUUAGGUUCCGCUUCCCACUUAGAAUCUCUUUUCAGAUGCCCCCUCCUCUCCUCCCUCCCCUCGGCCAUUAUAGGGCCGUUCGCAUGGAAAAGCCAAAGGUUUGGACUCCCAUCAAGUCUCCUCAGGGAGAAUGGGUGAUAGGAGGGGAGAAUGAGGACCCAGUCCUUAGAGAACCUGGAGCAAGAUGGCUCUCGUCUCCGCAACAGGUGUAAGGUUUCCCAGAAGUCCUGGUCUCUCUUUGGCGGGGACUCGUUUGGGAAGUCCUUUCCUUUAUUACUUACAGGGUCCCAUCUCUUCAUGCCACCGCUGCAUAUUUUUGCUGCGUGGGUCAUUUUGCUGCUUGACCCAACUGGCCUGUAAUGGCUGUGCGUUUGUCACGUUGGCGCUUUCCGUAUACGGGGGAGGGCGUGCCUGCACACAGAAGGCCUGUCUCUCUGAAAGCCCUGCUCUGUGGUGUCGUCUCAACUUUCCAGUCCUUGCCAAACUACUCAGGUAGAAUUAAUGACACUGCCUCCUUGGCUGUUGUUUUUUGUUUGUUUGUUUGUUUGUUUGUUUUUUGUAUACAAUUCCAUGUAGAACUAUCUAAAAUAAGAUCGUUCUCCCUCCCUUUGGCCAUCCUCAAAUACGUGAAAACAACUUAAACAUGCUUCACUUAAUAUUCUCUUUUCCCACACUGGAUCACUCUGGGUUAAAGCAGACUUCGAGAGUCCAUCAAAACACGUGGUUUCUAGGCCAUUCUUCCCAGUUCUUCUACUUUAUUUUUUUAAUUAAUGUAUUUGUUUUGAGGGGGGAGGGUGGGAAGAGGGAGAGAGAGCAUCCCCAGCAAGCUCCACGCUGCCAGCACAGAGCCGGAGGCGGGGCUCAAACCCACGAACCGUGAGAUCUGAGCCGAUAGCAAGAGUUGGAUGCUUAACCGACCGAGCCACCCAGGCGCCCCUCUAGUCUUUCUAACUGAACUUCAAGUCUAGCCAGUGUGACUUCUACAAGCUAGUACCCAGGACAGGUUCUAGAGUGCCAAGGAGGUCAUAGUCAAACGUAUGAUCCCUGGUCACGUUUCUAAGCCUUCUGAAUGCCAAGGCUAUGUUAGAAGCUGAGCACUCAGCGGAGGCAGGGCCUGCCCUCAGCAAGCACCUGGAAGAGAAGACACGUUUCAUGCUGAAACUCUGCUCCCAGACCCUGGUUGUCCCGUGCAUGUUUCCACGGCAGGGACAAGGUGCUUCUCUCAAAAUCCUUGUUCGGAUAAAGGAGCGUUUAGUUCCUAAAGUUUGUUUAUUGAUUUUGAGGGGUUGGGGGGGGGAGGGAGGGCCAGAGAACAAGGAAGAGGGAAUCCCAGGCAGGCUCUGUGCUGUCAGUACAGAGCCCGGUGCUGGGCUCGAACCCACGAACCGUGAGAUCAUGACCGGAGCCGAAGUCAAGAGUCAGCUGCUUAACUGACUGAGCCGUCCAGGUGUCCCAAGGAGCGUUCAAGCUCUGGUUGGUGUCCCCAAGAGCUGCACAGGCCGGACAAGAACCGACCGGAUGGAGAAAUGCUUUCAGAGAGGCCGGCCUUCCUUCCCAACCUCCAGGUGGGGUGUACCUACAAACCCCGGGGAGAGCCAGAGGGGGUCGUGUGCCCUCCUCCGAGCUCCCCCUUCCAAGAUCCCGGGGCGGGGCGCUGCCCUGAAUUUGUUUUCAGGAAUAUUCCGUAGCUGGCCAGAUGCUCCCCAGACUUCGAGGCCCUUCUCUGCUUGGGGGCACGCGCCCUGAGAGCCCUCGGAAGACAAACCCGGGGUGACAGACACCAACGCGAACAUCAGAAGUUAGAAGUGGAUGAAAGGAAGCCGCCGAGGCUGAAUGGAGGUCAUUUGAUGAAUACAGAGCACAAAGGAGUCAUGAGUUUCCAUGGCUGGGGCUGGCCAGACGCCCAGACAACGGGCCGGGCCCGGACGACACUCGCAGAGGAAGGCCGGGCGGGGACUCUGACAGCCGCCUUGGUGGCAGAUACUGGGACUGUUGUCGGUGUGUGGGACACUAGAAGGCCGGUGCGACCAGGGCUUGCAUGGGAUGUGAGUCAGAUGCGUGGAGGGAGAUGGGGGUGGGGUGGGAUGCGGGGGAGACUCUGGCUCUGGUUCCUUCUCAGGCACCUGACAGAUGGAGCGGGCAUUACGGUUCCAGCAGGCUCCUCAUGAGCGGUGCCCCUGCAGCACGAAGGGCCGCAGGCAGCCCUACCGGCCUCCACCGUCCGCCCGCCGACGUGAGCCCUGCGGCAGCAGGUGGAUGAGGGACCCGAGCUGGCGGCAGACUCCUGGUAAGGGGCAAAGUCGGAGCAGGGCUGGGCCUGCCCAGACUCUUCCCGGCCCCCGAUUCUGAGCGGAUCCUCCUGGGUCUCGCCCGCCCACGACACCGUAAGCAGACAUUAUGUGUUUGUGCAGCGUGUCCCCAAGCUAAGAAGCCCGACAGCCCCCGGAUGGCCGCAUCGCUCUGAUUGCAGCUCAAAUCAAGGAGUCCUCUGACGCGGACCGUGACUUCGGCUCGGUCACGAUCUCAAGGUUUGUGGGUUCGAGCCCCGCGUCGGGCUCUGUGCUGACAGCUCAGAGCCUGGAACCUGCUUCGGAGUCUGUGUCUCCCUCUCUCUCUGCCCCUCUCCCCUCAUGCUCUGUCCUCUCUCUCUCAAAAACAAGUAAACAUAAAACAAUUUCUUUAAAAAGAAUAUUUUUUAAAUGUUUACUUGUUUUUGAGAGAGACACAGAGAGAGAGACAAAGAGAGGGGAAGAGAAUCCCAAACAGGCUCUGGACGGUCAACGCAGAGCCGGUCGUGGGGAUCGAUCUCACAAACCGUGAGCUCAAGACCUGAGCCGAAAUCAAGAGUUAGAGGCUUAACUGACAGAGCCACCCAAGUGCCCCUUCCAGAAUGUUUUUAAACGGAUUCGAUUUAUGGCAAAGGGAAGCAACUGUGCUGAAAUUCAGUUAUAAAAAAUAUUUUGAAAACUUCGCAGUCUAGUAAAAUACAUUCUUCUUAAUUAGCCCACUGAAUACCAUGAUCUGGUGACAGAUCUGAUAACCGCUGUGAUUUUGAUGUAGUGAUGAGCGUAUCAUAUUUUGAUAUGUGAAAUAUGAUGUAAAAAUACCUGUGGUUUUUAUUGGCAGCCAAGUGCAAUAUAUACCGUUAAUAUGAACGUGGCUGUUUGCUUACAUUUCGAGUGGAAAGAAUCCUAAUUUCAAGGGACAGAUAAAAAAAAAGUAAAGAUACCAUUUUUCCUUUUCAAGUUCCGAGACACUGCUCCCCUACCCCUUUCCAUAUUCGUCCCCAGACUUGAAGGAUUUCAAAGAAGGACUUGAAGAAUCUUUUCUUUAGAGAACAUCCCCCCCCCCCCCCCCCCCGCCCACCAUCAUAACAUGAGGUCAGGAAAUUAAAUUUUCUCCUUAAAUAUUAAAAAUAUAAAAGCCUCAUACAAAUUAACCGGAAAAGCCCAGGAGACAGAUGGGCCAAGAACAUGAUGGAUAUAGAUAAUGAUCAAAACUUGACCAAAAAUUCCACUUGAAAACAAAGUAACAGAAAUUCGGUUUUUUUGCCCAUUAAAUUAGUCAGGAUAAGACAUGCACCCACAUAGACACAAUUCUGCCAAGGAGCACUGAUGAGACUAUUCUUACCGCUGCUUGAAUUACAACGGGGACGGUUGUUUUGGGAAGCAAAUCUUAAAUUGUUCACAUUUUUGGAAUCAGUUUAUUAAACAAACUUGAAUUAUUAUCUUUUAAUGGCUAAGCGUUAAGAUUUUUCUCACGUAACUAAGACUGCCCAAAUUGUAAAGGACCCACUGGGUCAUAUAUCCCACGAGCUUCCUUCAUCAUUGACAAACCAAGUAUAUUCCAGUCCCAAAAUCAUAAACGUAAUAAAACCCACUGCAUCCCCUUGCGUGUGCCUGGACCGCCUGGGAUCUUACUGCGUGUCCUUUGAAUCGGAGAGUGUGUAUUUGGGCGUGAUGGCUGAUUUUAUGUGUCACCUUGACUGGGCGAAAGGGUGCCCGGAUAGCAGGUGAGACAUUAUUUCUGGGUGCGUCCGUGUGGGUGUCUCUGGGAAAGACUAGCAUUAGAAUUAGUGAUCGGUAGACUGAGUCAAGGAGAGUGUCUUCACCAAUGCAGGUGGGCAUCAUCUGACACACCGAGGGCCUGAAUAGAACAAAAAGGCAGAGGAAGGGUGAAUUCGCUUUCUCUGCUGGAGCUGAGACGUCCAUGUUUUCUGGCCCUCGGACUUGGGGGCCCAUGGUCCUCAGGCUUCCAGACAGAUGGGGAUUUGCACCAUCAACCCCCUGAGACUCAGGCCUUUGGUCUCAGGUCAAAUUAUACUACAGGCUUUCCUGGUUCUACAGCCUGCAGACAGCAGACUGUGGGACUUCCUGACCUCCAAAACCACAUGAGACAAUUCCUGUAAUAAAUCUAUGUAUAUGUAAUAAAUAUUAUUAUAUAAAUUAAUUAUAUGUGUAUAGUUAUAUGAAUAUCAUAUACGAAUUCAUAUAUGUACACACAAAUUUCAUAUGAGUUACAUAUAUGUACAUAUGAAUACAUGUGUAAUAUCUACUAUUAUAAAAUGUACUGUAUAUAAUAGAUUAUAUAGUGUAGUAAUAUAAUAUAAUGUAUAUAUAAUAUGUAUUAUUAUAUACGUAUGUAUAUGCAUAUACAUAAUAUUAUAUUAUUAUAUAUAAUAUAUAUAUUAUAUAUGUAUGUAUAUGUAUACAUAUAAUAUUAUAUUAUUGUAUACAAUAUAUAUAAUAUUAUAUUAUGUAUAAUAUAUAUUAUUAUGUAUGUCUGUAUAUGUAUAUACAUAAUAUUAUAUUAUUAUAUAUAAUAUAUAUUAUUAUAUAUGUAUGUAUAUGUAUAUAUUAUAUUAUUGUAUAUAAUAUAUAUAUUAUAUUAUAUAUGAUAUAUUAUUAUAUAUGUCAGUAUAUGCAUAUACAUAAUAUUAUAUUAUUAUAUAUUAUAUAUUACAUAUGUCUGUACAUGUAUAUACAUAAUAUUAUAUUAUUUUAUAUUAUAUAUAUUAUUACAUAUGUCAGUAUAUGUAUAUACAUAAUAUUAUAUUACUAUAUAUAUAUUAUAUGUAUAUAACCUCCUAUUGGUUCUGUUUCUCUGGAAGAGCCCUCCUGGCUAAUACAUUGCGCAUAGGCAUUUUGGCACAAUAUUUAGUGGUCUAUAUUCAUUUUUCCCCAGACGGUUUUCUUUGUUCAUAUUUGUACUGUUGUCUUUGUUUCUCCUCAUGGACUGCCUGCCAGUCCAUAAGUCUUUUGCCUCGAUCUUGACAUCAUUGUCCCAUUCGUUUAAUAUGUAUUUCUUGAACACCCAUUAUGUGUCGGGAAUUGGGGUAGGUGUUAGUGAUUCAAGAGGGAAGAAAAUCAACUUCAUUCCUGGCCUCGUGAGGGGACAGGAAACUACUGCCCAUGAUUCCAAAUCUAGUCUGCCAUCUGUUUUUGCACGAAGAAAGGUUUUUACGUUUUCAAAUGUAAUAGAGGGGUUCCUGGGUGGCUCAGUCGGUUGAGCGUCCUACUCUUGAUUUCGGUUCAGGUCACGAUCUUGAUGGUUUGUGAGACUGAGCCCUCGUUCUGGGGCUGGGAUUCUGUCUCUCCCUGUCUCUCUGCCCCUCCCUUGCUCUCCCUCUAUCUCAAAAACAAACAAAACGAUUUAAAAUGUAAUGGAAAUCAAACGAAGAAUAUUCUACGACACAUGCAAAGUAAACAAAACUCAGGUGUGGUGUCCUUCAAGAAAGUUUUAUUGGAAUGCAUCGCGCUGACUCGUGUAUUAUCUACGGUGGCUUCUGCACCACAGCAGCAGAAUUGACUUGUCCCAGAAGAAAUCGUAUGGCACAAACCUGAAAUAUUUACUAUCUGACUGUUUGCAGGAGAAGUCUGCCGAUUCCUGAGCUUGCGGGGUAGACAGGAAAGUACCAAGCAAUCCAACGAGAAAUAAAAUAAUAACAGAUUGUGGCAAGUGGUGUGAACGGGGGGAAGGAGGCCCCAGGGGAGAAUGCAGGGGCAUGGUGAGGAGAGGGUCGUCAGAGAAGGACUUCGGGGGGGGGGGGGGAGUGACACUGACGCUGAGUUGGGCAGGGUGGGCAGCAUCUGGCUGUGCCAAGAACAGAGGCAACAGAGGCAGCUCAGUUCCAGGCAGCGGGGAAGGGGGUGCGUGAAGGCAAAGAGACCGAUGGGGGAAAGAUCCUGGUGUGUUUGGGGGCUGAGGAGGCAUCACAGCUGGAGGGUAGUAAGACUGGAGAGAGAUAAGUAAGUACAUGGGAACCACUGAAGAAUUUUAAGCAAGGCAAUGACAUGGUUUGAUUUGAGGGUUUUUUUUAUUGUUUAUUUAUUUUUGAGACGGAGACAGAGUGCGAGUGGGGGAGAGGCAGAGAGAGAGAGGGAGACAGAAUCGGAAACAGUCUCCAGGCUCUGAGCUGUCAGCACAGAGCCCGACGCGGGGCUCGAACCCACGAACCGCGAGAUCGUGACCUAAGCCAAAGUCGGACGCUCAACGGACUGAGCCACCCAGGUGCCCCCCAUUUGAGUUUUUUUUUUUUUAAAGAUCGCUUCCGCUGCUCUGCAGACAAUAGAUGGCAAGAAAAAAAAAAUGAGAAGAGAGAGUGGCUCCAGAAGGCCCUCUGCCAAUGCCUGCCUUUCUCCUGUCAGCAUGGACCGUGAUCGGCUGUGUAAACCUGCCAAGACGAGGCACUUCGGGAUGUUGCAAGGUUCUGCGGCUCUUCAACGAGGCUUGGAUGUGUAGAAGAGGAACUGAUGACAAUUUCUGAGGAAGCGUGUGUUCCACGUCAGGUGUUACUCCAAGAAGAACUCACUGAAGACUCUUCUCUUGCUAAAAAUACAGUUUUCCAAUACGGGGCGAUGGAAGAGGGAACAGUGUUGUUAGAAACCGUAACUGGUGGUAACCCCUCUUACCUCCUGGCCAGCGGUAUAACGUUCCUCGGCAGUAGAUGGCCCUGUUGGGGAGGAAGAUGAGGUCAGCCCUGCUAGCUGGACGUCUGUGCACAAGGGGUUAACAGUCAUCUGUGCGUGAUGGCAGUGGGAAGGCAGGAGGAGUGAUCGGGAAGGAUAAGACAGAGGCAGAGAAACGCGACCGUGGAGACCGGCGAGGAAUUUCUGGAAAAGGAUGAUCCUCGGGACUUGGGAGCACGUGGGAAUCCACUUUCUCUUGUCGCAGGUUUUGAAAUGCUGCCAUGUGAAAACCUUCCAUUUUCCCAAAGCUUCAGCGCAAGCCUUCUACCAGACUUGGGCUGGUGCUUUCUUGGAAGUAACUGGGGUGCUCUCUCCCAAAGUCCGAGGUAGUAAGAAUUCUAAGGAAGUUUCUUUACCGCCAGUAAUAGGCAUUUUGAGCGAAUUGCAUCUGACAGUUUACGGGCAGUGUGGCUCCUGAUUGCAUGUAGGUUACAAGUCAUCUGCUGCCCUCCCACUAAUCUGUAAUUUACAUAAGGUCAAGUAAUGUGUUCAUUUCCGAGACCAGGAAGAGGAACAGCCAAGAGAGCGUGCAUGACAUCCAGAGGCCCUGACAUUGGCAGGGACAGAACCCCUGCUUGUUCCCCUGGCCACUGGGGUCCCUGGGGGAGCCUGUACUUCUAGCCACUUGGUGGAUGAGAGACAAGGUCAAAGGACAUCAGAAAAGAGCAAAAGUAAAUGUUUAUGGAAAAACACAACCCCGCAUUUAUAGGAAGUAUUUGCGUCCUCCUGUGUCUUGCCCUUUCUGAAUUUUGUGUUUCUUUAAAGGCACCAGUUCUAUUUUUGGAACACACACACACACACACACGCGCGCGUGCACACACGCCAGAUUUUGAUGAGCCUUUUGCAGGAAACGCUUUCCCACCAAUUUGUUUAUGGGCCUCACACACUAAUCAGAAAGCUUGAAGUUGGAGGCAAAGCAUCCAUGUUUUCGGAAGGUCUUCCGGUCACCCCAGUGCCCAGUGGAAAGGCACAGUCAAAAGCAUCUCGUGGAGGUUGGAUACUUUUGUAACUUGAGAAAGCUUGGGCAGGUGACUGAGGAUCCAAAUAGGAACCCACCUAAAUCUGCACAACACAAGAAAUAAUGAAGUGUUGAGUGAAUUCGGUCUCACGAGGAGCUUCUCGGAGAAACUCUUAAACUUUUUGACUCAUAGGGCUGACGGGAAGUCUCUUGGAGACCAGAGUGGGCCUCAUGGUAUCCAAGGAUCUGAGCCAACGGACUUACGCUGUGAGGUAAUGUGGUGCAGCCAUGUAGAUGAGCCGCUGGGGUCAUUGCCAAGGCCUUGCGUUGAAUGGCCAACCUUGCUACGGUAUGAUUAAAGCUCUCAUUCUACCAAAAUCUUCUGUAAGAACCCCUCUCCUUCCCACAUACCUUAGGUGAAACCCUGACCUAGAUUUUGGUAGAAAUGGGAGCAGGCUACAGAAGAGGGCACAAAGCCCCCCUUUGCAGACUCGGAGAAAUGCAAGCCAAAGCACAGGUGAGCAAUCAGCCUGGCUUUCUGGAUCCUGCUUGUCUCCAUUUUGCUGGCCUCCAAAAGAGUUUUCUUCUUCCUUCGCUCUUCGAAUGCAAGAACGAGUGAAUAAUUGUCCGCAAAGCCUCUUGACUUUCUCGAAGCACGGCACCCUCUGAAUAUAAAAGCGAAUGUGCUAGACAGCGAUCAAAGCUCAAAGCGGAGAAAGUCCCAGACUGGGAAGAAACCGACAAAAUAUAACUUCACACCUCAGAGACCGAAUCUUGUACACAUGACUAAGUGGCAUUUUUUUGGAGGUCAAGAGAACCUGCUGAGCCUACAGCUCCCACUGAACAAUAAUAACAAUGACAGGCCCUGUGCAGUGACUGCUGGUUUGCAAAGCACUGUCAUAUACAUGACCUCACUUCUCACAAGUGAGACGUGCACACAAAACAGAAACACCGCAAGAUAAUAUCUGUUCUUGCCGUCACUUAAAAUAAAGAGAGUCUAAGACUCACAGAAAGUAGCUUUUAUUCCUCAGCCAUUAAGGGGUAGAAUCAGCAAUUGAGUCCAGAUCCUAUGGUGCCAAAAUCCACUCCCUGGGACCGCUUCCUUGGAGAGCCGAACACCCCUCUCUCUCCAGCGUCCUGUCUUGUAACGAAUGGUCCAUGAAAGAAUGAUCUCUGACCUCUUCAGUGAGGAAUCAGCGUUUUGGAUCACAGAGCCGACCUAGAAUCACCCAGUUGUGCAAUAGGUAGUUCCUUCUAAGAUGAUUUAAAUCUGGGUCCUCCAGAUCCAAAAUAUUCCUUCCUCUCAAAUUUCCAGGUACAGUAAGUUUAAAUUCGAAGUCACCAAGUGAAAUAAUUUUACAUUCUAAAUUACCCCGAAAACCUCUGGAAGAAGUUUCUUUUGGACUCCUACUCUUCAGAUACACGUAUUUAGUUGUGAUUUAUCGGCCCUUCCUAUGCUAGACCUGGCACUCUAGUCUCCUCAGUCACGCUUUGUGCAUUUAUUUUUCGAGUACCUGAAAUGUUUCAGGCGUACUUCUGAUGGCUACAGAUAUGUUAGGGAACAAAAUAAUCAAUCUCAACCCUCCAUGGGGUGAAUGGGGGAUAGACAAUAUACACUAUAGACGAGUAGUGUGUCGGGAUGGUAAGGGCCAUGGCUCUACGUAAAGUCCUCAGGAGUGAGAGUGAUGUAGGGCAGUGAGAUACUGCCGCUGGUGUGUGUUUGGGAAGGUCUCUGACUCAAGCAGCUCACUCAAGGACCUGGGGGAGUAGACCAGAUGGUUAUCUGGGGCCAGGGCUUUUUAAAGAGAGAGAACAGAGAGUGAAUGUCCUUGGGAGAGAAGGCUGGGUGUGAGGAACAUUUCUAGCAGAACAGUGCGGCUGGAGCAGGGGGAACAAAGGGAGAGAAGUAGAAAAUGAGAUAGGGAAGAGGCCCGGGGGACAGGUCCAGAGAGGCUUGGAUGUCCAAACAUGGGUUUCUGGUGAAUCUUCACAAGGAAGCUUAAUUACUUAUAUUUUAAAGUUCAAAAGACAUGCAAAGAGAAGGCUCAUACUUAUUCCAGGCUGAAGGCAUCCUUAGGGUGCCUAAGGGUCUAAACCCAGAAGUUCUGAUUCCACACUUGGCUUUCUACCCUCUUUUCUCCGUGUCUUAUGGAUCCUUCUGCUACCACGGUCCUGAGCAGAGACUUUAGGCAAAUAGCUAUGUUCACAAGGAGCUUGUUCAUAGCUAGUUUCUAAAUCUUGGUGCGCAUUUCUAAAGAGUCAACAUCAAGAAAAAAUUCAUAGUGGGCCUUGUGACGAGAGGCGAAUUACCUUCUCAAAUGUUGCAUUUAUUGAGUUGGGAUUUGUAAUCUGGACAAUCUAAUGCUUUGUCUAUAACAAGAGGAAGAAAGGCAGAAGACAGGAAGCUGUGGCUGCAAGUCUCGGAAAUGCUGAGCACAAGGGCAUAUUGAAAAACUGGAGAUCAAAGAGGCCAGUGGAAAUGCAGCCAACGUGAAAAACCAGGCCAAUCCCCUUAGGACGAGACAGAGAUAUUCUGCACCUGUUAUCUCGAAAACCUUCUGACAUGCACACAGUGAAAACGCCGUCCUAUGUUUUGGUUCAAGUCCCUUUGACAAUGGCUGUAGAAGCUGGAAAGAGUCAAGUAUCUCUUUCUCACGUUACUUCAAAAAUUCUAGUAAACAUGGCUGGCCCGUCAUAUCACGCCGUCAAGAAAGCACUAUCCAUAUGAUCAGGUUUUCUGAUGAGCCCUAGUGCCCCUGCACAGACUCUCUGGCACUCAUUUCAUUUGGCGUCCACUUAUCCAUGUGCUGUGCCGGGCAGUCCUGUUCAGAUCAGGUGCAUCGGUCAUGUCAGAUCCCUGCACCCUUAGAUGCGACCCCCUGUAGAUCCAGGCCAAGUCAACUGGUGUCUUGUGCUAACAAGUGAACAGUGGGCUGGCAGGUUGGUUGUUUAGAAGACAAGUCUCACUCCCUUCAAAGGAGCAACUUGAUAAAAUCUUACUGCCGCACCAGCUCUCAGCAAUAUUGGUGUUCUGAAGAAUUCCAAAGGAGCUCAGGAGUAGCCAUUAGAGCAGACUAUUGCUGGAGGUUUGGUUCUGUAUGUCCUCAUCCAUCCAUCCAUCCAUCCAUCCGGCUUCCUGAAGCGAUCCUUCACAUGUAGAAACCAAGUGGGGUUCUGAGACCACGUCCCUGGUGGGAUCCCCUAAGCAGCACAAAUGUGGAUGACAAUCUCAGGAUGAUGCGAACGGCUAAAUGGGAGUUGGAUGUCCAGGAAAAAGAAAGACGCCAUUCUGGAAGGGAAGUCAGGGUGCUGCUGGAGAACCUGUCCUGAUAGAUCCUGACUAACACACAUGAGGAGUCUUGACUGUGGAAGCCUGACUGGAGGUUUCCUCUGUGGGGUAACUUUAGAAAGGCCAAGGAAAAACAAGAUGCUGUCCAAACACCUUCUCCCUCUUGAUUGUUGCUGCCUAAAAUUCCUAAAAUUUACUUAUAAGCAGAGGAAUCAAUGUAAUUUGAGGUACAACAAAAAACAAAAAAGAAACCCUCCAAAGCUAGGAAGAGAAACACUGCAGUGCAAAUUCACUUCAGGGUGCAGCUGACUCUUCUGGGAAGAGGAAUGGGAGAAUGAGGCGGUAUUCAUUUUCUAGGGCUAAUAUAAAUUACUCUAAACCCAGUGGCUUAAAACAACACCCAUUUACUGUCUUAACUGUUGUGUAGACCAAAAGUCUCAGUGGCUUGGCUGGGCUCUGCUCAGGGUUUCGCGAGGUCAAGAUCAAGUUGUUGGCAGAAGUGCAUUCCCUCCUGGAGGCUCUGGGGAAGAACCUGCUUCUGGAUGUCUCAGGUUGUUGGCAGAGUCCAGAUUUUUCACUUGUAGGAGCAAGGCCCCCCUUUCCUUGUUGCCUAUUGGCCAAGGGUUGUUUGCAGCUUCUAGAGGCUGCCUGCAUCCCCUGCCCCUGACACCUUUUCUCCAUCUUCAAAGGCAACAGUGCUGGUGGGGUCCUUUUCAUGCUCCACAUCUAUCUUGCCUCUCCCUCUGCCUCACUCCUCCUGCUUCUUCCAUAACACUUCUCUCACUUCAGCGGCGACAAUUUCUCUGCUUUUGAGGCUCAAGUGAGUCACCUGAUCACAUAACUCAGGAUGAUUUCUUUGUCUUAAAGUCUAAACCUCAGCAGCGUUGACGUCUGAAUAUAACCAUCUCAGGCAAAUAGGAUGUUAGACCUAAAAGGCCCUUAGAGAUGAUCUAGACCAGGGAUGGCAGCAGAGUUAGAGAACCUGAGGCUUGUCCUAUCCCAUGAGCACAACUAGAUAACUAUAAAAUCCUCCUAAAUACCCCAGCAAUAAAAAGAGAGACGAGGCCACAUUGAGCAGGUGCAGAGAUGUGGUUUAAGGGAGAAACUGAUUACAGGUGCUGUGGAGGAAGAAGAUAGAGAGAUGCGAGAGAGAGAGAGAGAGAGAGAGAGAGAUGUCCAGGGGAACACACAGGAGAAUGUUUCCCCAAAGCUAUUUGCUUGGAAUACGAGAGUGGCUGAAUUUCUUGAGCUCUUGCAACCAAUGGGGCUUAAAGCUUGGAGUUUUAAAAGUCAGUGGGCUUGGCUGGGAUAGAGCGCUGAGUGUGCUGCCCUACUCCUGGAGAGAAGGCAGGCAAACAACCUGAGGCAGACAAUGUGGAAAAAAGUCAUCUGAAGAAUUCCAGGGCACACAGAUGAGUGAGAGAUUGUUCACUGAUGUGUGAAAGCAUCCCUGAGAGGCAACGUUCACAGAGAUACCUCUCUGGGAAGAGGGAAGUGGGUCAGGGCCAUUUCCCUCCCCUGCCCCUCGGCAGAAACACAGAGCCACCGGCCGGGAGGCAGCUCAGUGCCCACACAGGCUGCCCCAAUUGUUUACACCAAGCCCCACCCCCUGCCCUCUGGCAGGACUGCCCUUCUCAGUCAAGCUUGCAUCAGUUCCAGUGCAGCAGGCCCUGCCCCCGAAAGACCAGCACAAACCCCUACCCACACCACCCCUCCUGACCAGGCAGUUCUACAGGGCCUCAGUUCUGGUGGAGUUGGUAUCGGAUCUCAUUUCACAAGCAGACCACAGCACACCUAGUUGAAAGUCACCACAUUCAGGCCAGGGACCAAACACUGCCUACUGCAGGCAACAAGAGCCUCUACCGACAACUGGCCUGAAGGAGGGAGCGGCCAAAACACAACAGCAGAGUGCACACAGCGCGCACCGGACACAUUCUCUGAAGCCCAGGCCCUGGGCACUACAUGGCCUCUUCUUCAUUAGGCCAUUACUAUCAGGAACAGGAGACAUAACUGGCUUUUCUAAUACACAGAGGACUCCCAUCCAAAUCAACAAGAUCAGGCCAACAGAGAGACAUAUUGUAAUUACAUUUGCAAAAUACGGUGAUAAAGGAAAGAUCUUAAAAGCAGCAAGACCAAAGGAGUUACCUUACAAGGGAAAACCCGUAAGGGUCGCUGCCGGUUUCUCAACAGAAACGUGGCAAGCCGGAAGGGAGUGACAUGAUAUAUUCAAAGUGCUGAAUGGGAAAAAUCUGCAGUCCAGAACACUUUCUCCAGAGAGGCUACCAUUCGGAAGAGAAGGAGAGACAAAAAGUUUCACAGACAAAUACUAAAGGAGUUUGUGACCACUAAACAAGCCUUGCGAGAAAUAUUAAAGGAGGACUCUGAGGGCAAAGGAGAGACCAAGAGUGACAAAGACAAGAAAGGAUCAGAGAAAAUCUCCAGAAACAAUGACCUGAAUAAAAAGGCAAUAAAUACCUAUCUGUCAAUCAUUACUUUGUAUGGACUAAAUGCUCCAAUCAGAAGACGUGGGGUAUCAGAAUGGAUUAAAAAAACAAGAUCCAUCUAUAUGCUGUCUACAAAAGACUUAUUUUAGAUCUAAAGACACCUGCAGAUUGAAAGCAAGGCAGUGGAAGAACAUUUACCAUGCAAAUGGAUGUCAAAGAGAAAGUCAGAGUAGCAAUACUUAUAUUGGACAAAGUAGACUUUCGUUCUUGUGUUGUUUUUGUCUUCUUUGGUAUCAGGGUAGUACUGGCCUCAUAGAAUGGUUUUAAAUGUGUUCCCUCUAUUACGUUACUUAUAAGGUUUUGAUAAAGAUCGCCAUUAAUUUUUUUUUAACGUUUGGUAGAAUUCACCACUGAAACCAUGUGGUCUUGAGCUUUUCUGUGCUGGGAGAUUUUUGAUUCAUAAUUCAACUUUCAUUCUUGUUAUUGGUCUACGAAAAUGUCUUAUUUCUUGGAAUCAAGAUUCAUGAUUCAAUCGCGGUAACUUGUGCAUUUUUAGGAAUUAUCUGUUUUUCUAAAAUAUCUGAUUUGUUAGUAUAUAAUUGUUUAUAGUAAUCUGUAAUCACGCUAUGUAUUUCUGUGGCUAUCUGCUGUAUUGUUUUCUCUUCCAUUUCUCAUUUUGGUUUUUCUUAGUUAAUGUAGCUAAAGCAUUGCCAAUUUUGUUUAUUUUUUGGGAAAACUGGUCAUUACUUUCGAUGUUACCUUGUUGUUUAUUCUGGAGUCUAUUUUAUUUAUAUCUGAUUUUUCCUUUUUGUUUCCUUCCUCUAUUAAAUUUCAGCUAAGUUUCUUUUUUUCUAGUUCCUUGUGGUGUAACUUUAACUCGUUUAGUUGAACUGUGUUUCUUAAUAUAAGAAUUUAUAACAUAAAUUUCACUCUAACAUCUGCCUUUGCUGCAUCCCAUAGCUCUCAGAAUAUUGUGUUUUCUUUUUCUUUUGUUUUGAGACGUAUUUUGAUUUGCUAAUUUGAUUUCUUAUUUGGUCCAUUGCUUGUGCAGUAGUGCGUGUUUAAUAUUUACAUACUAAAUAUUUAAUAUUUACAUUAUCGAUUUUGCAGCUUUGAUUUAUUUCUGAUCUUUCGUUUUGUACCAUUGUGGUUAUAAAAUAUGCUUGGUAUGAUUUGAGCCUUCUUAAAUUUGUAGUAUUUGUUAUGUCUCCUUUUACGUGAUCUAACCAGGAGAUUCUUCUGUGUAUACUUGAAGAAAAUGGGUAUUCUAUUUUUCUUGGAUGGAAUGUUUUAUAGAUACCUUUUAAAACCAUACUGAAGUAUACUUCAAGGAAAAAUGUUCUUAUUGAAAAAAAAUAGCUUUAACCGGGGUACUCAUUUAAAACAAAGCAUACCUUGGGCGCCCGGCUGGCUCAGUUGGUAGAGCAUGUGACUCUUAAUCUUGGGGUUGUGAGUUGGAGCCCCAUGUUGGGUGUAGAGAUUACUUAAAAAUAAAAUGAAGCAUACCAGAGGGGUGGGGGAAUGCGUGAAGUAUGUAAAGGAGAUUAAGAACACACUUAUCAUGGGGCGCCUGGGUGGCUUAGUCGGUUGAGCAUCCAACGUCGGCUUAGGUUAUGAUCUCACAGCUUGUGAGUUCGACCCCGUGUCAGGCUCUGUGCUGACAGCUCAGAGCCUGGAGCCUGCUUCGGAUUCUGUGCCUCCCUCUCUCUCUGCCCCUCCCCCACUCGUGCUCUGUGUCCCUCUGUCUCAAAAAUAAAUAAACAUUAAAAAAAUUAAAAGAAAAAAAAGAACAUACUUAUCAUGAUGAGCACCAGGUAAUGUAUGGAAUUGCUGAAUCACUAUAUUGUACACCUGAAACUAACACUGUAUGUUAACUGUGGUGGAAUUAAAACAAAAAGACUUAAUAAAAACCAAAUAAAAAUAAAGAAAUAACACUGACAUGGAAGAAAGAAAGAAAGAAAAAAAAUGAUCUAGACCAGGAAUUCUAACCCUGGAUCUAUAGAUUUGGAGCCCAUGGGUCUAUCAGGGAAUGGGAGAGCCAAGAGAAUUCAAAGCAAGGAUGGGUAUAGAUAAAAAGUAUGCCACUUCUUUUGAGAGAGAGAGGGUUCAUGGUUUUUGUAAGACCCUUAGAGAGCUCCUACACAAAAAAGUUUUAAGCAGCCCCAAGCCCCAUGCUUCCUUCAUUGAGUUUCUUUGAAUAUCACCAAUCACCCAUUUUGCUGUUGCUGUGAAAGAUGAAUACCUAGACUCACGCCUGGGAGAUCUCCUCCCAGGGUCCAUUGGCCACUUCCCAUUUCUAUCCUAACUUAAUGCCAUUUAUUGACAGCAAUGCGAUCCUAUAGGGAAAGGGCUAUAUAAAGAUUGUUGGAAAGGCAGUCGCAGUCGAUAGGCCAUCGAUAUUAGCAUCUCACCUGGUGCUUCUCUGUCAUUGUCCACAAGUAUUCAUAGGCACUGGAACACAAGGCACACUGACAGAGGAGGGAGGUGUAAGAAAAGGGUAGGCCUAUAAGCUGUGAAAUUAGAGUGAAGAAUUUCCCUCUCGAGAGUCAAUAAUUUUAACUUCAUCUCAACCAGGCCUUGUAGGCUAAUUUUCUCUGGUACUCCUCUGUUUUUCUGUGCCAGCCUUUUGUACCUCACUCACGGGUUACUUUUCUUUCCCUACUCUGGACUUGGAUACCCUCAAAGUCGUGUGCCAAGCACAGCACUUAAAUUCAGGAAACCAAAUAGACAUGUUUUCUGCCUCCGUAGAGCUUACAAGCUAAUGCUUCAAAAAAUGUUAUUUGAAACUGAAUAUUAAACUGACAAUAUACAAGUAUUUGGGUUUUUUACUAUUAUUUAAUAAUAAAGAGAUUGAUCUAAAUUGCCAACCAGAGAUUCCAACCUUAAUAUUGAUUCAACAUCAUGAUUUAACUAAUUCAGCUGAAGAGCAGAAAGGAUUAAUUACUGAUCAAUGAGACAGGAACAGAAGGCCAUUUGCUAUAAUUGUUCAAUUAUGGAAGCAGAGUGGAAAAUAUUAAAAUGUUAUGAUCCUUAUAACCAAAUUUCGAGAUAAUAUUCUACACUAAGAGAAUAAAAGCAAAGUAGAUUUUCUUUGAUUUAUCUUUCAAUUGGGGCAGAAUAAAAUGGAAAAUAAACAGUGGAAGAAAAUACUCUCUGGGAUACAUACGAAAGUAAGAAAAGUGAAAGCAAAUGAAAAUAGCCAUUCAAAUAACAUCAUCGACCACUAGGUUUGCAUAGUAAAAACAAAUAGAACCGUAUGACUUUAGACAAGGAACUUAAAAACUCUGAGCUUCAGUUUUCUCAUCUGUAGAAUCAUGACCAUAAUGUCUGCCUUACUGUAUUUAAAAAAAUUUUUUAGUGUUUAUUUAUUUUUGAGAGAGCGAGAGGGACAGAGUGCAAGCAGGGGAGGGGCAGAGAGAGAGGGAGACACUGAAUCUCAAGCGGCCUUCAGGCUCUGUGCUCACCGCCAGGAGCCUGCUUCGGAUCCUCUGUCUCCCUCCUUCUGGCCCUCUCCCGCGUAUGUGUGUGCGCGCUCUCUCUCUCAAAAAUAAAUAAGUGUUAAAAAAAAGAAUAAACUUUUAAAAAUUAAAUUAUAUUGUGUGCAUUUGUAAGUACUUACUAUUUAAAUAAGAAUACGUAUGCCACAAUAAAAUACCUUGCAAACAGCAGAUUUUUUAAAAGUAUAAAUUCUUAUUAUAUUGUAUUACAUUUUUGUUUAAAACAUCCGUAAAAAAGGUAGCCACGUAGGACCCAAGAUUUAUUAUUGUUCUUAGAAUAGAACAAUAAGCACUCAAAGCACCUGCAGCAAAUUGUACACGUAGGGGGAUCCAGGCCGCUUUAUCAGUCAUGUUGGGAUUUUCUAAUGGAAUCUUUGUGCCCAGGGAUUUGGGCUAACCAUUUGACUCAUGCUUGUGUCUACCCAGAUGACCAGAGUCCAGGCGUAAAUGUAGAAUACAAGUUAUCAGCCUAAGGGGCAUACAGGGGAGGAUGGCUGGAGUCUGUCCUCAGUGGGUGUACCUGUGUUUUUGUGUACCAUGUAGAGAAUGACACUAAAGCACGGAAGCCGAUAGAACUCAGAGGGCAGACCAGCAACGCCGCUGCGGAGAAACUCCCCUUGCUAUGGUCACAGACCACGGCCACGGUGAGAGCCCCGACUUCCCAUGUACUUGGGGAAAAUAGCGACUGUCGUCCUCGUCACCCUGCCUCGGGGAGUGACUCCUCCGUGGCAUAACUUUGCAAAAGCCUGUCUUGUUCAUAACGAUAUCCCUGAAUUCUACCGCAACGCUUAGUCCAGAGUCGGUCUCAGGAAGUAUCUGCUGAAUGUACUCUACGUAACUCGGCUUUUAUUCAGUUAUUUGGGGCAAAUAUAUUGAAAUGGUACCCAAACACCUAGCUAAGCUGUCACGUGCCUUACCCACCAAUACAGUGACACGGCAGACUAGCUCAGUUGGCUGCAGAGAAUAAUCCAUCCGCCGCCGUGGACUUCUAUCAACGUGUAGGCCAGCCUUUAUACAAAAUACGCUGUUUCUCAACUGAACUUCUUCAAUGUCCGCCAUUUUCCGAAGUAAAGAGUCUUCAGAUGGGAGGAAGAGAAAGAAGGAGAUGGAAAGAGAGACAGGCUGACCCAGCUGGAUAAGCCAUCACAACCACCCUACGAACAAUCUAUAUAUCAUUUACGAAAAGGAUGCAGUUAGGCCUUGUUUUCUUUUUCAUGGGUGAUUUUUUUUUUCCUGUCACGUUUUAACAUGCCUGUAGGAAGCCCUAGCAGGUCGGGCAGAUCUAGACUCUGCAACCCGCCAUUUGCCAUUGGGUCCGCUAGGGCAGGUGAUUCUGGGCUAUGAUUUCGUCAUACGUAGGAUGAGAAUCCUCAAGUGUGCCGGGAAAGGGGCAGAGUUUCCAAGAGAAGCCCCAGCCCAGAGGACAAGUCCUCCUGAGCCCACGGUCACGGCCAGGAAGGGAUGGAAGGAUGCCAGUUCCCAGGCUCCAGUCACCGGAUGUCAGUUCUCUGACAAACAGUUGUAAGUGCCUCAUUUAGACUCGUGUGCAAUUACAAGCCGGGAAGGAAAACCAAGAACUAGCACGAGGGGCCUAAGGGGCCUUGAGCAGAAGCCCCCCAGUGUCGGCUUCCGUCCACGUUGAAGGUUAGACGAUACAGGUGGAUAGCACCCUUGGGAUAGAAGGUGGCACAGAGUAGGCACGCGGAGGACGUUUGCUACUAUCGUUAAUAUUUUUAUUACCUUCUUCAUAGUCUUAGAGUCACUAUUCCCACAGCUUUCCAAGCAGAGCGUCUGGGCCCAGAUGCUUUCGGGUCACGUAAGUUAGAGAAAGUUCUGUGAGGAAGACCGGGAAGAAGGGGGAGGACGGGUCUACUGGACAUACCUGUGCCAUCAAGAGUAAGGCAUCUACAAUCAAGUGUUUGCAAAACACGGGGCGCUCAAUGUCAAACCGAGCCAAACCAAAACCAAAAACACGUCUGGCGGGUGGCCUGCCAGUUUCUCACGGCUUGUUCGGAACCUUCUUCGUGGUCCUCCUCCUGCACGCAUGCUGGUUGCAGUGGGAAAGGACGGCGUUUGGCUGUGUGCUCGCCGAAGAGUGCUCCCUGCCGGGCUUUCUGGAAGCUAGGAGAUCCUGGAGUGUGCAUUACUGGGUGGUCUGUCCUCUCUCUCCACCCUGGCCGUGAACUUUGUGCCUGCGUGGGUGCUUUGGUCUGCCCUGCUUACUGCGUUCUCUGGUCUGGACUAGGGUCUACGGUGACACUCCAGAAUGACAGUGGGAUUUGUGUUUUGUUUACUCAAGGAGUAUCUACUAAGUACUACCAGGGAUCCCAAUGAGAAACAGACUGUGUGUGCAUGAGAGACAGAGACAGAGAGAAUUUCUUUCCGAUUAAGAUGUGGGUCAGCAGAUCCCCUCGCUUCUCUCAGAGGGAAUACGACGUCAGGAAAAAACCCAAAAUUGCUUAUCUAUCCAUCCAUCCUCCUCGUAGGCCAAUUGACUCGCCUUGUUCCUAGCACCUCUGAAUACACCCUCUGUCCUCACCAUGACGCUGGCCCAGCUGGGGGUUGCGGGCAAGAGAAAAAGGGGAUGAUGUCCUGGGGAAAAGGCCAUCAGAGCACCCCUGGGUGCCUGAGUUUGUUGAGCUUGUGACUCGCGAUUCCGGCUCAGGUCACGAUCUCACGGUUUGUGGGUUUGAGCCCCGCAUCGAGCCCCGCGUGGAGGCUGCUUGGGAUUCUCUCCCUCUCUCUCUCUCUGUUCCUCCCCUGCUCGUGGUCACUAGCUUUCUCUCUCUCUCUCUCUCUCAAAAUAAAUAAAUACACUUCAAAAAAGGCCAUCCAAGAGCCUAGGACCAAGUGUGACGAGUGUUGACUUGUAAAGAUGCGGUGCUGGACGUGGAGAGAAGGCAGGUGACACAGGACGUAUGAUCGGGAAACCCCCUGGCUGUAGGCCGGCUCUGCUCUCCCCCAGCUUGUACAUUCUAUUUCCUUGACUUCUAUUUCAUCUUAACACUCAUUUCCUUUUCAUGGUUAAAAUCUAAUCUGUGUUCAUCACAGAAAAUUUGAAAGAAAAGAGAAACAAAGAAGGCGUUAAAAACCAUGCAUAAUCCUAUUGCCCAGCUAGAGCCGCAAUUAGCAUUUGGCUGUUUUUUUUUCUUUUUUCCCUCUAGAUACACACAGUUUUUCUUUGCUGGGACACUUCCAUUUCAAAACUGGCUUUUUUCCCCAUUUAAUACUCUAUCCUUGAACUCUUGCCCACGUUAUUAAGUACUCUCCUAUAACACUCUUCUUAAUGGCUGUAUAAUAUUUUGUCACACUGAGGUAUUACAAUUUAUUUCGGCACCCUCUCAUUUCGUCCUCGAGAUCGGUCUCCUUGUCUCAUGUUCCAACUAAAGCCAGGCUUUGAAAGCUCCCUGAGGACCCCAGAAUCUAGCUUUGCUCCACUCUUUCCCAAGACCUGCAGGAGAGAGCUACUGUCACGUUCCGUCUCCACCGCCACUAAUGUGACACCUCGGCGUGAGGCUACUCCAGAGGUGGGACAGACCCAGAGGCAGGGUGGCUGGGAGGCGGGGAGGUUGGGAAUGAAAGGACUCCCCGUGGCUAGGUUGGGACCAGCAUGGAACCAUUCUCUCACAGGCUGCUUUCAGAAAGCAAAAGCUACCAGCCCAGCGCUUGGGAUUGUUUUGAAAGGCAGGGCGAACAGCACAUUUGAGAACUGAAUUUGGCUCCGUUUGUUCAAGGGGAAGGUGGGUGGCUUUCAGCUGCCUAGGAAACGGGCUUUGAAUAUGUGCUUCCUGGAAUUCUUUGUGGUCCUCUUCUGAAAGGGUUCCUAGUGUUCCUGAUAAAGGCGUUAUUAUUUGGCAUUUGCAGGCAGCCUCGUUUGGCCAACAUUCUGUUCAGUUCUUUGCGUCGGUGAGCUCUUGUAAAGCCCCGUGUCUCCGCAGAGCAAGGCCAAAAUUCUUCCUUCCUGCUCCCUGCCUCUCUCUCCUUCCCCGCUCUCUGCCUCCCUCCCACCCCCCAACCGUGUGCAUACUUUUCUUUCGUUUCGAUUCUGAAAGCUGAAACCCUGGCAUUCAGUAGGUAAAGCCACACACCGCACCUGUUUCAGGACGCCGCGCAGGGGGGCUCAUAGCACACGCGGGGCGUGGCCGCUGUAUUACAAACAUACGUCGCCAUGAUUGGAUGAAUGGUGGCCAUGACGUAGAACACAUGGUCAACACCUCCAAGACCUGCCAGUAAAAGAAGCAGAAACACACACCCUGGCCGGCCCUUUCCCUUGGCCGGGACCCAAAGUGGAGAAGACAGAGGGCCUGGCGGAAGAAGGUCUAGAAAGAACGGCUUCCUUCUUCCUUCCCUCACUGGUUUGUGCAGUCAAUCCAACUUAAGCAAUGGUUUCACUAUUGUUCCCCUGGGAGAAUCCAAGGAACCAUGGGAUACGCUUUGGUUCAAUCAGAUAACAUAUUGAAAUGCCCAGUAAACCACCGGGGCACCUUCUGGGCGUUUCAUACGUAUGAAUGAUGGCUAACGUAUUCUGAACUUUCUUUUCACCAAGCACUGUUUAAGCACUUUGUAUAUAAUUAAAACCAGCUCUGGAGUAAGUUACCCCAACUUGACGGAUGAGGUUAAAUAACAUGUCCGAUAUCAUUUGUUUGAUUUCUCUUCUUAUGUGUAUGGAUUGAAUAGCCCGGGAGUCCUGUCCUCAGCAGAGAUUAGCUGAGCACUUGACCAGACUGGGGAAACAGAACUUCUGUAGAAAGGCUGGGGCUACAUAUCUUGGGAUAUGAGAAGGGGGACAAUGAGAAGGGGGACAGAGCUGUGAUCCUAAGAUUAGUCCAGCAGGAUUCUCACCAUAAUCCCAUUGGUUUUCAGCAUGCUGAUAGCGGAAGGUUAAGUCAGAAUACGGAGCAAAAGGGGUCCAGCCUACAGAGACAUCUUUUGGGGGAUUCUGUCACUGUUUCGUCACACACAUACAUACAUAUACACACACACACACAUUCACACAAACACAUACCAAACAACUGGAUUUGCCAAAAUUCUGUAGGAUAUAAAACUAAGUGUUUCCUUCCCCAAGAAUUUUGUGGGCUUGCCAGGAAGAUAAGACAAAUAUGCAAAUAACUAUAAAUAACUCUCUGCUAUAAUGUGAACUUUGUGAAAGCAGGAACUUUACUAAUCUUGUUCAUGGCCAUGAACCUUAGGUUCUCGACAACUCGGCUCAAGUUGGCAUAUAGGUAAUAGACAGCCAGGGAAUAAUUGUUGAAUGAGUGAAAAAGUACAGUUGGCCCUGACAACAUGGAUUGGAAUUGUGUGAGUCCACUGAUACGCAGAUUUUUUUUCAACAGAUAUACGGUGUCCAUACGUAAAUACAGAAUGCUACUAUAAAUGCACUUUCUCUUACGAUUUUCUUAAAAAUAUGUUAUUUUCUCCAGUCUGCUUUAUUGCAAGAAUACAGUAUAGAACACGUACAGCAUAGAAAAUAUGCGUAGACUGUUUGAGGUGUCAGUAAGGCUUCAGGUCAACGGUGGGUUAUUAGUAAAGCUUUGGGGGCGUCAAAGUUUCCGUGUGAAUGUUUUGGUGGGGUCAGUGCCCCGUGUUGUUUCAGGGUCAACUGUAUAUCUCCAGGGGCCUUGGGGAAAGAUGCAGAGCAUAAAUAGAAGUCUAAUAGUAGUUACCUAUUUCCGUGAAACAACUCCCAAACUUAACAGGUUAAGAAUCUGCACGUGGCUUAGCUGGGUGGUCCUCGUUCAUUCGGGGUCUUUCCAUGGUGAUUGCAGUCAAACUGUUGGUUGGGGCUGCAGAUCUCUGAAGGCCUGACGGGAAGAUUCACUCCCAAGAUGGCUUCUUAUACUCCUGUGGGCUGGAGAACUCUGUUCCUCACUGGCUGUUUGCUUGAUGGAAAUCCCCAGUUCUUCGCCACGUGGGUCUCUCUGUGGAAUUGUUCAACAUGGAAGCUGGUUUCUCUCAAAGCGACUGGCCCAAGAAAGAAAGAUCCACGACAACGGAAGCUCCAAUGAGUGUUAUAACCUAGUCUCAGAAGAAACAUGCUAUUACUUCUGUCAUACUUUAUUGGUUACACAGACCAACUCUGGUGCAGUGAGGGUGGGGACCACGCAAGGGCAUAAAUGUCAGGAAGCAGGGGUCGUUGACAGCCAUCCUGAAGCUGACUGCCACAGGCCCUAAAGUUAUACCAUUUGGGCUCAUAUCGGACAAAGAUGGGCCGAUACUGAAGUCUAGUUCAUUAUAUCAUAAGCACGAGGCUUAGUAAAGCUUGAAGAACUGUGUGUGAUUUGAUUUCUGGCAAACUGAGUGAUAUUUUCAAUGUAUCCAAGGAGUUUACUAUACAUAGAAACAUUAUUUUGAACUAUUUUUUUUUUUUCCGGAAAAUGGGCGUCCCUUAAAAUCGGUAUUUUGGUAAUUGUUUAUAAAUACUCUUCCCAUAUAAUUGUCACCAUGCCCCAAUUUCUUCAUGUGCCUGAGAGCAUUCAGGAAGGGGCUAAGCUUGACACUGAGAACUGGAAAUUCCCAGUAACUUCUCGAUAAAGCGGAGGGACUGAUGGGCUUGAGAUCCAUCUGUAGAAGCUAAGUGCUUUCGGGUGUUACUAAACGUCCUUCAGCUUGACAGGGGUAAUGGCAUUAUUUACCUCAUAGGAUUGUUAGGAGGCUUAAUGUUCAGAAUACAUGUAAAGCAUUUAGCCUUUGGCCUGGCACACUGUUGAGACAGCCAAAAAAAAAAAAAUUAUCUAACUAUCCCCUAUCUUCAUUACAAAUAUAUUUAUUAAAUUAUUAAAUAAUGAACGGAAAAGCCCGUGCUCAACCCAUUGUGCCCUUUAGAUCCACUAAUUAUAACUCUUGUUAGGGCAGAUGUAUGAACGAACUGUUCUCUCACCACCCUGUACCUAUGUCUUAACUUACUGUAAAUGUUUACUAAUUAGGAACGCAGGUCAUGUCUGUACCUCCCCGGUAAAUUUUGGAAUUCAGACCCGUUUAUUUCUGCCCCUGGGAGCCAAACACUGCAGCCUCUGAAUGUUCCGCUCGAUUAGUUGCCAGGCAAGUCUCCGGCACAGCCAUACUUGUCGCUUGAUCUUGUCAAGGAAAUGCAGCCAAUAGUUCAAUAACUCGGCCAAUAGGUAACAUAUUGCCUUGUGAUCAUGCGUUGUAAUUGAUACUUUCGUCGCGUAUUUUAUGUUAGACUUGUUUGACUUUAAAAAAAAAAUUUUUUUUUUUUACAUUUAUUUAUUUUCGAGACACAGAGAGAGACGGAGCGCAGGUGGGGCAGGGGCAGAGAGAGAAGGAGACACAGAAUCGGAAGCAGGCGCCAGGCUCCGAGCCAUGGGCACAGAGCCCAACGCAGGGCUCGAACCCACAAACCGCGAGAUCACGACCUGAGCCGAAGUUGAAUGCUUAAUCAACUGAGCCACCCAGGUGCCCCUAGACUUGUUGGGCUUUUAUCUUCACAUAAGGAGUUCCUACCUGUUAGAUAUUGUUAGAUAUUGUCAGCGAUUGCUGAAAUUGAUAAAAACGAUCGAAAACCCCAGAUCUAGAGUAGCAGCACCGGGAAAUGUGGGAGAAGACUUGAAAGGCAGGCUGGGCUGAGAAGCUCUGAGUCUAGAACCAGAUAUAUGUAGGAAAUAGAUGCAGAAGACCAUCAGACACUUAAAUCCCUAUACAAUAUAUGGUCUUUCCAGAGGCAAGGAACAUGCAAAAUAUUCUGUGGAGUCAAGUGGCCAGUGUAUUAAAUGAACUAAUGGAGCAGUAUAUCAAUCUGGGUUGGCAUAGGGAAUUUUCUCCCACCUUAAUGGGGCAACAAAGCUAAACUACAUUAUUAAAUAAUUAAAUUUGGGAAAUUAGAUAAUUAAAUUUAGAGAUAAUUAAAUAAUUAACAAUUAAUUAAUUAAAUUUAGAAAUUUGGGAGCCUGGGUGGCUCAGUCAGUUAAGCAUCCAACUUCAGUUCAGGUCACGACCUCACAGACCGUGAGUUCGAGCCCUGCAUCGGGCUCUCUGCUGUGGGCACAGAGCCCACUUCAGAUCUGCUGCUUCCCUCUCUUUCUGCCCCUCCCCCGCUCACCCUCCACCCUCUCUCUCCCUCUCUCUCUCUCUCAAAUUAAAUAAAUACACAUUAAAAUAAAAGAAAUUUGGGAGUGCAAUUGUGAAAACAACCCCAUUUGAGGCAAGAUAAUUGGAUCUCCAACUGGCAGAAGCACAUCAUAAACAGGACUCAGCAAGGCUUUUGGAAAGUAUGCCUUUGGUUAUGGGCAGUUCGAGAACUCACACCCGAGCCACAAUCAUGGUUGAUAAUCAACCUCUUGAGCUGAAAAUUUUCUAGAGUUUGCUUGUAAACUCUAGUUCACUUGGAGAGUAUUUGUGUUUCUUUUGUGACUUGUGUUUUUUUUUUACCCUGCGAAAAAUCCUACACUAUGUUUAAAUGAGAUACUGUUUCCUACCCAUCAAGACUGGCAAAAAUUCGUAAGCUUGGCAUUGUAUUAGUGAGGCUGGGGAAGCAGGCACUUUCAGACGCCGCUGGUGAAUAUGUAAAAUGUUACAAACUCUGUGGGGUGACUCUGUCAAUGUUAGCACUUAUUUUUUGACCCAAGGGUUUACCUUGAAGGCAUGUCUCUUAACAAUAAAAACCGUUUACAUGCAAAAGAUUACUUAUACUGCAAAAUUUUGAAACUACCUACAUGUCCAAGUAUAGGAAACGGCUUGGGUAAACUACAGCACACUCCCCUUAAUGGAAUGCUAUGCAACUGUAAGAAAAGAAUGAGAAAGGUCUCUGGGAACUGAUAUUGAGCGAUUACCAAGAGAUAUUUUUAAGGGGAAAGAAGUGAAGUGCCAAAGAGCAUAUAAACAUGGCGUGCUACCCUUUGUGUAAGAGAGAAGAGGAAAUAAAAAACUAUAUGCAUAUAUUGUGUUAUCUUUACAAAAAGAAACACAGGAAGAAUCAAGCAGAAAACAAUGAAGUCGGCUAUCUCUAAAGGGGUGCUGGAAGGGAAAUGAGGUGAAAGGGCGUGGGAAAGAGGGACACAGAAUUAUUCUUAGAGAAUUCGUUUCUCUAUGCUUUUGCCUUUUGGAAGCACGUCUAUGUACCACGUAUUUUUUUCAAUAUAUAGAAUAUAUGUAAUUAAAUCAACAAGGAUGGGAAAGGGAAAAGAACUUAACACUAAAAGCAAACGGAAACAUACAGACCUUAAGGUGUUUCAGAUAAAUUGCAUAACCACAGAUUUAAUUAUUUUAUGAACGUGGUAUUUGAUUAUAUAGCCUCAGUCUUGGGUGGGAGAGAAGAGCAAACAAACCUUGAGCUUUUUUGAGUAGGUUUCCUUUUAUAGUUGAAUGGACACGGAAAUACUGAAACUGCUUUACAUGUGUUAUUGGAUUCAGUAAAUGAAUAAAUGGGUAUAUUUUGUUGGGAUCCAGGUAUCUCAUUGUGGAGAAGGGACGUAUAUGAAAUGAGAAUAAGAAGAAAAAAACCCCGUGGGGAUAGAUUGUAUUUAUUAUUUAAUGUUAUCCUUAUAAAAUUACGACGUCUAAACUAUGUAUAUUUAAACACACACACACAUUGAUGGACAUGUUUGUUUAUGUACAUGUAUAAACAUUCAUCAUAUAUUUUCUAGUUUUGUCUGCAGCGACAGUCUAGAAGCAACGCCACCCCAACGGCACCUAUAGCAAUUAGUUCAAGGUGAACUCCAAGUUUCUAAUGACCAUUUUCCAACAAAAGGAAUCAGUGCUUCCCGAAGAAACAGCAAGUCCCAGGGCUGGGAUAGAGUAGGCAGAAAAUAAGCCUGGAAUAUUUUGUUAUAUCAGAGAGUAAGGAGAUUAAAACACACAGAAAAAGGUACAGUAUCCACAUUGAAAUGGCUCUCACUGACCAGAUCUGGGACAACUUGAACACCAAAACAAUCAAGGGCACUCAUGAGCUCAUAUUGAUAAUAAACAGAUAAACAAAUAAAUGACGAGAAGGGAGCGCUCUCGCUUACGGUGAUGCUGAGCGCUGACUGGAGAGACGGCUGGGGUUGGGAGCCCAUCAUUUUGCAACCAUCCUAGUAAGGACUAACCCCAGUGGGACAUUUGGACAAGCCAGACCUAGACGUGGGGCCUGCCAUUUCUACGUGCAUUCCGUUGGACAAACCUCAUUGACAUGGCUAAACCUAAUUUCCAGGAAGGCUGGAAAAUGUAUUUUUACUGUGUGCCCAGGGAAGGCAGGGAGAACUCAGACUUUGGUAAGCACUAACAUUCCUUGUCACAAGAACAUGUAUAUGUAUGCUAUUUAUAAUAUUUGUAAAGUUUAAGAGAUUUUGGCACAUUGGAGUAUUGAACUGUGAUAGCUGGCAUCCGAGGAGGCUCUUGUGUAGCCCCACCCCCCAACAUUGUAUCUGGGCUGGCCUGGACUUGUGUUAAUUAACAGAGCUCUGCCCCAGUUCCAGGCCUACCCUUUAGGAAGACUGGUAGUUUCUGCUUCUUCUCUGUUGGAACCUUCACUUUUGGAAGCCAUGUGCCAUGAAAGGAUCCUGGCUUUCCUGCUGGAGGGCACCUGCAGAGAGGUCACAUAAAGAAGAGACUUGGAGUUAAGGGAGAGGGAGAGAGACCCAGCUGUCCUAGCAAUUCCACUCAAGCCUCCAGAUAAUACCAGCCUUGCUGCUAUGAUGACUGCAAAUGGAUGAGAAUUGCCCAGUGAGCCCAGCUGGCCACAGACCCAUGAGAGGAAACAAGAUGGCUGCUGUCGUGAGCCACUGCAUUUGGGGAUGGUUUAUUAUGUAGCAAUAGAUAAUCGAACCCCCGGCAGAUAGGAUUCAUGAUUCCAGUUUAAACUGUGUAAUUGAGUAAUUGAUUUAGAGACGUGUGUGUGUGUGUGUGUGUGUGUGUGUGCAUAAAAACCCACUUUCAAGGAACGCCCAAAUUAUUUUGACAAUUAUUGUGGACAGCCUCAAAGGCGAGGAACUUGAAGCUGAACUAAAUUUUCAGAUUCCCCAGUUUUCAUGCCCUGCCCUUAUCGCGCUUUCCUUUCUCAGCAGGUACCCAACCCUUCCAGGGAAAUUAAGACGGAUUCUUCAGCCAGGCAUGAGAAGCAGAUGUACCUGGUGAAGUGUUUCCUAGCUCUGUAGCAUCCCUCCGGUCUAGUUUAAACAAUAAAGAACAAAUAAGCCCAAGAAAGUGACUUGGCUGGGAGGUCCAUACUAGCUGCCUUAACCCUCUACGGGAGCUUUAGGACCUACUAUUCAUUGGUGAGUUUCUAAAUAUUUCUAAAAUUUCUAGAAUAUUCUAAAAUAUCUCCCGCCCCACACAGGAGGCCAUUCUAGAACGCAUUCAUGGACUUUCCUCUCCAGUUGGUCCAGGACACUCAUUAUGUGGUUGGUUAACUGGCUUUUGUCCCUACUUAUUCCGUGUGGGACAAUUUUAAACACCCCUUUCAGGGAAGAAUUAUAUCUGCUCCUAAUAGGACAUCCUUGUCCUGGAGCUGUGUCACCACCAUAACUGAGACAGAGCUCGGGGCCCAGAAACAUGACAACACGUUUGGCAGAUUGUAUUACAGAGAGAGAGAGAGAGAGGAAUUUCAGAAACCUGACCUCAGAAUUCCAAAAUUCCGAGUUAGGGCUAAGAUUUUCCACAACGGGUUUUGUUUUCUGGAGGGGGAAAGAUUAGGCCUGGACACCCUCGAAAGAAACAGUUUACAAGGGCUUAUUCCUCGGCAGGUGAGGACAGAUGAUUCACCUCUACCAACGACAUGCAGGUGUGUCCCGGGGGCAGACUCCAUCUCUGAAGACAGAAAGAGCCAAGCACCCCGCGUAUGGAAAAAGCAGGCCAGGAAGCCAGUUGCCAGCCUAACCCAGAGGCGGUACUAGAAGGGCCCCGACACCCCCGAUGACCCAAUCCUCCCAGGCCACCGGGCUAAUUAUAAGAAAGCCUAGCAGAGAGUCCGUUGCGAAAGGUGGGUACUGCCUACAUCUUUGACUUCGGCUAGAUUAGGGCAGGAAGAACAAGAAACCCCUCGGGGUGAAGUUAAAAGCCAUCCAAAGCCCCACGGAUCAUUCAAAGGGGUGGGGGGUGGGGGUGGGCGCUGGAGAGGCGCAGAGAAAGAGGAAAGAGGAAGGAGGAGAAACAGGAAAGGGAAGGAGGAGGAAGGAGGGUUUAUGUGAAGCGAUGUCAAUAGCUAUAUUUGGUGUCUACUUAGGCAGCCAAUCAUUUAUUUCCAGGCGGGCAGAAUCACUUAUUCUGCCCUGCUGUCUGUGUGAAAUCUCAUGCACACUGCACGGAAGUGGAAUAGAUUACUGCAGGGCCGGGGGGGGGGGGGGGGGGGGGGGGGGCGAGGAGGCGGUUAACCCACGCUCUUCAGGAAUGGCGGUGCCAGUCUCUCUGUGUAGGAAGUACUCGGGAUAGUAAUUUAGUUGGAAAAGGGUGGCAGGCCAGGAGGCUUGCAUGGAAAUUGCACUUGAAUCUGAGAACAGUUUUUUUUUUUUUCCCUGACUUCUAUGGUAUGCUUUAUUUGUGAUGGGUUGGAAAGGGAUCGAAAGUCUCCCCCCAAGUCUCCCCGAUCUCCCCCUUUUCCCCAUCUGUGGCACCUCUCAGAAUGGGCCCCUGCCCUUGCCAAAUGGAGAGAAUGGCUCUCUGUGUCCUUGGCCGAACUGGCCGACAGGACAGAGGAUAAACUGACCAUGGACCAGAAGUCAGCCCCCGGCACUCCUGGGACCUUCGUGGACUUGAGCACGCCCCUCUCUACUGACACUGUUGAUUACUGAUUGAAAUUUUCUUUUGGG